rnacentral:lncRNA from 1 species
GACUACUCCGGAGCUCACUGCCUGGGGGGAGCGACCACCACCAAGCUAAGAAACAGACUAUGUGAGUAAGAUCUGAUCCUCCUUCAGAGGAUUCACAACAACUGACAAUGCCACAAGUAACUCUGACUAGUUCUUUAUGCUAGUUUCACAAUUCCAUUUUUUGAUGCUAACUAAAUCUCUAGUUAGAAUGUCACCGAAUUUACUAUUAUCAUAGUCCACAGUAAAAUUCACACAUUUAUAGGGUUCUAUGUUCAUAUUCUAUGGCCCACAUGUUCUUUACAUUAACAUAAAUUCAAUUGCACAAUAACACUUUUCCCUAUAAUGCAUGAAUAUGAUACAAUUCACAUAAAUAGAUAUGCUCAAUAGAAUAGCAUAGACAUAAAGAGAGAUUCGAUGACUUCGGAUAGCACCACCCACCUGUAGUGGUGUUAAUCAACUAGAAUCCACGUUUCAGAAAGCGUCGACGACUAUCUCUCGCGACUCCGUGCAAAUAGAACUAGAACGGCCGCUACCGUAAUUAGCGCGUCGUCGACCUGUCGGAAAGUCAAUUUAGACUCUUGGGCAUGUUUACUUUUUACUUAUAAAGGAUUAGAAAAGGUUAAACUAGAGUCAAUACUCAUAUUUUACAAAUUAGCAUUUCAAUGCUAUAUAAAACGGCAACUAUAGCCGAAAAACUUCUUUUGGCGAUAUCUUUGCGUAGGUUCGUCGGAUUGCCGAACCGACUUCGCCAACGCGUUUCUUUUACCCUCAAUUUGGUUUACACGCGGUCAAUUUCGCAUUAGGACUCUUACUUUGCAAAAGUGCAUUGCCGGGGUCAAUUUCUAUAAAAACCCCGUUUUUAUCGAAAUCCUAACUUAUUUUCGAUCUCUCUCUUUCUUAAUUCUUUCUUUUCUCUCUGGCUUUCUUUCUUUUCUUCCUUUCUUUCUUUUCUUCUUUUCUUUCUUUUCUUUUCUUCCUUUCUUUCUUUUCUUCCUUUCUUUCUUUCUUUUCUUUCUUUUCUUUCCUGCUGUUGCUGCGCAUGCUGCUGCUGCUGCUAAGCUGCUGCUGCUAGCUGCUGAGGCUGUUGCUGCUGCUGCUGCUGCUGCUAGCUGCUGCUGAGGUUGCUGCUGCUGCUGAGGCUGCUGCUGCUGUGCUGCUGCUGCUGCUGAUGGCUGCUGCAGCUGCUGUUGCUGCUGCUGCUGCUGCUGCUCAGCAGCUGGCUGAGCAGCUACUGCAGCAGCUGCUGCUGCAGCAGCUUGCUGCUGCUGCUGCUGAUCCAGCAGCUGCUGCUGCUCGCUGCUCUAGCAGCAGCUGCUGAUGCUACUGCUGCUGCUUCAGCAGCAGCUUGCUGCUGCUGUUCCUGCUCACAGCAGCAGCAAGGGCUGCUGCUGCUGCUGUUACUACAGAGAGAGAGGGAUGAGAGGGAGAGAGGUAAAACCUACCUCUUUUCUUCUUCUUCUAUUUCUUCUUCUUCUUCUCUUUUCUUCUCCUUUCUCUUCUUUUCUUUUCUCUUCUUUUCUCCUUCUCUCUCUCUACGUAUGGCAGCAAGGAGAGGGGAUAAGGAUGGAGGGGGGGGCUGCCUGGCAGGUUUAGUGGAAAUCGACUAAGGCAUAGGUUAAUUACCAUAAUGCCCCUCGACUUAUCCGUUUAGCCGCGCGGAUUAAAUACCUUUCGUAAGCCCUUCCGAAAGUUCGAUUGAGCUCAAAUUUGACAGACAUGUUCGUUUUUACUUAACAAGUCCACNGUGACACCCCAAUAGUCCCACAUCGGAUGGGAAUGGGGUUAUCAUUGGGUUUAUAAGAGACUUAGACACUAGUAAUAAUAACUGGGCUUAAGCAUUUUGGGCCGGUUGUUGGGCCCAACGAGUUAUUAUUGCUAGUGGGCUGGGUCGUUACACAAAACAAGGAUCAAAGGAUAAAAUCAAGUACUAACCUUUCUAGGUGCCUCAAAACAAGCUCCAAAUCUUCUAGGGUUGAAGAUUGGUCCACCACCAAGCCCUACAAGCAAGCUCCAAGCCUUGCAAGAGUGGAAAGAAGAGAAAAGGGGUUGAGCUCCAAGCUCCCUCAGGCAAGCUCCUCUUCUUCUUCUCCUCCUUCUUCUUCUUCUCUCUCUAGAAAGUGUAGGGAGAGGGUGAGAAAUGAGGAGGGAAGAGAGUGAAAGGGUCAUAUAGACCAUUUAGAGCAACAAAAUCCAGAGAGGCCCCUCAAAAAUUCAAAUUUGCAUCAGCCCGGACUGGGCAGUUUUUGCCCAGAGGGACCGGUCUCUCCUUGCAAGGGACCAGUCUCUCGUGUCGAACCCGAGAAACCAACGUUCGGGAACCGGUCUCUCCCCGCGCGGGACCGGUCUCUCACUGCGUAGACGCGCUCGGGGACCGGUCUCGCCCGCCAGGGACUGGUUGCCUCGCCGGCUGCGCAACACUGUUCACUGGAGGACCGGUCUCUCCUAGCAGGGACCGGUCUCCGAGAGUGAAAACUCUCAGGACUCGUCCAGAACUCAGGUUUUCAAACUUUUUGGAUCGAAAAACAUUCUACGACCCUCCACCAAGUGUGGAAAAGCUUGAAAUACAUCCAAUCACUCGAACCUCGCAAUUUGCAAAGGUCCAGUGUGUUACAAGUUCUCACCCCACUAUUCCAGAGUCGGGACCGAGCGAGCCGACGAGCGAUCGGGGUAAAGGUAUCGCACCAUAGUCAGAGGCCACCAGAGUCGGGUUAUUUCAUAUUUUGUUAGUUUACCCUUUUAUCAUCUUUUGUAUUUGAUGAUUUAAGAUGUUAAUGUAUAAAGCGAAGAAAGAAAAGAAUGUAAUGUUUAUUUUAAGCCAAUGUGAUGUAAAAGAAAUGAUGCAAGCAAUAUAAAGAAUCAUGAAUGUACAACUUGGAUGAAGUGGAUGCAUGUAUGUGAUCAAAAGUUGAAUUAUAAUACUUGUGUAGAUGUUUAGUUCCCUUUCUUUCACUCAUGGCUAUUGCUUAUCCUCGUGUAAGCCGUUUGUGUAUAUUUCUGCUAGUGCACUUCAUUUUUUGAAAAUGUACAUAUGAUGAGCCUUGGGCGGACAGGAGAAACUCUGUCCGUUCGGCGUUUGUUUGACGUGCUCGGGCCGGCCCAAAUUGGUAUCGGUCGCGGGGCGUGACAUCUAAAGUGUCAUAUUUGAGUAUAUGUAUGUAUUGACCAUAUUGUAUAGUAGGGUUACUUGUGAGCUUCUCAUUGCAUAUUGUGAGUUCAAAUGCAUGAGAAAUACUAGUAAGAAAGUGAGAAUUUAUAAACUCUAUGCAUGCAUGAUAAAUGAUGAGAACUUAGUAGACCUAACUUAGUAGACCUAGAAAACAAAUGUGACAUGUGGACAUGAAUGUAGAGAGUGGCAUUGUUGAGUCAAGAAUGCUAGAAUUGAACACUUAGAGAACAUGUGUGGCAUGUGUGUGCGAGUACAAAGUAGUAUAUAUGACACUAGCGAAAGUAAAGAAUGCAAGUAAAGGAGUGAUUGUGACAUUAUGAUAUAACAACCUUCGAGUUAAGGGUCAUAUGUAGAUUGUUUCCUUAUAGUUAUGGAUUGAACUUGACAUCUUUAUCGUUAUGGAUUGGAUCAUACUCACCUGUAAGUCCUUACUCGAGGGCGGUAGCUUCCCCUCGGGCGAUGUGCUCCGGAGUUGUCAUUACUGAAAAGUGGAAUCUCUAGAGGACGGUCCUAUCGGGCGUAGUAGUCUCCCCGAUACUUGAGAUUUGAGUUGGUGAGUCUAUUGAGGGCGAAACCCACGGGCUAGCCUAGAGAUUGGGAAUCGAAAAUGUGACCUUGCAUUCAUCAUGAGUAUUCUAUCGAGCAUCGCAUUCUUUAUUGUUUAGGCAUAUUAGCUGCAUUUGUUUAGUUGGUUACUAUCUGUCUGUUCUUCUAUUAUGCCUGAUUUAGAUCUAGUGGGAAAGUCGGCGUGGUUGGUUGCCGAACCUACUGGGAACUUUGUUGUAGUUCUCACACCCCACCUUCCACAGAGUCAGGACCGAGCGAGCCGUCAUACGACCGCGGUAAAGGGAUCACGCCCUAGAUAGAGACCACCCGAGAUGGUUUCAUAUUUUGUAGUUGCAUUUCCUUUAGUAUCAUCUUUUGUAUUUGAUGAUUCUAGAUGCUUAAGAGAAUGAUGUAAAAGAUAUUUAUUUCCAAUGUCAAAGGUUGUAUUUUGGAGAAUGAGAUGUAAAAAGAUAUGAUGAAAAAGAAUGUAAAAGGACUUGAUGAAAGUAGUAUGCAUAUAUAUGAUUUAAAGUUAAUUAUUGUACUUGUAUGUUGAGUAGUUAGAUCUUUCAUUUUGGCUAUUGCUUGCCCUCGUGCAAGCCAUUAUGUUUGCUUCCGUAUGUGUAAUUUUUAUACCCUAUUUGUACUUGUUGUUGAGUCUUUGGUGGACAGGGGAGGUGUUGUCCGUUUGGUGUCUGUUCGACGGGUCCGAUCCGGCCAAAUAGGACCGAGUUCGGGGCGUGACAGAUAUAAUGGUAUCAGAGAGUAAAGUGCCUAAAGUGAAAGUAUAGGAUAGACCUAGAGACUUUUAGUGUAAGGAAGUGAAUUCUCAAAAUUCGAGAGUUGGACUUCGCUCAAAAUCGAUUAUUUGUCGAGUGGGUAUGCUUCGAAAAGCCGAAGAAGUCGAAAACCCGAAAAAUGCAUUGCAACAGAUCCACGAGAGCAAGUUGUGCAAAAGUCUGCACUUGGCAGAUUUUGCUCUCGGGGACCGGCCCCUGGUGGGAGAGACCGGUCCCCGUAAGUUGAAGCUGCGAUAGAAAAUCUCUGCUCACAAGUUUUGCUCUCGGGGACCGGUCCCUACCAGGAGGGAUCGGUCCCCAUAAGCGUUGUGAGCGGCAUAGAAGGUCUGCGCGCAAAGAUUGCUCUCGAGGUCCGCCGGUCCCUCAAGUGGGGAUCGCUCCUUGAAGGUCCGGUCCCUUAGGCGAGGACCGGUCCCUGUACGCGUAGAAACUGGCUGAGAGCCUCUGCCCGCAAGAAAGGCUCUCGGGGACGGGUCCCUCUAGGGACAGACCGGUCCUCGAGGGACAGACCGGUCCCCGAGCACGAAAAUUGCCCAGUCUGGGCAGUGUGAAAGAAGCAAAAUUGAGGGGCUUGGAUGUAAUUAUUGCAUUAGUUAGGGGUAUAGAGGGGAGAUCACCCCCUCUCCCUCCCAACCCUCUCUCCCUCUCUCUCUCUAAGCUCUCUCUCCCUCUCUCUUGAAGUGAAGAAGGAGAAGAAGGGAAAGAAGGAGAGAAAGAAGGAGAAGAAGGAGAAGCAAGCUAGAGAAGGCCUUGGUCUUCUUCUUCUUCUUCCUCUCACCAUUGGAGCAAGCUUAAGAGGUAAACUUCUAAGCCCUACAAUGGUAGAAACCUAUGGUUUGGAUUUCUUGCUCUAGAAAUGGUUUGAUUAGAACUCUAGCAUGCUUCAUAGAGGUUUAAAGCUUAAAUCUAGAGUUUGAUUGGGAUAGUUUGCUAUAGAGAUGCAAACCCAGGGCUCCAAAUUGAGGUUUUGCUUAAUAGUGAGGUUUGAUCUCAAUUGUUGGCAUCUAAACCUAAUUGCUAGGUGCCUAAACGCGUUGGCGAAGACGGAUUGAGCAUUCGUCGAGUCGUUGAAAAGUUAUCAGCAAAACAAGACCGAUUGGGCUUCGUUUCCGCCUUGGAGGCCGAGACGGCAUCGAAGCAACUGCCGAAUAGCGUUCUUAGCGCCCCGACAUCGUCGAAAGGUGGGUGGUGUCAUCCCGAAGCAACCGGGUUCCUCUCUAUGUCUUAGUAUACCAUGAUUUCGCAUCUCUUGCAUGUUGCAUUGUAUUCCAUCCCUUAUGCUUUCUAAUUGAUAUCAUAGUGUGAGUUGAAUACUCGGUAUUAUGGAUAGAUGAGGAUUGGGUCUUGACGUUGAAUUCUAUAGUGCCGAGGAAAAGAGAUGGACUCGAUAGUUUCCUAAUGACAUAAUGAGUGGCAUGUGAUUGACAAAUGAACAGAACGAGUGGCAUAUAAUGUAGUGUACAAUGACACUAGUGACAUAUGAACUUAGAGAUAGGUGGACUCCCUAGUGAUGACUCAUUGAACAAAGAACAUAGUGUAGUUAAACAUUUACACAUGGACAUUGGGAUAGGUGGAUUCCUGAGUGACUACUAGCCCUAGUUGAUAGGGUAUCCUCGAGUUGAGAGGAUGGAUCAUACUCACAGUCUGUUUAUACUUGUGGUGGUCGCGCCACACAAGUCGUCGUGCACUCCGGAGUUUGGCGCGAGAGGGGCAGAGUUGAUGUCCCUCAGACGGUCCCUGGUUUGAGAGCGAGGUGAGUCUCUUUACCAUACGGGAUGGCGAGGUGAGUCGAAGGCGAACCCAAGGGAUCGCCAAGGAUUGGAUAAACAAGAGAAUAUCACUGUCAUUGAACAUUUGCUUAUUGGACAUUGUAGUGGACAUAGUGGCAUGUUAGUAAACCAUUUACUAUAUGAUGCAUGCAUGCAUUACCUGUGAUUGGGCAUAGUAGCAUAGUGUUCUUACUAUGGCAUUUACCGUUUUCUUAUCUAUCUAUCUAUCUAUCUGCUUUUACCCACUCGGACCUAGUGGGGAGAUCGACGGAGUCGGCGGCCGAACCUACUGGGAACUAUGGACAAUAGUUCUCACCCCACUUUGUUGCAGGACCUAGUUCGAGCGGCCCGUGCGAGGACCGCGGCAAGGGUAUAGCGCCCGAGCAGUAGUAUAGUAGCUUUCCUUUUGCAUUUGCAUACCCUAUGUAUUUGAGAGACUUAUGUAGGUGAGGAUUUGGAGAGCUAUGUAUGUAUUUUGAUGAUGGCCUAGUAGCAAUUGUAUCCAUUUUGGAAAGAUGUAAUGUAAUUGAGGUAAAGGAAUGCAAUGUGGUGUAAUAGCUAGUAAAUCUCUCUUUUGUUCACUUGUAUGCAUAUGUGACUCUUGCUCUUAGUUGUUGGCACUUGUUGUGCCCUUCGUUGAUUGUGUAUGUAUAGAAUUUCUAUUCCUGGGCAAAUUCUUAUACACGAUCUGGUUGUUUGGCCUUGGGCUGACAGGGGAGGUGCUGUCCGUUCGGCGUCUGUUCAACACGCCCGAACUGGACCAAAUUGGUAGCGGUCUCUAGGCGUGACACUUAGGAAUGAAAAACCUUAAGGAUCUAGGAGACGUGAGUGACAUGGAAUUAAAAUAUAGUGAAAGCUUAUGAUUGAGUUAAUGUUAGCAUGUCUCUAAUGUGGUCAGGGACUAAAUUUAAGUUGUUAUUUGUUUUUUUUUUCUUGUGUUGUGAUCGGCGGCUGACGACAUGAUGCUUGGGAUGAAAAUAAAUACACUUGUUUGCUUUCGCUGGAUUGGGUAAAUUCGAGUAUGUUGGUUAAGUAUCUAAUGUAAUUGCUUCAUUUCAGGAAGCAAUGCUGCCUCGUGGACGACCUAAGACUCCUCGUGGUCGACCUCAGAAAUGAUCCAUGGCUGAAGAACCGAGUGCGGCUCCCGUGCAACCCGGAGGGGGUGGCGACGGGGAGCUUCGGGAGCAGAUGGCCGCGCUUAUUGGCGUAGUGCGGCAACAAGCGGAGUCCGUUCAGUGCCAAGGGGAGCAAAUCCAAAGGCUCCAGGACGCCUUAGAGCGGCAGCAGACGGCGGCGGCACAAGUGGAGGCCGAGCAUCCUGUGCCCCCUGCAGUGGUGCCGAUGGUGGCCGAGAGAGUAGCGGCGGGGGUGGCCGCGGCGGCCAUUCCAGUUACGACAAUACCGGCCGGAUCGGGGACCUCAAACUCCAAUAGUGCGGCGGUGGAGGCGGAGCGGGAGCAUGCGUUAGCAGCUCUCAUAUAGUUUAAUAAGUUCAACCUACCUAUCUUCGAAGGGGGGGUGGUGGAACCGGCGGUGGUGGAGUCAUGGAUCGACUCCAUGGAGACGCUCUUCGAGGACUUGUAUAUCUUGGAGAAGGACAAGGUGUACCUCGCCACACAUUGCCUUGAGAAGGCGGCGAAGGUGUGAUGGAAGCGAGUUAAGCGGGAUGGGUCUCCCGAUCUUCCGCCUAUGAUGUGGGAGGAGUUCAAGAGGGCGGAGGGCGGUGUUCGCCAAUUACUUCCCCGACACUGUGAAGCGGAAGUUGCAAGAAAAAUUUCGAAAGUUGAGGGAGGGAGAUCUGUUACGCCCCGGGGUCCCUUUGGGUUUGAAAGUACAGCGGAAGUAACUGAAAAUUUUUUUGUUUGAAAACCUGACCCCAAGGUAUGCCAGAUCCGCCACAAAUACAGGGAAUCCACUGUUCACACGGACAGAGUCUCCCCUGUAUUUGCACGGCGUCACACAAGUACAAAAGUACAAACGGGAUACAACCACUAUCACUGAAUAUACAAAUAUCCGUUCAUUCAUACAUCCAUACACCAUUCACCAUAGGUUCAUAUACAGAUUUUGAAACUAUCAGUUGAAAUGUUUCCUACCCAGAAACCUAUUUUGAAAUACUAAGUCAAGAAAAAUCACGAGAAACUCUUUUGAAAGUUGUUUCCCACACGGAAACCUUUUCUUUUUAAAACACGCUACCACGAGGGGUAGAAAGCCUUUCUAUUUUACAAAAUUCCAAAAAAACUUUUAUUACAUUCAUGAAAACCCACAUAUUCAAAUAUAAUAAAAAUACUGAACCAUACAAACUGUCUAAGCUAUAACAACAGAAUAGUAAGGGUAGAAACUAAACCGAGUAACCUGGGUCGGAAGCUCUAUUGACCACUACGAACAUAUCUCACGUCUCGUCUCAAUCCUCACCGCCCGCAAUACCUGAAAAAAGGUGGGGAAGGUGAGAACAUGUAAACAUGUCUCCCCUCCCAGUGGGUACCGCAAGCCAACGAAGGCGAGGAGUACUCACCGGAUUAAGAAUAGAUAAACAAUAACAAGGGCAGAUAUACUAAAUACAGUAGCAACAAUAAUACAUGAACGGAAUGUAUAAGAACGACUACCGCUACUGUAAAGAAGAACAUAAAGCAUACAUGGGUAUCAAACUAUAGUAGCAAGAUAAGUAUAUAGAAAGAACUGUAAGUAUGCAUGCAACAACUGCUAUUAUAGACAUAUGCGUCAACCGAACGUAUAGACCAAAUAUACCCAAUCUGUACCGGCCGUAUGGUACCCAACACCUCAGGCCCAUGCCACAUCUGCUCUAAACAGAAACAAGCCAUAUUGGUACCUAUUACCUCAGGCUGAAAGCAUAUAACCCCUCUUGGGCUCACGGGUUGACACUAGCAACCACUUUUUCGGAAAAGAACACCCUCUUGCGGUGGCAAAACUGCUGGUGUUCGUGAAAUGCGUACGAGCAGUAGCGAUCGAUGCUGAAUGCUCAAUAACCAACCGUCGGCAACCAGUCGACAAUCCUGCCCCUUAGGGCUCACCGACCGUAUAGGUCAUCAACUGUAAGGAAAUAUAAGAACCGACCACUCUGGUCAACUAGGAUGGAAUAACUCAACAUCCUCCCAAAAGUAUGCAAGUACUACUCAAUAUCAACUAACUGUAUACUCAAGAACUGACCAAUAGGUCACACGAAUGUCACAUCAUGUAUCACUAAAAUCCAGAACUACCGUCAGCCACUAGCCGACAAUCCAACCCCUUAGGGUACACCGACCUCAACGGUCAUCAAACGACAAAAGUCAAGGAACCAAAUGAAUAGGUCACAGAUACGAGAUACAAGAACCGACCAACUAGGUCACUGAUCUCACAUGAAAAUACGAAACCGCUCUACACUAAACAAGAUACAGGAUAUGCAAAAUAACUAAGUAGAGAAGCAAGGAAAUAUGAUGUAACUACUCUACUCCUACUUAUGAUACUAGAUAUGAAAAACAACCGAGUAGAGUAUAAACAAACAACAUGGGUGCUAGGCUCAACACUAUAUAUAAAGAUAUAUAUGCCAGAUAACAACGAGAGAGCAAGGGUAAGAAACCAUCACCGAGCGUGCACCACUGUACCGACUUCGGAUCGAAGUACCCACCUGUACGAAUGUUGCGCCUGUCUCCUUACUGCGAAAGAAAGUCAACUGGACCUACGGAGGGUCCAUCGGGUUAGUAUCUAACCCACAACUAAUAACCACAGUAUCCACAACCCUACAACAAUUCCACGGAGAUCGGUUUCCCAAUACCGAUUACCGUAACUUGCCGGAAGUCCCGAAAAUCGCACCGGGACUCCGUCGGGACCCCUGAAAUGUCCUGGAACGCACUGACUCGUGCUACGAGUCAUCCGCUGCCACAAAACACAUCAAAUAAGAUGUCUUGGCAGUAAACACAAAGAUACACAACCAAACAACUAUUGGUGGAUAAUUGUUCGGAUCUAAGUUCCUGAAAGUGUCAAUUUCGACACCGGAACCCCCCCGUCGCUCACUCGUCAUUUUCGAACCCUCGAAAUGAUGCGAGUGACCAGCCAACAAGGCUCAGCGACUAAACAAUCCAUCACGAAGCACCGUCGGAAUAAUUCCGAACCGAACCCGCGUUCCGUCGUCGGAUUUCGCCGAGAAACGAGCCGGAAAUCACUUUUCGAUUUUUGUAAAUGCAUGGGGCCUUGGACAAUCAGUCCAGAGGUUACCCACAGCCCGCACACGUUGCCAACAGCGACCACAACCAUCAAAAAUGCGUAAAACCACCAGGUUACCCAAAAUCACAUUAUUUUAUGUGAUUUCGGGGCUUUUAUGGUCCGACUACGCAAACCGAAAGUUAAUCAGCCAAGCCGAGACACCCACUGACAGGUCUCGGCGUGCUGGAGGCCGUGCUCACCUUUCGGAGCACUUUCGGCCACUGAGGCAACCGCGCGAGCGAUGCGAAGUUCAGCGAAAACUACGCGCUGAAACUAAAACACCUCUAACUCACACAUCCGGAGCUCAUUGACCCUAAAUGAGGUGAGCACUGUGACCAGCACUGGCUGACGAUCACCGUGCUCACCUCCAGAGGCAUCGGAACAGCCUCGGGUUGCUGGCAUUGCGGUCAGAAUCGUAAACAGUGCACAAAACAGCAUAAACAAGCUUACCGGUCGGGGGAAGCUAGGGCACGGCCAACGGCGGCCGGACGGCGAGCGCGCCGGCAGGGCGAGGGUACUGCAAGUGUGGGGUGGCAAGGGCGUGUGUCGGCCGGCGACGGGAGGUGGCCACGGCGGGGGGGCAAUGAUGCCCUAGCCGCAUUGCAAAGAAGAAGCUUGGCUCGGGUCCGGCUAGCAGGAGGGCUCCGGCGGCGGGGGCGCCGGCGGCAACCCGGCGCGGCAGGCCAGGGGAGGCCGGCGCUCAUGCCGGCCGACGGCGGGAGGCGGCCUCNAAAAUUAAAAUUUAUAAUUUGAAAUUUGAAAAUUAAAAUUUGAAGUUUAAAAUUUAAAAUUUAAAAUUUGAAGUUUAAAAUUUGAUAUUUGAAAUUUAAAAUUUAAAAUUUAAAAUUUGAAAUUUGAAAACUAAAAUUUAAAAUGAAAUUUGAAAUUUGAAAUUUGAAAUUUGAAAUUUGAAAUUUAAAAAUUAAAUUUGAAAAUUAAAAAUUGAGAAUUAAAAAUUGAAAUUAUAAAUUAGAAAAUUUAAAAUUAGAAAUUUAAGAUCCAAUGCGGCGUCCUCUGCGACUGUCCUUCCUGACGCGACCCUCUGGAACGCUAACGUCCCGAAGACCCACGACCCUGAGAGCGUGAUUGUGGAGGUCUUGGCGGACGCCUGCUGCUCGACUGUCCUCCGUCAUCUGGAUCUGGGCGCUUCCUAUCCUGACUCUGCCCUGACACCUGGGUCCGCUCCCGAAUAGAUGCAUCACCUCUCUCCACUCACAAAGCCUGCUCAAUAGAUGCAUUCAAGGUCCUCAACCUCUGCGCAAGUACCAACCUGAAGAUCUCUGGUCUCAAGUCUCGCUCAAACAGAUAUACCCUGUGGGCCUCGUCUCUGGCUACAAAUGGCACAUAGUUCAGGAGUCAAGUAAACUCAUGGAUGUACUCCUGAACUGCUCUCUCUCCCUGCUGAAGCUUUUUCAGGUCCUCCUCGAGCUUCUACUUCAUGCUGCUUGGAAAGUAUAUCCCAUACAGCAUCCCGCAAAACUCAUCCCACUUCAUUUGCAAUGCCAUCAACCCUCGAUCUCGCCUCAUCCUCCUCCACCAAGAGUGUGCAUCGCCGGCCAAGCAGUGAACUCCCAAGUGUACCUGCUCCCGCUCAGGAAUAAACAAAUCCUCAAACAGCUUCUCCAUCGCGCUCACCCAGUCUUCUACGACACAGGGCUCUGUGCAGCUGCCGUCAUAGGUCGGCGGAUCAAAAUGGCAGAAACAAGCCAGCCUUUCAAUCAACCGCUCCUGCUCAGCCUCAGUCAUCUGUGACGCCUCUCCAGAAGAUGCAAAUUGCACAGUAGGAACUGUCACUGGUGGGUGUACAGCUGCGGCUGGUGCGGCCACUAGAGUAGUCGGGGGUGGAGCUGCCUGUUCUGGUGCUCUCGGUACUGCGCUCUGUGGCGGAGCUAAUGUCUCGCACAUCCUCUGCAACAACGCCCCCUGCUGCCUCGUCACCUCCAUCAGAGAAGCUAAUUGCUCUCUCAGAUCCGGGGGUGCACUCGACUAUAGUCGUGCACUCAGCUCUGCCGGCUCAGGCAUCUCAGAAGGUGCGGCGCUAUCCCUAGUCGGCGGUAGACCUCGGCGUCAAUACAUAGCUGCAAGAAAAGGACAUAAGGGUCAGAUACAAAAUACAAACACUCUCGACCCAAUAAAGCGAAAGUCUAGAAGUCGGCUCCUAUUUCUCCUCAAAAUUAUGCCGUCUGCAGCGGACAUAAUUUUCUUGGAUGAAAUAGACACUCCUUCAGUCACUCAUUCCGCCCUAGGAUGAGUUAAAGCAAAUCAAUCGCUGACUUUCGCGAUAAAUCACGCCUCUCGCGUCUUGCCUUCCUAAGGUUUACCAAACUUAGGGUUCCUAGGUCCUAAUGGCCUAAUGCUAUGCUUUGAUACCAACUUAAUCUGUCACGCCACGGAUUACUCGUUUCCCCGGGCACGCCGACAAAUCCGCCGUAUACAAAGGACUUUCUCCAGUAUACGAAGCGAUAGCUGUACCUAUACCUGUAAUCAUACAAUAUUACAACCAGUAGUAUAGAGCUGCUAAGAAGAAAAGCAUAUAUAAACAACAUCGGUUCAACAUACAUAUAUAGUAUCCUGGUACAAAAAUCACUCGCUCUAGCGAGACUGUCAUGCCCCGGAUUACACGUUUCCCCAGGCUCGAUAACAGACCCGCCGUAUACAUAGGUAUUUUUUUUGUAUACGAAGUGAAAAGUAGAAGUAUCUAUAAUCAUACAAUACCACAAACAGUAGUAUGGAGCAGCUAGGAAAAUAAACCGUAUCAAUAAAUACCGAGGUUCAAUACAUACAUGUAAUCCAGAUAUACAAAAGCUCGCUCUGGCGAGAUGCAACAACUGUAUGUAAAGACCCAAAAACUACAACUACCUAUAGCUGGUGCUCCUCUAGCUCUGCGACUCUCUGGAAGGGCUCUAACUCGCGACGUCCUUGCCAUGAUCGAGAUCAGCAACAGCAGCAGCCGAAGGCAACGCUCUGCAAAAACAGCGGUAACAACUGGGCGUGAGAACUACUACAAAAGAAGUAGUCCUCAGUGGGUACCGCCCUCAAACUCAUCGGCCCACUCACUAAGUCUACAGAAGGGAGCAAGGAUAGCAGAAAAUACUGGAAGAAAAUCGACAGCUAUAAACCACUACACUAUCAUGCUCUACACUAACCAACUGUAGAAAAUGUCAAUACCGACCGAAUCUCACUAGGACUGCAAGCAUACCCGUCCCUGGGACUGUGAACACACCCGUUCCGCCCGGUUACGACUAUACAGCUACCUCCACGCUGACACCAGUGGAGAGCAAGUCCAACAUGCACGAACAACACCAACGCAAAAGCACAAAGCCCGACUCCGGAGUGGCACUCGCGGGCGCUACCCAACUGAGUAUGCAAGUGUAUCUCUGUCGAGCUUAAUCAAGCUCUCUCAAGCUAACAUCAAGUGAACAGGGUCUAACGAGUAACUCACGUGCCCUAGGCACAAUCUGAGACUAAAAAUAAUCUGGGUCCACCGUCAACCCCGACGGCACCCGACAAUCCGAAAUAGCCUAGACUCUGCUGUAAAAAAUAAGCUCGGCAUCUCAGCACGAGCGUAAAUGCAUUCUAAACUAUCUCGAGUACCCAUCGCGCUGAAACAGCGGUGAUACAAUCAAAAUACGGCUCCUAGAGCUAAAUUAGGUAGUAGAAGCAUAUGACGGAUCAAAACGCUGGUUUUCUCCUAAGUCAAGUUCCAAAUCCAACAUGUAUAAUUUAUCUAAUUACUAAAUAUGCUCCAAAUUCAGAUUUAUAUAUUUACAUACUCAUCGAUGAAUUUGAGCUACAGCAUGACAACAAUAGCCGCAUAUCAUACACGUCGACUAACAUGCACUUAGAAGCGAAACCAAUGAUACACCCACCCCAAAUGCUCUUUCCAGGCAGCAAGGAGGUCUCGGAACUGCUGUGAGACUCAGCUGAAAUCACACCAAAUCAGCAAUUGGAAUACUUGAAGGAUCUAGCGUAGAAAUCCACAAAAAUUCAAUAAUUCAGCACUUAAGCUUAAAUUAGUUCAAUUACAAUGCUAAUUUCACUAGAUUACCUUCAAAUCAGCAGUAGCAAGGUUCCCUCAGCAGUGAAAUAGCUGUAGAAAGUUUCUCUGGUUCAAGACUACUCUUCUCCCAAGAUCUGAACCUAAUAUAUCCAAGUUGCAUCAAUAACAAUGCUAAUUUCAGCACUUAAGCUUAAUUAACCCAACUCCAAUGUCAAAACUCACCUAAUUACAUCCAAAUCUGGUGAGGAGGGUCUCAAAUCUAGUGAAGUGCAUAGAAGUAUCAAGCUCAGGUCCAAAAUCCUACUGCCUUUACAGCUAACCUCAAUAAAAUCCAAGAAAUUCCAUUUUUAGCUCAAAACUGCAAGCAGCAAGGAAAAAUAGGAAAUCGACAAAGCUAACCUCAACCAAACUCGGCAAAUCUGCCAAAAACGUUGAAACACACUCGUGCUCUGGAUUCCUCUAGAAGUCUAGAAUCCAGCAAACCAAGUUUCGUCGUAAUCUGAUCUUCCUACGUCACACACGAGCCAAAACACCGAAGGUCGUCGCAGGAAAACUGCAGAAUCAGCACUCAAUCACAUUCAAACUGAUGAAUUGGAUGAAAUCCAAAGGAAAUCGAGGAGUGGAGAAGAAAUCAGAGGUGCUACUGAGAAGAGAGAGUGAAAAGAGCUCACCAAGGUCACUCUCCACCUAUUUAUAGGGUGCUGGAAUUGUAGAAUAAGCCCCAAGAACAGCUGCUGCAAUUUGGUGUCCCUACAGACUCGGGCAUUUCCGGGCGCCCGAACUCACAUUAUGGGCGCCCGAAUCCUCCAGGCUACACAAAGCUUCCUCUUCGGACUCUUCGCCCGCGGUGUGCUGUGCCCAUAUCUGGCUCUGGCGGACCUCACCAACCACCAGCCACGUGUCAGCACAAUCGAUACACACAAGGUGCACUUUCGGACUCACAUUCGAGCGCUCGAAACAUGGACCCGAAUUGGCUUCCAGUUCUCAUCAGUUCUGCACUCAACUUCUGGGCGACCCAAAUCCAGUUCUGGGCGUCCGAAUCUGGCAAAACUCCAGUUUUGCUUAUUUGAGUGCCCGAGUCCAUUUUUGCAUCCAUUUCGUGCAGAAUUGACUCCGACUCAAUCUGACACUCUCCAGAUGUGUUGACUAGUCAAUAAUAUUACAACCAAUCCUAUCCAAACCUCCGGAACACUACAGAGACACUAACAUCAGUAUGUAUAAGAACCAAAAACUACAACUACCUGUAGCUGGUAUAUCUCUAGGUCAGCAGCAAAACGGAAAGGAAUUUAGCUCGCGACUUCCUUUCCACGAUCUGUAUCUGCAACAGCAGCAGCCGAAGAAGAGGGCUCUACAAAAAGGAUCUACAACUGGGUGUGGGAACUACUGUAAAAAGAAGUAGUCCUCAGUGGGUACCGCUACCGACCUUAACGGCUCAUCCACUAAGUCUGCAGAGGUAAGCAAUGAUAGUAAAGAAAGCUGGAACAAAUCUACAGUUAUAUGCCACUAUACUAUCGUGAUCCAACACUAACUAUUUGUAGAAAAUGCAAAUUCUGACCCAAUCUCACUAGGGACUGUGAAUACACCCGUCCCGCCUGUCGAAGUUACAUUAACAACCACCACAUUAGGUAGUCAGUGGAGAGCCAGUCCAAUCAGGACACAAUGACACCAACAAAACAGCACUGAGCCCGACUCCGGAGUUGCACUCGUGGGCGCUACCCAACCGAGUAUGCAAGCGUAUCUCUGUCGAGCUCAAUCAGGCUCUCACAGGCUAUAGUCAAAGUAGAAGGGUAAAAUUGAUCUAACCACCAAAACUCACGUGCCCUCGGCACAAUCUGAAGCAAAAAAUACAAUCUGGGUCCACUGUCAACCUGAACGGCACCCGACAGUCCGGAACAUUCUAAACACAGCUGUAAAAAUAAGCUCGAUAUUCCAGCACGAGCGUAAAUUUAUUCUACACUAUCCUGGAUAUCUACCGUCCACAAACUGCGGCGAUACAACACAAACUAUGGCUCAUAGAGCUAAAUCUGGUAGUUUAAGAAAAUGACGGUGUAGAAUCGAUAGUUUUUUUCUAAGUCAAGUUCCAAGUCCAACAUGUAUAAUUUAUCUAAAUCACUACUGUAUGCUCCAAAUUCAGAUUUCAAUUAACAUGCAAAUCAACGAAUUCGAGCUAGAUAACAUGGUAUACAAAGACUAAAAAAUAUACAUGCUGACAUCGACUAGGCUUAGGAGGAAAUCCGUAGAAUCCAGUAAGCAUAUCAUUAACUCACCUCUAGCACGAGCUCGACGACAGCAAGCAACUGCUGAAAACCUUUGUUGAGACCAGCCUCCAACCAGCAAUAAAUCUCUCUAAGGAUCAAAGCACAAAAAUCCCAAAGUUUCCAUCAAUACUCUAGAUUUCAGCACUUAAGCUUAAAUUCAUUAAGAUUGCAAUGUCAAACUCACCUUCCAAUCUUCAAUUCAGUUGAGGAAAGGUGCUAAAACCAGUGGAGUAUGAUGGAGCAACCUUCUCUGGUUCGAAAUGCAACUUCUUCCAAGGAUUGAUCCAAGAAAACCAUAAAAAUACAAAUUUCAGCUCCAAUACAGCAGCAGUCUGCAAAAACAGUAAAUUGACAAUGCAAACCUCAAUCAAAUGCUGUCAAAUGAGCCCCACGAAAUCUCCAAGAAGUCUAGUAACCACCAAACCAAAUUUCACAGCAAACGGAGCUUCUUACGUCGCACACGAGCCAAAACACCGAAGGUCGCUGCUGGAAAUCUACAGAAACUGCAAUUCUCAAGGUGGAAUGGUGUAAUUUGGAGUAUUUGGAGGACUAGAGUGCAAAAUAUGAGCUUCUCUGUAAGGAAGGGUGAAAAAGCUUCUCAGGGGAUCGCACACAAGCUUUUAUAAGGAGGUGCAAUGGUCUGAUAAGCCCCAAGAACAAAAACACUAACCUGCUGUCCCUGCAGAACUCUACAUUUUCGGGCGCCCGAAAUUAACUUCUGGGCAUCCGAAACUUCUAGAUCAAUACAGCACUCCUUCGUUGGUUCCUUCGCCUGCGGUACGAUGUGCCCAAACAUGGUCCGGCGGACCUCACCUACCACCAUACACGGUCAGCAUAGUCGAUAAUCCCAAAGUGAACUUUCGGGCCCAUUUCUGGGGACCCAAAAACAGGAUCCGAAUUGGCUGCCAGUUUUAUUUCAGUUCACGUUCAGUUCUGGGCGACCCAAACCAUGUUCUGGGCUCCCGAAACUGGCAAACUUCAGUUUUGCUUAUUUGAGUGCGCCGAGUGCGUUUCCGCAUCCAUUUUGUGCAAAAACGACUCCAAUUCAGUCCGACACUCUCCAGAUGUAUCGACCAAUCGCUAAUACUGUAGCCAAUCCGAUACCAAACCCCCGGGACACUGCAUAUAAAUUAGAAAAUUUAAAAUUAGAAAUUUAUUAUUUGUAAACUAAAAUUUAUAAUUUGAUAUUCGAAAAUUAAAAUUUGAAUUUAUAAAAUUAGAAAAUUUAAAAUUAGAAAUUUAUUAUUUGUAAACUAAAAUUUAUAAUUUGAUAUUCGAAAAUUAAAAUUUGAAUUUAUAAAAUUAGAAAAUUUAAAAUUUAAAAUUUGACAUUUAAAUCUUAAAAUUAUAAAAUUUAAUUUUUGAUAUUUAAAAUUUAAAAUUCAAAUUUUAAAUUUGAAAUUAAAAGUUUGAAUAUAAAUUAAAUUAUAAAAUUUAAAAUCUAUGUUGAAAUUUAAAAUUUUAUGUUGAAAUUUUAAAGUUAGAACUUGAUGCAUCUUUGUCCAAGAAUGGUAAAAUUCUUUUUUUUUGUUAGAGUGGUUUAUAAUUUUACUUCAUUUUUUGAUAUAGUUUAACUAUAUACCAAAAAUUACUUUUUUUUUUCUUCCAAACGCUUCAUAGAAUAAUUUUUCUACCGAUGUAGCAUAGUUUUAAGGGUAUCCAAACAGAGCCUAAUUAUACAAGGAGAUGCUGGCCUGAGUGAAAGGCUAGGCAAACUUCGCCUGUCCUCUACCUGCCAAAUGAUCACAACUAGCUAUGAUACUUAUGCAGUGAGUACGUAGUACCCUAUAUUAGUUGGUCUUUAAUUAUUUUCAUGUUGUUCUUGUUAGCUCUUCUUCCAGGAACCGGUUUUGUGGAUUUCUCAGUGCUUAAGAUUUAUGGGUGCCAUCCACGGUCCUUGCCGACUUGACAAGCUGAACAAUGAAAACAACAAUCAACCAGAUCAGGAGGAAAAACAGAAGGCGUACGAGAGAGCAGCCCAAAACCUAACGAUUGCCUCGGUACUUAUCGCUACCGUGACAUUUGCCGCAGCUUUCACCAUGCCGGGAGGUUAUAAAGCUGACGACCACCCAAACGGAGGCACACCAACUCUAGCAGGAAAAUAUGCUUUCAACGCGUUCAUAAUCUCGGACUCCUUAGCAUUUGUUUGCUCCAUCAUGGUCACGUUCUUGCUUACGUAUGUUAGCUCAUUUAGGGCAGAUCCUUCUGUUCGCAUUAAACUCAUCAUCCGCUCCUCCAUUUUCCUAUCCGUGGCCAUAAACUAUAUGAUGGUCGCAUUCGCAAUGUCGGUGUAUGUUGUGCUGGCUCCAGUUAGUACUCCCGUUGCCAUUCUUGUCUUCAUAUUCUCUUUCGCUUUGAUCCCAUUGUCUGCAGGUCCACAAAUAGGACAGCUUUACGGUCUGUUAAGCGCACUAAGGUCCAGACAUGGAUGGUUCGAUCUGAGCUUUGUAAUUUGCUAUUUCAUCUUGGUGACGGUGGUAGAGAGUUUAGUAGUAUAUGGCAGCAUCUUUCUCUUAUCGCUUCUGGCAGGGAUUCAUCAAUCUCAUAAUUCGCAUUAGGUCUUUUUCUUCUCAGUUGUUUGUUGUACUUUUUAUUGGUAUUUGUUUUUGUACUUUUAUUUGAGUGUCCUUGUUUGUGUUUGCUUCAGGGUCCUGGUUAUAUGUUUGGGUCAAUUAUUAAAUAAGCUUGUUCGGAUUAAAAGCCAGCAGGGCUUUUAAAGAGUCUGUGUUAAAAAAUGUGCCUAGCUAGGGCACUCCUUAUUAUAUAUGAUGAGUGAAGUUAUAAGUUUUCUUGUUUAAAUCACAUUUUUCCAUGAAUUACGUACAAGCAGCCAGGUGCGACGUAAGUAUUUUCUAUUUAAUUCACUUCUUCAUCAACUCUUCAAUUGACAAUAAGAGCUUGUUUGGUUCAUAUAAUUUAGAUUCUGAAAUCGAAUGAGAUUCAGUAGUUUCGACAAUAUUGGGUGGUGUCAUUACAGGCGCUUGUAAGCCUACCAUCGGCUGCUCAUUCCGAAUUAAUAAUUAUCCUAUUCGCGCGAUAUUCUCCUUAGAGGCCGUGAUUGCGGCCAACACUGCAUCUAGCCGUGCAGUGCUAGUAUGGCAUAUAUAUAUACAUACAUAUGUAUAUAUAUAUAUGUACAUAUGAACCAAACAAGCUCAAUUGACAAUAAGAGCUUGUUUGGUUCAUAUAUAUAUAUAUAUACAUAAUAUAUUUNUAGAUCAUCCAGGAUGCUCACGGACGGAGAUAGAGGUGGCUAGGUAGUAGGUGUGAUGGAGGAGGUGGAGGAGCAGCCAGCUCCGGCGGCCGGCGGCGUGCUCAGGUGGCCGGGGCAUGCGCAAGAAAAGCUGGGGAACAAGAGGGAGGCGGCUGGGUUAAGGUUGAGGAAGAGAGAGACCUAGGGUUAGGGUUUCCAUGGAGAAACCCUAAGUGGUCACUUUUAUGCAAAUGGCCAAUUCGCACAAAAGUCCCCCGAAACUCAGUAUUUCGUACUAAGACCUUCACAUCGCGUGUAUUUUGCGCGUACACACCUUGUCGUCCAUUCUCACGCGAUUCGGUACAUAAAAUGUCGGGCUUUUCGCGAAAAUACUGUUUCUCCACUUGUGACCCUUCCUCGAUAAUCAUGCGAUAUCAGGAGAUCCGUUCGUCAGAUUUGCAGACGGAUCGCACCAGUGCGAUCAGCACGACAGAUACAUCAAAUUCAGGAUUUUGUUUUGUCCAAAUUGGUUGCCGAUUUGCGACAAAACCUACCCUCAAUACAUUCACCAUAAAACACACACACACACACACACACACAUAUAUAUAUAUAUAUAUAUAUAUAUAUAUAUAUAUAUAUAUAACCAAAGAAACCCCUUUAUCUCGAAAAUCGUGCAUCAGAUCUAAAAUCCGUCAGNNNNNNNNNNNNNNNNNNNNNNNNNNNNNNNNNNNNNNNNNNNNNNNNNNNNNNNNNNNNNNNNNNNNNNNNNNNNNNNNNNNNNNNNNNNNNNNNNNNNNNNNNNNNNNNNNNNNNNNNNNNNNNNNNNNNNNNNNNNNNNNNNNNNNNNNNNNNNNNNNNNNNNNNNNNNNNNNNNNNNNNNNNNNNNNNNNNNNNNNNNNNNNNNNNNNNNNNNNNNNNNNNNNNNNNNNNNNNNNNNNNNNNNNNNNNNNNNNNNNNNNNNNNNNNNNNNNNNNNNNNNNNNNAUAAUUUAUUCGAGUUUGGAUUCGGAUAAUAUUUCGGAUAUUCAAACCUAUUGACAUCCCUACUCCUUAUUCCACUUUUCAAUAUAUAAAAAAAAUACGUACUAAACACGGUGAACCAUUCACCGUGUUUGAACACGGUGAAUGGUUCACCGUGUUCAACUUAACACACGCGUCCCGUCCUACCCGCGUGGCGCUGACGUGACGUAUGCGUGGCAGGUCCAGAGCCAAUUUGCAAAUUUAAUUUUGACAGAGCUAUUUUUAAAAUAAAAAUUUGCCGGGGUCUAAAUGCAAAAAAAGCCCAAAAAAAAAAAACAGAAGAAAUGAAGGGGGAGGAUCGCCCACCCUCUUCUCCUUCGUUUCACCGCCAAAUCCCGGCAUCCCGCCGCGCCGUACGCGAAUCCCCGAGAUCGCGGGGGUACGACCUUUUCCCAAUCGGAUCCCGGCGAUCCUGUGAAGCCCGCCGAAUCCACCAGAGAUCUGCCCCGUACACAGAUCCCGCGAAUCCCGCGCCCCAAAUCUCACCAGCGCACCGUCUCGUUACUCCGCGCCGCUCGCUGAGCCGGAGAUCCCGCAAAUCCCGCUAUCCCGUACGCAGAUCCCGGAGAUCACGCGUCGGCCGCCGUCAGUCGCGUCAGCGAAUCUCGAGGGCCAUGCUGAAAAUCUCGCCAUUGUCGCCGCUCGCGAGCCCCGUCGACAUCACUGUACACAGAUCCCGCAGAUCUAGCCGCGGAUCACGUCGAGCCAUCUUAUCACCGUCGAUCACCGGUGGAGAUCUGGGGAUUUGGUUCCUCGGAGCCCCUAUAAAACGGCGUCGGGGAGAGACGAGCGAAGGGGGCCCAGGGCAUACAACCCAUCCACACAUACACAGGAAGAGAGAGAGAGAGAGAGAGAGAGAGAGAGAGAGAGAGAAGUAACAGAGUAGGAAGAAGGGGAAGAAGAAAGAGAAAGAUAAGGAUAAGGAGAAGGAGAAGUAAAAAAAAAAAGAAAAAGUAAUAAAUAAAAAAAAAAGAGAGAGAAGGGAAGGCUUGGCGUUGCACACCGCCCGUCCAACCCCGCCGCCGCCGCCGCCGCCGUCGACGACGAUGGCGCCAUCCAACAAAGCAGCACCCACCUGAGGUGGGUGCAAAGAUAGUAGUAGAGUACCAUUUUUCUUGAAUAUAUCCAAAUGUACCCUAAACUAGAAAUCCUAGUAAAUUCCAUAAUUAAUUUUCUGUUGAAUCAUAUUUGGGGUAAUUACUUGGUUAGUUUUGUUGCCUACACACAAUUAUAACUUUAUUCAGGAAAAUCAUCGUAACACCUUUUGUUAUCAGGAGUAUUUAUAUAUUUUGUUAAAAUAAUAAUAAUAAUAAGUUUUCCACCUUUGAGAAGUCAUGCAUAUGCCUAUAUUACUAUUUUGAUUAACCUUUCACAAGUUGCAUUAUGUUAAACUGUCUCAACUACCACCAAGUUUCUUUCCUAACUAGUAUAACAAAACUGUGAUUUUAUACAACUCUGAAUAGUUCUGAUACAAUUUUACUGAUAANAUAUAUAUAUAUAUAUAUAUAUAUAUAUAUAUAUAUAUAUAUAUAACCAAAGAAACCCCUUUAUCUCGAAAAUCGUGCAUCAGAUCUAAAAUCCGUCAGCGCCAUUGGUUCCAGAAUAGCUGAACUGGUCGAAACAAGCAAUUGGAUCGCUAUGAUCGGAGUCCGAUACGCACCAGAAGCCAACUCUACUCCGUGGCUUCUCCGAAAAAUCGGAGUUACUAUUCACUUAAGUGAAUACUAAUGAUCGCGUAACUUCUCCGUUCUAACUCGUUUUCUUCUGAAACUUGAAAAGUACUUAUGUAAUUAAAUUACACACAAAAACAUCGUCGACAGAGAGUUCAGCUACACUGUCAAAAUCUCAGUCCUUACAAGAUCGCUCGGUAGCAGGAGUUCUCCCACAUCAUUGACUGUGUCCCGGAUGUUGUUUGGGAUGACCGGGACCGGGCCGAUUGGUUCUUGCGAAGACUUUGACCGAGAAUUUAUAGGGUCGUGCAGAUUCUCAAGCUCACGACCUUUGUUGAGGUCUUUGAUAGAGCCUUGUGGGCAGAGCACGGCGAUGCCCACGUACGUGAGGAGCGCGAGUCCUCAGCCAAGUCAAGGGACAAGAGCAAGAAGCGGGCAACGGGCGGCCUCUCGGUAUCCUCAACAGCAGUCGAAGAACGGGAGGACUUCCCGAUGCGUGAUUUGCGGCGGCAAUCAUCGAUCGUCGGCUUGCCCGCAAGGCGAAGGAACGUGCUUCAAGUGCGGUCAAGCGGGACAUAUGAUUCGUGAGUGCCCGAGAUGGGCGUCAUUUGCACCGACGGCGGCAUUAGUUCCUUCUACCCGCAGACAGCUUGCGGGGUUACCACCGGCGAUGUCGGUUGGGCGCUCAUCUUCAUCGCGUCAGCCGAAGGCAUCUAGAGCACCGAGUAGGCAAAUUUUUGCCACUCAGGUGAAGGAGCUGAUUGCCGUCCCCGAUGACGUCGUGGCAGGUAUUAUCUUGAUCAAUGGCACUAGAGCUAAAGCUUUAUUCGACACGGGUGCAUCGCAUUCAUUCAUAGGUGCAUCAUUUGCGAAAACUCAUGACAUAGAGAUCAUGCAUAACGAGGACUAUUGGUCAGUGAGUACACUUGAGCAUUCGUUCCGUGUCCAUGAUGAGUACUUAGCUUGUUCGGUACAGAUAGGUGAUUGGAUCAUGCUGAUAGACCUAUUGGUGUUAAACCAGAUGUGGGGCUUCGAUGUAAUCUUGGGGAUCAAUUGGAUCUCCAAGUAUUAUGCCGUGAUAGAUUGUGAAAGCAGGGUGAUCACGUUCCGUGAGCCUAAUCAAGAAGAGUUAGUGUACCGGGCAUGUAAAAGCAAGCGCUUCGCGGCAACCGUAUCAGCGGCGAGAGUGAGAAAAAUGAUUAAGGGUGGAUGUGUAGCCUACCUGGCGGCAAUGGUAGAAGCCCAAAAGGAGCACCCGGAGCUUAGUGGUAUUUGGGUAGCGUGUGAGUUUUCGGAUGUAUUCCCGGGGUGGUGCCAAUUUCGAAGGCUCCAUAUAGAAUGGCACCGACGGAGCUAAAAGAGCUAAAGGCGCAGUUGCAAGACUUGCUCGAUAAAGGCUUUGUGAGGCCGAGCGUGUCACCGUGGGGAGCUCCAGUGCUAUUUGUGAGGAAAAAGGAUGGCUCAUUUCGAUUCUGCGUGGAUUACCGCGAGUUGAACAAGGUCACAGUUAAGAACAAGUACUCAUUGCCAAGGAUUGAUGAUUUAUUCGAUCAGUUGAAAGGGUUGAGGGUGUACUCGAAGAUAGAUCUUCAAUCGGGGUAUCAUCAGUUGAAGAUACGGCCCAAGGAUGUGCACAAAACGGCGUAUCGUACGCGGUAUGGCCAUUAUGAGUUCACGGUUAUGCCGUUUGGGCUUACUAAUAUCCCGGCAGCAUUCAUGGACUUGAUGAAUAGGGUCUUUCGACCGUUGCUAAAUCGGUGCGUCGUGGUGUUCAUUGACGACGUGUUGGUCUAUUCAUGGAGUGAGGAAGAACAUGAGGAGCACUUGAGGACCGUGUUGGAAAUACUACGCAAAGAGAAGCUUUAUGCAAAAUUAAAGAAGUGCGAAUUUUGGCUUUCGGAGGUUACCUUCCUAGGCCACGUGAUUUAGGGUGAAGGCAUCUUGGUGGAUCCGAUGAAAGUAGAGGCAAUUAAAGAUUGGCCUCACCUGACGGGUGUAGCGGAGGUCCGCAGUUUCCUUGGACUAGCGGACUACUACCGGCGGUUCAUGGAAGGGUUCGCCAAAUAAACCACUCUACUAACGCACCUCACACACAAGGGAGUGAAGUAUGUUUGGAGCGACGAUUGCGAUCGGAGCUUCGAGGAGUUAAAGAAAAGGUUGACAUCGACCCCGGUGCUUGCUCUACCGACGCCGUGGGAGACUUUUGUAGUAUACAGUUAUGCUUCAUAUAUCGGUCUCGGGUGUGUCUUGAUGUAAAAUGGCCGAAUUAUAGUUUAUGCUUCGUGCCAAUUGAAGAGAUAUGAAAAGAACUACCCGAUUCAUGAUCUAGAGUUAGUGGCGGUUAUUUUCGCGCUAAAGUUAUGGAGGCAUUACUUGUAUGAUGAACACUGUGAGAUCUACACGGAUCACAAAAGCCGUAAAUAUUUGUUCACCCAAAAAGAGUUGAACACAACAACGGCGGUGGUUAGAGUUAUUAAAAGAUUACGACGUUACUAUUCUAUACCACCCCGAGAAGGCAAUUGUCGGGGCCGAUGCACUUAGUAGAAAAUCGGGGGAAAACUUGGCUUCGGCAAUUAUACCCCAACCGUUGUUGCAAAAGGAGAUGUAAUGGCUCGGAUUAGUAGUAGUAGUGCCGGGAGUGCCGGAUACACUUGCCGUGUUGGUGGUACAAUCGAUCUUGUUGGAGAGGAUAAAAGAGUUGCAAGCUUCCGAUGAGUAUCUCCAAAAGGUGCGUGGAGAAGUUGAGAGCGGUAGUGUCGAUAAUUUUGGCGUUGGGACCGACGACACCCUUCGAUUCCGAAAUCGAUGGUGUGUUCCCAAGAACGAGGACAUUCGAAAGGCGAUUAUGCAAGAAGCGCAUCAAUUUUCUUAUAGUAUUCACCCGGGCGGCAUCAAGAUUUACCAAGAUUUAAAAGUGCACUAUUGGUGGCCGAGCAUGAAGAAAGACAUUGGAGAGUUCGUGGCACAAUGUCUUACGUGCCAACAAGUAAAAGCGGAGCGGCGGUUUCCGGCGAAAAAAUUGCAAAUCUUACCUAUACCCGUUUGGAAAUGAAAAAAUAUCGCUAUGGUCUUCGUGACCGGUUUCCCCCGAUCUCAAGGUGGACAUGACGCAAUUUGGGUGAUAGUAGACCGGUUGACGAAGUAGGUGCAUUUCCUACCGAUUCAUAUUACAUGGUCGGGGGACAAGUUGGCUCAAGUAUACAUGGACGAGGAUGUGAGACUUCAUGAGGUUCCGGUAUCAAUUGUAUCGGAUCGGGACCCGAGAUUCACAUCUCACUUUUGGAGGAGUCUACGGGAGGCAUUGUGUAACAUACCAGAUUUUGGUAUAAAGAUAAAAAUAAAUAAAAAUAGUGUGAGAAACUAUUUUUAUUGGAUUUGUAGAAGUAAAACAUAAGUCAGAAGUGACUUGUGCUGAAAUCGGAAUGAAAACAGAAGAUUUAGAAUUUUCUGUUGGAAACGGGACAGAUAAAUUAGCAGAAAAUACACAGUCUCAGAAAAUUAUGAAAAUUGGAGGAUAAGUCAGAAAUAUUUUUAUGAGGCUAGAUUUAAAGUUUCAUAUUUUUCUGACACCCGUAGAGUGAGAAAUAAAAUCCGACAGCUAUCUGAUAAAGAUUACAGUUCGGUACAGUUUUCGGUGACCAAAUGGGGUCGAAACUGAAAACUUAAAAUAUAUUCUUGCUCAGUACGUAAAACUGAAUAUGACUGUCAAGUUUGAGCUCAAACGGACAUUUAGGGAGCUCCGGCGAAAGUUAUCAGAUUUCAAGCUGCCUGGAGUGAAUAGUGUUUGAGGGGUAUUAUAUAGAAGCUGAUGCUUCUUCUCCCUCAACCGUGCGCCACACACACACCCGCACGCCACACACGCACACACGCUUGGAGAGGGAAAGAGAGAACCCACCCAUUUUCUCUCUAAAUCUCUCCCAAAAUUGAAGGUUUUGGUGGAGAAGCAAGCUUGGAAGUUGAUCUUCAUCUUCUUCGUCUUCUUCCUCUCCAUUAGAGCAAGCUUUGAAGGUAAGCUUCAAACCCUUUAAUGGCAUUUCUCUCUAGUUUGGUUUUUAAGCUCUAAGAAUGGAUUUAGAGGUAUUCUAGCAUGCUAAUUAGAGGUUUGAUGCUUGAAACCAAGGCUCUAAUGGUGGAUUUUUACCUAGUUGUAAUCUAGGGCUCAAAAAUGCUAGUUUUGUAAAUAUGAGGGUUUGAUCUCAUUUGACCCUCUGUAAACCUAAUUGCUAGGUAAACGAACGCGUUGGCGAAGUCGGUUCGGCGAUUCGUCGAGCCGUUGCGAAGUUAUUAAAGAAACGGACGUUUAGGCUUCGUUUCCGCCUGGAGGGCCGAGGCGACAUCGUAAACCCAUGAAAACGGAUUUGAAGCAUCGUGGCACAUAACCGAAGACCUUUAAUUUUCGGAUCGUGAAUUGGAGGCCGUUCGGGUGGUCGCGCGAGAGAUCGGGCCAAACCGGGUGCCGGGUGCCGCGGGAGGCCGAUUGCAAGUGUCGACAAGCAAUCGGAAUGCGAAAUGAGGUGGGUUGUGCUUACCGAAGCGAUUAGGUCGCCUGUAUGUCUAAGAGAAAUGAGAUUUCAUAUUGAUGCAUGUUGACAUAUAAUGUGAAAUGCUAAAGGAAUGCAUAUUGACAUAAUGUAAGAAUGUGAAAAGAAGUAUGUUAACAUAUUAUAGAAUGCUAGAUAAAUGCAUGUGAUUAAUGAUUUGAAUGCAUAAGAUAAAGGGCAUAUGAAUGUUAACAUUAUAAGAAUAUGCUUAAAGAAAUGCAUAAUGACAUGUUGUAGAGCAUGCAUGUGGAUAAUGCUAAGUAAUGGUAUGAUAAGCAUGAUUUAGAAAUAAUGAAUGCAAGUAUGUGGUUAAUGUUAAGAAAUGGAAAUGUGCAUAUGGAUAAUCUAUAUACAUUAGAUCGAGUGGCACUAAAUCUAGAGUCAUGGACAUAGGUUAAACAUGGAAGCUAUGAACCUAGUGUCUUGAACAUAGGUUGAACAAGUAUAGUGUGAACCUAGUGUCAUGAACCUAGUAAACACUUGUGGCAUUUGAGCAUAUAUAUUUUGUACCAUUCAUGUAUGAUAGGGCUAAAUACAUGUGAACCUUGGUUGCUUUCAAUGACAUGUUUCUAACGAAGUUGAACAUAGAGAAAGGUAGAACCAUAAUGAACAUGUAUGUUAGGACCCUAUUAUUGUGUGAAUGUGAGAGUUGGACUUGGACAUUAGUAAACAAAUGUGACAUGGACAAUAGAGACAUUGAUUGGCAUAGAGAACAUAGUUAUUAAACAUAGUUUAACCAAGAGUGGCAUUGAGACAAGAAUGACCUAGAGAGCGGCUUGAAUAAAUAGGUAGAAAACCUAUCAUGAUUGUGGCAUUUGUGGCAUUGUGGCUUAUGGCUAUACAUUCCCAAAUUGGGAAUCGGAUCAUACUCACAUUGAGUCUUGGCUUGAGGGAGGUCGCUCCUCCUCAAGCGGUGUGUUUCCAGAAAUCGACACCGCAGGGAGCGAGGUUGUAAUACACUGAACUUUUGCAAAUUGCGAAGUUCGAGUGUGUGGAAUGGUGUGUGGAUCACUCCUACAUGUUCUAAAAGGUUAGAACAAGUGUUUGGACAAGUUUGAGAGUGAUUGGAAUGCAAAAUAUAAGAAAAUGCAUUGACCUCCGAAAUUUCAGCAUUUUCUGCUUGCUGUACCGGUACAGCCAUUACCUUGUACCGGUACAAGCUGGCAGAUUCGUGAUAGCAGGGCCAAAUUGGUCAUUUCACAUCUUGUGCCUACCUAUUUGAUCCCAGCACGACUCUUGGAGCUUGCUGGAGUGUGCUAGAGCCCAGAGAAGCAACCUUGCAUCAUUUUCUCUCUCUCUCUCUAGGGUUUUUCUCUCUCUACAAAGAAUUCGCCGAUUUCGCUCNNNNNNNNNNNNNNNNNNNNNNNNNNNNNNNNNNNNNNNNNNNNNNNNNNNNNNNNNNNNNNNNNNNNNNNNNNNNNNNNNNNNNNNNNNNNNNNNNNNNCAUACAGUUAGAAUAUACAAUAGCUUAUCUUACCCCCCAAUUUGGGCAACGGUAGAAUCGACGUCCUUGGCUUGUUGGCUGCUUCGAUACCCAUAUUCUACAAGAUCUUCCGCAGUCGCACACAGGAAUUUGUGUGUCAGGAGUUGAUGCAGAUCUCUCACUUAGAUGGCUCUUAUGGCUAGAAGUGAGGCAAAUAAGAGAAAAAAAAAAGCUAGUAGAUGGAGAAGUAAGCUUGACUUAUUUUUGAGCCAUGGAUGUGCUUUUAUAAUGUUAGAAAAGAAGGUUACCGUUGAAAUGACCGUUGGAGGGUAAAUAGGAAACGAAUUUGAUAUUUUAAGGGCAAAUAAGAAAAGUAUUGGCUACAUGGAGGGCAUAAAAGAAAAGUAGGUUACGGUACGAGGGUAUAUUGGAAUGGGCAAAAUGGUAAUUUUGCAGGGAUAACGGCAACUGUUAGCACCUAACUGACGGAAUUUAACUGCAGGGGUAAAUUAGAAAGAACUUGGAACAUAAAAAAGGCAUUUUCAAUAUUAGCCUUCUGAUAGGGGUAAAUAAAAAAAUCAGAAACUUUUUAGGGGUAUAUAGGCAAUUGCCCCAAAAAUAAAUAUCUGAACUGAAAAAAUCAAAUUGAUGACGAAAUACAAAAUAAUCUUUAAUGCUUAGGGACUCAAUUGAAAUCUCCUCGAUGAAAGUUAUGAUCUCAAAUGUUGAAAUAACACUGGUAGUCCCUAACCUUCGCAUCAAUUUUUAUUUCAGUUCCCAACCUUUUUUUUGCAAUUAAGUCCUUAGUCUCUUAAUUUUAUUACAAUUACGUCUCAAACGUUAAAAAAAUGAUUAAAAUUAACGGAAUCGCCACAUUAACGUCUAUUUGGCAUUCUUUUGCAUGUCACUUUAGGUCCCUAAACUUUGCACAUUUUUCAUUUCAGUCCCUAAAAAUAAAAAUUUUAAAAUUUAAAUUUAAAUUCAAAAAUAAUAUUACAAUUAAAAUUUUAAAAUGACAACAAAUUAGAAUUUUUGAAUUUGAAUUUAAAGCUGAAUUAAAAUUUUGAAUUGAAAUUCAAAUUUUAAAUUUAAAUUUUUAAUUGAAUUUAAAAUUUGAAUUCAAACUUAAAAUUUUGAUUUUGAUUUUGAUAUUUCAAUUUACAUUUAAAAUGAAAGUUUUGAUACCGAAAUUUAAAUUUAAAAUUUGAAUUUAAAUUUAAAAUCAUAUUCAAAAUUUUGAUUUUAAAUUUUAAAUUUGAAUUCAAAAUUUAAAUUUGAAUUUAACAUUUGAUUUCAAUUAUAAAUUUGAAUUUAAACUUUGAAUUCAAAUUAACAUUUUGAAUUUGAAAUUUCAAAUCGAAGUUUGAAAUUAAAUUAGAAUUUACAAUUCCAAAUGUGAAUUUGAAUUUAAAAUUAAAUACAAAAUCGAAAUUUCAAUUCCAAUUUAAAUUUGAAUCCAAAAUCAAAAUUUAAAUUUAAAAUUUUAAAUCUUAAAUUAAAUUUUUUUUUGAAUUUAUAAAUUUAAUGGGUCAAUUACACCAUUGGUCCUCAACCUUUGUAUCGUUUUUCAAUUUGGUCCCAAACCUUUUUUUUUUUGCAAUCCGUUGACACGACACCUCCUAGGCGCUGAUAUGAUGCUGACGUGGUAGUUUACGUCAAUUUUAACAGCUAUCUAACUGCUGGGACUUAAUUGAAAUGGAAUCAAGAGAUUAGGGACUUGAUUGCCAUGAAAAAAAAGUUGGGGACCAAAUUAAUAAAUAGUGUAAACGUUAGGGACCAUUGGUGUAAUUAACCCGUUGAAAUAAAGAAUUUGGCGACCAAUCCGAAUAUUACUCAAAGUUUAGGGACCAUUAGCGUAGUUUACCCUAUUUUCUGGUGCUCUUUAAAGGGCGGCCAGAGCCCAAACCCUAGAGAAGGCCUAAACCUCCCCGCAGCUUUUCGCCACGCACCGGAGCGCUUCCUCUUCCCCUUUCUCUUUCUUGGUCGCCGCUCUCCGCUCUCCGCUCGCCGCCGCGUAAUUUUUCUUCCCCUCUAAUCCAGUUGGUGAUGGAGUUCUGGGGUAAGUCCUCUCCUUGUUUUCUUCUUCUUCUUCCUCUUUUUUCGCAUCUCCUGCUAUCACUCCUCCGGUGUUUCUUUUGUGUUAUUUGAUCUAUCACUCAAUGUCGCAAUAGUUUCUAUCAUACGUUUUUCUUCUCUAUUUGAUUCCCCGUUUCAUCUCCUCUUCCUCUUCCUCUUUCUCUUCCUCUUGUUGUUUUCUAUUAUUUUCUCUUUCUUCUUCAGGCGUUGAAGUUAAACCCGGAGAGACCGUCAAGUGCGACCCCGGAGACGACAAAUAUUUGCAUCUUUCGCAGGUCUUUGAUUUUUUUUUCUUUUUUAAUUUUUUACCGAGUUGUUUUUUUUUUUUUUUUUUUUUUUUUUUUUUUUUUUUUUUUUUUUUUUUUUUUUUUUCAAAAGUGCUGUGUUCUAGCAGAGCAUUUUAGCUGGUGCAUCUAUACUAAUUAUUAUUAUUAUUGCCGUAUUAAAUGAUAUUCAGGCGUCACUAGGGGAAACUAAGAAGGACAGGGCAUCUGAGAGCGUUCCGAUCUAUGUGAAGUUCAACGAUCAAAAGCUGGUCCUGGGAACCCUGUCCACAGACAAAGUCCCUCAAAUUUCUUAUGAUUUAGUCUUUGAGAAAGAGUUCGAACUCUCUAACAGUUCCAAGAACGCCAGCGUCUACUUCCUUGGCUACAAAACUGUUCUUGGCGACGAUGAGGAAUAUCCUUUCAAUUUUAUGAAAUUUUGAAUUCCUGCUGUUUUGUUCUUUUUUUUGAACUUUUUUUGAACUGCUUGCCUCUCAGUUGAUUUCCUUGACUCCAUUCUUUUGUCCUCCUCCAAGCCUUCUGAUUUCGGAGGUAACUUCGCUUUGUUAUUAAGUGUUUUUUAAUUUGCCAAGCAGGACUGUUGUUUCAUCAUCUGAUUCUCUGCCGUUUCUUUCUUCUUGCUUUCAGAUACUGAUUCUGAAGAUGAAGACAUUCCUCUAGGCCUGAGCUCAAAUGGUACUUUAUAUUGAAAAUAAUAAUGGUUUAAUCGUCUAAGUUUGUCGUAUUGUUCAUACAGGUACAUAAUGCGUAAACCGAUUGCUUAAGUUUACACUAGUGGUUGUAGAAGUGUGUGAGUUGUAAGAAACUUGCUUGCUGAGCACUAGUCUAAGCAACUUGCUUGCACAUAUGCACAUAUCCAGAAUUUCAUUGAAAGUACUAGAUUUCUUUAGAUAAGAAUUGGGGGGUGUUUAGCCUAGAUUUUGGAAAGUAAUUUUUAGGGCCAGAAGUGAUUUUUUUUUUUCUUUAAUAGAACGUUUGGCAACCUCUCUUUUUUAAAAUAUGAUUAUGAUUCUUACUUUUCUGAUUAUUGAGGCCCAAAACUGGAGGCAAUUAAAACCUGCAUCUUAAAAUAUGAUUCUAAUUUUGAACUCAAAAUUUUAAAAUUUUAAAUUCAAAUUAUAAAUUUAAAACAGAUUUUAAAUUUUAAAUUUUCAGGUUUUAAGUUUCUAAUUUCAGGUUUCAGUGUUUGGGAUUUUGGGUUUUGGGGUUUUGGGGUUCAAGUUUCACGUUUCUGGGUUUUCGUAUUUUGGGUUUCAAAUUUCAAGUAAAUUUAAAUAUACAAUUUUGAAAUCGAAUUUUAAAUUUUAAAAUUUUUAAGUUUUUCAAAUAAAUUUAGAUAUUAAGUUUUAAAUUUCAAAUUCAAUAUUAAAUUUUAAAUUUCAAAUUCUAAUUUAAAAAAAAAAUUAAUUAAAAUUUGAUAUUUAGGGUAAAAUUAAAAAUUUCAAACAUGUUUAAAUUUCUAAACUUCACAUUCAAAAUUUAAAUAUAUGGUUUUAAACUUUUAAAUUUUAAAUUUCAAAUUUUGUAUUUUGGUCAGAUUUUAAAUUGAAUGUUUUAAAAUUUUAAAGUCAAAUUUAAAUUUUAAAUUAAAAUUUUAAAAUAAAAUUUAGCAAAACAGAUAUUAUUUGCAACGAAGAAAAUUUUGCCACAUAUUUUUAUCAAAGUUCUUUAGAAAAAUCACUUUUCUAUUGCACCCAAUCAAACACUCCGCACCCUUUAACCAAAAUUUAUUUUUCAAAUCAAAAUCAAUUUUGCAGAAAUCGCUUUUUCAGAAUUUAGGCCAAAUAGUCUCUUAAUUAGAGAACUGAAUUCUCCCAAAUUAAUUCAAAACUUAUGCAAAAUAGGAAGAAUGACCGCUGUCACUAAUUUCAACAAAUUUUAGUAAAAUUUUUUGUUUAGUGGAAAACAAUUCUUUUGAAUAUGGAAAAUCAAAAUUCCCCAAAUUGUGCUUUUGUUGUCAUUUUGAUCAUUGAUCUGAUGAAUAGUAGUUGAAAAAAAGAAUUUGGAAAGAAACUCUAAACUUGUUUGGUUGAAGAAACUAGUCUACAGAAAAGGUGCUUCGAGCUGUGCUGUUGCACAGCGGUUGUGUCAUGCGAUACUUGGUUGGCAUAGUACGAGGGCCAUGUUGAUUUGCUCUUAAUUCCUAGGUUGCGAGGUGGCUUUUAUUGGUAGAAUAUAAAGCUGGAAUUGUUUCUUUUGAUUUUUAAGGGAAACCCAUGGUAAAGGAGGAAGAGGUGAAGCCUGCAGCAGCUAAGAAUAAUACUGCAAAGGCUGAUGCCUCGGCUGCAAAGACCAAGGUCAAGAUAGAGGAACCAAACAAGGCUAGUAGUAAACAGGAAGCAGAUGAUGAGGAUGACGAUGACGAGUCUGAAGAAGAUGCAUCCGAUGACGAGGAUGGCGAUGAGGUAUUUGUUAAAUAGGAAGAAGAAAAGGCUCAUGUAUUUACCCUUUUUUCUGUUUUGUAAUAUUUGUGUAGAUUUGCGAAGUAUUUGUAGUUACCAGUUGACACUUUCCAAGUAAUAUACUGCUUAAGUUGAUGGUUAUGAUGUGGAAAUCAUUCUUUUGACAAGCAUUACCUAGGGGUGGGCUUUCCUGGGGCUAUGCAUCUCUAAAUAUGCUAGUAUUUUUGUUUGCAGGACAUGCUCGAGGGAGAGGAGGAUAGCGAUGAUGAGGAUGAUAGUGAUAGCUCCGAUGAAGAAGAGGAGGAAACGACCCCUAAAAAGGUCUGAUUCCCAUCGGGCUUCUUAUUUCAUACCUACCCUUUGAUCUUUAUUUAUUUUCAAGCAUUAUUCUGCAUUUAUAUUUUUUAAUGAUCUUUUAUUAUAGGCCGAAAGCAAGAAGAGACCUGCCGAGCCUGCUUCGAAGUCGGGGAAAAAAGCAAAGCUGGCGUCCCCAGCGGUGGGCCAAAAAACAGGUUCUUAUCUACUUUGUUCUUUAUUUGAAUGAAGCUGCUUCUUCAGUAAUAUGAGCAUUCAGUCUUAAUAUUCUGCCACUAUUGUGGAGUCUGUCAUGGGGUAAUUUAGUUUCAUCACAUGCCGUUUUAUAUCCUCUUGUGCUAAAUACAUAGCAGAUGGGUGAAACUCAUAUAUUAAAAAUAUACGAGCAGGUGGUGAUGGUAAGGUAGGUGGGCAUGUUGCGACUCCACAUCCGGCCAAACUAGUUGGAAAGACGCCUGCGAGCAAUAAGCAGCAGCAGACUCCGAAAUCUGUUGGUUCGGUCACUUGCAAGUCAUGCUCCAAGUACGUCUCCGGCCUCCUCUCUCUCUAGCCUUCCUGUUCUCUUUCGUAUUACAUGAAUUAGUGGAAGUUUUGGCAAUGCCAUAUCAACUGCUCUCUUGUAUCGCAGGAAAUUCAACAGUGAGAAUGCUCUUCAAGCUCACACGAAAGCGAAGCAUAGCGCCGGCAAGUAAGUUGGAAGGAAUAGAACGUGAGGAAUUCUAGAAGCAAGUGGUUAUGGCUGUGGAAGUGAGAUUACUGAGUCGAAGUUGUCAUCGUUACGCGUUAUUCUUCUUUUUGGCUUUUUCGUUUUUUCCCUACUAUAAUCGUUGCUGAACUGUUGCGCACUUACUUUUAAAGACUCGUCUUAAUUAUUUAGGUCAGUGUCUAUUAGCUUCAAUUAAAGAAAAUGAUUUUGUGCCGUCAUUCUGUUAUCGAUUUUCUGUAGUAUCUCUGAAGCGCUCAACUGUUGGGCUGUAUUAAUUGCUUGCUAAGCCAGGAGAGGUGAAUCUUUUAAGGCGUUAGGAGUUUUGGUUUUGUAGAAGGAUAGCUAUGGUACUGUUUUAUCAAAAGUAAUUCUUUGGAGAAGGAUUGCUAUGGUACUAUUUUAUCGAAGCUAAUUCUUUGGAGAAGCGAUGAAAUUGGUGGGCAGCUGCUGUUUGCUGUUGAUUGUGGUUUAGGAUACAGAGGUCACUAUAAUCUACAUGUGGAAAGCAGUUGAUAGUUUUUAACGCAUGAAGUUUUGCGGUUGCGGUGUCGUUUAUGGUUUGUGGUUGGCAUGGUCAUCCGCGCGCCUUUGAUGGGAGUUUUCGGCAGAAGCAGAGUAACCUCUGUUCUCUCUUGUUCUCUCUUCCUCCCGUCGGCUAAUCCCCAAAGGCUGGGUUUUGAUGAUGAAGCCCUUUGGAAACCCCUUUGCCUGCAGCUCCAUUCUGAUCCAGCUGUGCUGUGGUGCCUUGCAUUAUCGCCCUUUAGUUGUUUGUGGAAAUGCUAGUUUGGUCUCCUAUCCUCCUUUGUCCCAAACCUCUAAUAAUAAUAUCGGUUUCUUAAAAGCUUUCAUGUGGUUUAUCGUACAAUUUUCCUACUGAUAUUAUGUUUUAAGGAUUGAUCGAAUUUUUUAUUUUGGAAAAUUUGGAAGUUUAUUGUUAGUCCAUCAUUUGUUUAAUGAAAUGUCAAUUUCAGCCUCUCCUUUCCCAAUUCCCGUUAAACGUCAAUAAUUUUAAGUUCAAUUUUUCAGAGCUUUUGUGUCUUUGGAUUCCAAUAGUUGUGGAUGUUUUCUAAGAUUAGAUUUUGAGUUCUGUUAGUGUUGUUGGCAUAUUAUGAUUUGGUGUAUGGCGUGCCAUACUGAUAGAUUUCAUUUAUAAAUAUACUUAUUUGCAGAUAUAUAAUGGUACGAAAUAUUUAUAUUUUUGAAUAUUAAUAUAUUUUAAUUGUUUAUUUAUAUUUUUAUUAAAUUUUUUUUUUGUAUUUAUUUUUGUAAUCUAUAAAUCUAUAUGAAGCCAUAAUAUUUUUGCCACAUGACAGGUUAUCUUUCAUUUUCAUAACUCAACUUUAAAUCAAAUCACCUUUUUCUCUUCUCAACACCCAACCCUUCACCUCCCCACUCCUGUAAUUAUAUGCAAGAUGCAAUAUUUAAUUAUAUGCAUCAUAUUAAUAUUCGUUAAUCCACUUUCCUUCUCCAUUAAUCUCCCACUCCCUCUCUUUUGUAACUCUUUUGCAUGCACCAUAAAUUUUUUUUUUGCCACGUGAUAUGUUAAAACUAUAAAUCAAACCACAUUUUCCUCUUCUCAACGCCCAACCCUUCACCCCCCACUCUAAUUACAUACAAGGUGUAACAUUUAAAUGCAUGCAUUAUAUUAAUAUUCUAUCAAUUAGUGGGUUCUAGCUAUAAUUUUAUUCUUUUAACAGUUGAAUUUAGUCAUGCAAAUUGGUUGUACUUAAUAUGGUAUAUUUUCCUAUAUAUCAAUAAGAUGUAAAUAAAUUUUAUUAAAAUUUUUAAAUUUUGUUUCUAUUAUCUACCCGCUGCGUCGCGCGAGUCUCUAUACUAGUUAUUUAUUAAUUUUAGAGGGAAAAAAAAAGGUUUUUAAACCUUGCCAUCUGCACUGCGUGGUAGGGUUUCAAAACCUUUUUCGAGAAUGCUAGUUUCAAGAAAAGAGGGUGUAGUAUCCCUGGUAUUCUGCAGUUGUGAGAUUUCAGCAUCUGAAGCUCAUCGACAUAUCUGGAGAGUGUCAAGACAAGUCCGAAUCGUUUUGGCGUGAAAUAGACGCAAAACGGAUUCAGUGUGACGUGAGAGCAGGAAUUUAGCAUUUAAAAUCUGCAAAUUGCAGGUUUACUGCAUUGCGUACCGGUACUACCCAGGGGCGUACCGGUUCCCCAUCGUAAUCCGCGAAUUGCUGCUCUCGGGUUGCGAAGGCUGAUGCAGGGUACCGGUACGGCAUUGGCCUGGUACCGGUACUUCAGGGUAGGUAAGGGGCUGUUUGGUCUUUUGCUACCUCGUUGUUAUCACCCUUAUCCCCUACCUCUUCUUAUACGUGUAGAGAGGUAGAGAAGGGAUUUUUUUCUGCUGUGCUCUCUCUCUCUCUAGUCCUUGACCGUGAGCAAGGUGGAGACCUCGGAUGGAAUUCGGAUCGACGUCGACGUUGCGCCGAGAAGCCGUCCGAGCGUGCGUACGUCGUUGUAGUACCGAUUGGAGACCGGGCGAGCGCGUGGUUCCUCUUCUUCUAACUUCUCGCCGUCGUGGAUUAGUAUUUCGAUGUGGGUUAAUGUUUACCGAAAUCGAUGGAUUUCCUCCUAAGCCGGAGUUGACAGCAUGUGUAUUUAGCUUCAUAUACCAUGUUAGUAGCUCAAUUCGUAGAUUUGCAUUGUUCUUAAAUGAAAUCUGAAUUGGAGCUUUAUAUGCUAGUUUUAUUAUACAUAUUGAACUUGGAUUUGACUUAGGAGAAAACUGUCGGUUCUACACUGUCAUUUUCUGAAACUACCAGAUUUAGCUUUAGGAGCUGUAGUUUGUUUGUAUUGCCGCAGUUUGUAGGCAGUGGAUAUCCAGAAUAGUGUAGAAUGAAUUUACGCUCGUGCUGGGAUACCGAGUUUAUUUUUAUAGUAGUGUUUAGACCGUUCCGGAUUGUUGGGUGCCGUUGUGGUUGACGGUGGACCUAGAUUGCUGUUUUUGCAUCAGAUUGUGCCGAGGGUAUGUUUAUUAUGGUUGUUAGACCAGUUAGACCCUUCUGCUUUAAUUAUAGCCUGUGAGAACCUGAUUGAGCUCGUCAGAGACAUGCUUGCAUACUCGGUUGGGUAGCGCCCACGAGUGCCACUCCGGAGUCAGGCCUAGUGCUUUUGCGUUGAUGUCGUUGCGUCCUGGUUGGACUUGUUCUCCACUGACGACCGAGCGUGGUGGUAGUUAGUGUAGUUUCGACAGGCGGGACGGGUGUGUUCACGGUCCCUAGUGAGAUUGGGUCAGAGAUUGCAUCUUCUACAGAUAGUUAGUGUUGAAUCGUAAUAGUAUAGUGGCAUAUAGCUGUAGAUUUGUUCCAGCUUCCUGUACUAUUUUGAGUAUACUUCUAUAGACUUAGUGGGUGAGCCGUUGAGGUCAGUAGCGGUAUCCACUGAUGACUACUUCUUUUUCCAGUAGUUCUCACACCCAGUUGUUGAAUCCUUUUUGCAGAGCCUUUUUCUUCCGCUGCUGCUGUUGCGGAUACAGAUCGUGGAAAGGAAAUUGCGAGUUAGAUCCCUUCUCGUUUUGCUGCUGAUCUAGAGAUUUACCAGCUACAGGUAGUGUUAGUUUUUGGUUCUUAUACACAUUGAUGUUAGAUCCUCGCUGGAGCGAGUGUUGUGUAUCUGGAGACUAUGUAUGUAUAAAGAAUCUGAUGUUAUAUAUAUAUAUAUAUAUAUGUUUUUCAGUUUAGCAGCUCUAUACUACUAGUUGUAUUUUUGUAUGAUUAUAAGUACAGGUACAACUAUCGCUUCAUAUACAGGAGAAAUUCCUUUGUAUACGGCAGAUUUGUCAACGUGCCCGAGGAAACGAUUAAUCCGGGGCGUGACAGAUUAAGUUGGUAUCAGAGUUUAGCAUUAGGUUGUUGGGACCUAGGAAUCCUAAAUUUGGCAAACCUUAGGAAGGCAAGACGCGAGAGGCGUGAUUUAUCGCGAAAGUCAGCGAUUGAACUGUUUUAACUUCUCCUAGAGUGGAGUGAGUAAUCGAAGGAGUGUCUGUUUCGGCCAAGAAAAAUUAUGUCGGCUGCAGAAGGCAUAAUUUUGAGGAGAAAUAGGGUCCGCCUUCUAGACUUUCGCUUCAUUGGGUCGAGAGUGAUUGUGUUUUGUAUCUGAUCCUUAUUUUGUUUUCUUACAGCUAUGUAUCGAUGCCGAGGCCGACCGCCAACCCGGGAUCGUGCCGCACCCCCUGAGAUGCCGAAGCAGGCAGGGCUGAGUGCAUCCUUGGAUCUGAGAGAGCAGUUAGCUGCCCGGACGGAGACGACGAGACAGCGGGGACAUUGUUAUAGAUGAUGUGUGAGACAUUAGCUCUGCAGCAGAGAACAACACCGAGAGUACCAGAGCAGUCAGCUCCACCCCCGACUACUCCUGAGGCCGCACCAGCCGUAGCUGUACCCCCACUAGCGAUAGUUCCUACAGCGCGAGUUACAUUCUUUGGAGAGGUGUCGCAGAUGUCAGAGGCCGAGCAGGAGCAGAUGACUGAAAGGUUUGCUCGUUUUCACCAUUUUGAUCCGCCAACCUUUGACGGUAGCUACACGGAGCCCUGAGUUGUAGAGGGCUGGGUGAGCGCGAUGGAGAAGCUAUUUGUGGAUCUAUUUAUACUAGAGAGGGAUCAUGUACACUUGGGAGUGCACUGCUUGGCUGGGGAUGCGCAUUCUUGGUGGAGGAGGCUGAGGCGUGACCGAGGGUUGGUAGCAUUGCAGAUAAGGUGGGAUGAGCUCUACGGAAUGCUGUACGGGGCGUAUUUCCUAAACAGCGUGAAGCAGAAACUUGAAGAGGAUCUGAAGAAGCUGCAACAGGGGGAACGAUCAGUUCAGGAGUACACCCGCGAGUUUACUCGGCUCCUGAACUAUGUUUCAUUUGUAGCGAGAGACGAGGCCUACCGAAUAUAUCUGUUUGAGCGAGGCUUGAGGCCAGAGAUCUUCAGGUUGGUAUAGGCGCGGAGGUUGAGGACCUUGGAUGCGUCUAUUGAGCAGGCUCUAUGGGUGGAGAGAGGUGAUGUAUCGAUCCGCGAGCGGGCGCAGGUACAGGUGCCGGGGCAGAGUGAGGAUAGGAAGCGCCCGGUUCCAGAUGACGGAGGACAGUUGAGCAGCAGGCUUCCGCCGAGGCCUCCACGAUCACGCUCCCAGGGUCGUGGGUCUUCGGGGCGUUAGCGUUCUCGGGGACCUCGUUAGCAGAGGCAGUCACAGGGGACGCCACAGUGUGUGAUUUGUGGGGGACCGCACUGGCCUCGACAGUGUAAGUAGAGAGAGGGCCGAUGCUAUGGAUGUGAACAGCCAGGGCAUAUGAGGGCAGCUUAUCCCCGAGCAGCAUCUACAGCACCAUCGACGGCGUCAGCACAGCUGGCACCUCAGCAGUCUUACAGAGCAGCACCGAGUUACCGCCAGGAGGAUAGAGCGUCUGUGCCGCUGCAGGGUGAGCGGUUACUGCAGGCCCCGAGUGGCAGGAUUUAUGCAGCCCAGGUGGAGGACUCUACGGCAGCCGACAAGGUGGUGGCAGGUAUUAUUUUGAUUUCUGGUAUUCGAGCUCGUACCUUAUUUGAUACUGAUGCAUUGCAUUCUUUUGUUAGCCGAGCAUUUGCAUUGUUGCAUGGUCUAGAGGUAGGGCCGUUGUUGCAUGCACGAGAGGUGCAGAUUCCCGACCAUACUUUGCAGGUGGUAAAGUAAUGUUGGUCAUGUCCGGUGCAGUUGGGCUCGUGGAUUAUGCCUGUAGACCUGUUGGUCUUAGGGCAGCUGCAGGACUUUGAUGUUGUGCUUGGCAUAGAUUGGUUGGCGCGGUACUAUGCUACGAUCGACUGUGGAGUGAGGAUUGUGACGUUCCGCAAGGCAGGCCAGGAGGAGUUCACGUACAGAGGUUGCAGGAGUACGUUGUUUGCUACUUAGAUUUCGUCGGCGAGGGCUCGACAGCUGAUGAGUAGGUUGUAUCGCUUUUCUGGCGACUGUUGUGGAGGUGCCUACGGCUGCGCAGGGACUCGAGGAUAUUCCUAUAGUCCGCAAGUUUUCGGAUGUUUUUCCCCCAGAGUUGACGACUAUGCCGCCGGAUAGAGAGAUCGAGUUUGUGAUUGAUAUAGUUUAUGGAACUGCACCAAUCUCGAAGGCACUCUACCGGAUGACACUGACAGAGCUGAGAGAACUAAAGGCGCAGCUUCAGGAUCUGAUGGAUAAGGGGUAUGUGAGACCCAGUGUAUCGCUUUGGGGAGCGCCGGUGUUAUUUGUAAAGAAGAAGGAUGGUUCAUUCAGAUUGUGUGUGGAUUAUCGAGAGCUGAAUAAAGUGACCAUUAAGAAUAAGUUUUCUUUACCGUGCAUCGAUGAUCUGUUUGAUCAGCUGCAAGGAUCUUGUGUCUUUUCGAAUAUUGAUCUUUAGUUAGGUUACCACCAGUUGAGGGUGAGGGCCGAGGAUGUUCCCAAGACGGCUUUUCGGACUCGGUACGAGCAUUAUGAGUUCACUGUGAUGUAUUUUGGAUUGACGAAUGCUCCUGCCGCAUUUAUGGAUAUGAUGAAUAGAGUAUUCAAGCCAUUAUUGGAUAGAUUUGGAGUGAUUUUCAUUGAUGAUAUCUUGAUAUACUCCCGUAGUGAUGCCCAGCAUGAGGAGCAUUUGAGGAUUGUGCUACAACUUCUGAGAGAGAAGAAGUUGUAUGCUAAACUGAAGAAGUGUGAGUUCUGGCUUCAGAAAGUUUCUUUCUUGGGCCAUGUGAUUUCUACAGUUGGCGUAGCAGUGGACCCGAAGAAGAUUAAUGCUAUUCGGGAUUGGCCCAGACCGACGACGGUUACCGAGGUGAGGAGUUUCCUUGGAUUGGCAGGAUAUUACCGUCGGUUUGUGGAAGGCUUUGCGAAGCUUUCCACUCCCCUCACUCGAUUGACUUGAAAGGGAAUUAUGUUCAUCUGGAGUGGGGAUUGUCAGAGGAGCUUCGAUGAGUUGAGACAGAGGUUGAUGUCGACUCCUAUCCUUGCCCUUCCGGUGAUGGGGGAAGGAUUUGUGAUUUACAGUGAUGCCUCGCAAAGUGGUUUGGGUUGUGUGCUGAUGCAGUAUAGUAGGGUAAUUGCUUAUGCUUUCCGGCAAUUGAAGGAUUACGAGAAGAAUUACCCUGCGCAUGAUUUGGAGCUUGCCGCAGUGGUCUUUGCUUUGAAGUUGUGGCGAUAUUACUUUUAUGGCGAACACUGCGAGAUUUUCACGGAUCAUAAAAGUCUCAAGUAUCUGUUUAUCCAAAAGGAGUUGAACCUGAAGCAACGCCGGUGGUUGGAGUUGUUGAAGGACUAUGAUAUUAGUAUUCAGUAUCACCCCGGCAAGGCAAAUGUGGUGGCAGAUGCGUUGAGCAGGAAGGCAGUGCAGAGCUUGAGCAUGUUGAUUACUCAGCAGAGGCCGUUACUUGAGGAGCUGUAGCGGUUGAGGCUCAAGAUAGUGUCCCCUGGGUCUACUGCAAGACUGAUGUCUAUGGUCUUGCAGCCCACUCUGUUGGAUAGGAUCAGGGAGAAACAGAGUGGAGACCCUCAUUUGGUGAGGAUUCGAGAGCAGUUAGAGAGGGGACAGGCAGAGGCUUUUUUUUAUGGACAGUUCGGGAGUACUGCGGUACAGGGACCGACUGUGUGUGCCUAUGAAUUCAGAGAUCCGAGAGGAGAUUUUGAGAGUCCAUUACUCACCUUAUAUGGUUCACCCCGGUGGAAUUAAGAUGUAUAAGGACUUGAAGACACACUUUUAGUAGAAUGGAAUGAAGAGAAAAUUGGCAGAUAUGUAGCUCAAUGUCUGACUUGCCAACAGGUAAAGGCAGAGCAUUAGGUACCUGCUGGCAAGUUUCAGAGUCUGCUAGUGCCCGAAUGGAAAUGGGAACAGAUCAUGAUGGACUUUGUCGUGGGGUUACCGAGAGCACAGGGUGGUUUCGAUGCUAUUUCGGUGAUAGUGGACAGACUGACUAAGUCUGCUCACUUCUUACCAGUACGGACCACCUGGUCUAGGGAGAGGCUCGCUCAAUUAUAUUUGGAUGAGAUUGUGAGAUUGCAUGGUGUGCCGAUUUCGAUAGUAUCAGACCGAGACCCGAGAUUUGUUUUGCAUUUUUGGAGGAGUCUUCAGACAGCCUUGGGUACACAGUUAUAUUUCAGCACAGCAUUUCACCCACAGACGGAUGGUCAGUCAGAGAGAACCAUUCAGACUCUGGAGGACAUGCUGAGAGCAUGUGUCCUGGACUUUGGAGGAGGGUGACAUCGACAUUUGAGACUGGCUGAGUUUGCGUACAACAACAGCUAUCAAACAAGCAUUCAGAUGGCUUCGUUUGAAGCGUUGUAUGGAUGCAGGUGUCGAUCCCCUUUGCAUUGGAGUGAUGUGGGUGAAAGGAAGACCAUGGGGCCUGAGAUUCUAAUAGAGGUUGAGGAAAAGGUUAAAGCUGUACGACGACAUCUUUUGACAGCACAGAGUCGGCAGAGGAGUUACGCCGAUACCGGGAGACGAGACUUAGAGUUCUAGGUUGGAAAUCAUGUGUUUUUGAAAGUCUCAUCGUCUAGAUGGAUACGCAGAUUCGGAGUGCGUGGAAAGCUCAGUCCACGUUUUGUAGGCCCUUUUGAGAUGUUGGAGCGAGUUGGACCAGUUUGUUGCAGGAUUGCUCUACCCCCACGACUGGCCGAUAUUCAUAAUGUUUUCCAUGUCUGGGCAUUGAGGAGAUACGUAUUCGACCCCUCAUACGUGAUCGACUUCACUCCGCUAGAGCUUGGCGAGGAUUUGAGAUAUGAGGUACGACCGGUGCGAAUUUUGGUUCGUGAGACGAAAGAAUUACGCAGACGGGUCAUUCCUUAUGUAAAAAUACAGUGGAGUCAUCACGAAGAGCGUGAGGCGACGUAGGAGCCGGAGAUGGUGAUGCAGGAAUCCUACCCUUACUUAUUCAAUGCUUAGGAUUAGGUAUGCGUUAAGUUUCAAGGACGAAACUUUUUGUAGUAGGGGAGGAUGUACUGUCACGCUCCGAGACCGCUACCAAUUUGGUCCGGUUCGGGCACGUCGAAUAGACGCUGAACGGACAGUACCUCCCCUGUCCGCCCAAGGCUCACAACAAGAAUGUGUACAAGAAUACGUGUUGUAGUUGCUUUAUUACUUAUGCAGUUCAUGCUAAGUAGAGAUAUCAUGAUAGAAUAGUACUCAUGGUUAUAUACUUGUUCAUUAUUUCGCUUUCGUUUAUACUUGUACUGACCCUCUUUUGUAGCUUUUGGGCCUAGUGGCGCAUUUCACUGAAGUCAGUAAUUGCCCACUGGGAACUAUUAUUUAAUAGUUCUCACGCCCUCUGUUUUAUGGUUUUAUUUCAGAGCCUUCGGCACCGGCGGAGGCACGGGAUCGCGGCAAGGGAGUCGCGCAGCUAGUUAGCGGGAAACUACUUUUGAGCUUAGGUGGUUUACUCUUUCUUUUAUUGUAUUAGGGAGAGAGAGAGAUUUUGAGUACCAUGUAUAGAGAGACCACCUAUGUACUUGUUUAGCUUUUGUAUUGGGAUUCCUAUUGUUUUCACUUUAUGUUUUUACUUAGUGGAUUUACUUUUACAUUCCUUACCCUUAUUGUAGCUUCUAGAUAUAACUUGCUCUGAUGCUUCUAGAUGUUCUUUUUAUUGCUUUAUUUAUCGUUUUGCUUAGACGCCUUAUAUGUUUUAGACAUAUGGCGGGUCUGGGUACGCGCCGGGUGGGCUUUCGCUGGGUCCCGGGGCAUGACACCGGUCCCUCUGCCCGAAAAUUGCCCAGUCCUGGCAGUGCACAGGUUGCUUAGUUGAGGGGCUUUUCUGGAUAUUGUUACUUGAGCGGGGUUAUUUGGCCUUUUCACUCCCUCUCUUCCUCAUUUCUCUCCAUCACACUCUCUCUUACACUCUAGAAAGAGAAGAAGAAGGAAAAGGAAGGAGGAGAAGAAGGAGGAGAGGAAGGAGAGCAAGCCAAGAGGACCUUGGACAUCUUCCUUUCCCUCUUUUCUCACCAUUGGAGGCUUGGAGUUUGUUGUUGGAGCUUUGUGGGGAAAGGACCUUCAACCCUAGAGCACUUUGAGCUUGGUUUGGAGCUUCUCUUGAGGUUGGUAGCAUGUAUUCCUCAUUUGAUGCAUGUUUUUCUAGAUUUUGUUAGAUGAAACCCUAGAAAUGAGAUUUAGGGUUUAUUUUUGGGGCUUUUUAAUUAUAAGCUUUUGGAGCUCUAUUGAUUGAUUUAGAACCUUGGUAUAGGUUGUUUUGGAAGGGAUUUGGCUUCCAUUUGAAAUUUUUUAGAGGAUUUCUACGCUAUAGGUGAGUUUUCUCCACCUUAGCUAGAGUUGGUUAAUGUUUGAGCUUUGGGAUGUUCGUAAGGUUCGUUUAACUCUUGUUCCUACAUCUUUAGGGUGUUAGGAGACUAGUGGGCACCUUUGUCGGAGCAAACGAAGGAUCGCAAGAGUUGUGGUGGGCUUGGCUUCAUGAAAUCAGGGCAAAACGGCCCCUAUGUGUAUUAUACUUGUCGUAACGUCAAUUUGAUUGCAUAUUCAUGCUAAAUGGAAUUUAUGUAAAUUUUAGAACACUUAAAAUGCAUGUGUUAUGUAUAAUAGAAAUUUCACUCUAUAUAGUGGAGCUAUAUGUGUAGGCUGCAUGCAUGUGGAAGUGUUUAUCUUUGCGAGUUGAUUACAUGUCUCGUGCGAGGAAAAUGAUCAGAAUUAUGUAUUCAUGAAUAUAAUUAUCAUGUUUUGACUUAGUGAACAAAAGUGUCAUGAAGGGGCACAUGAACCAGCAAACUGGAAAACUGCAAUAUAGAGAUAUAGUGAUAGGCUAUUGACAUCUACUAGGCCCUUGAGACAUUUGAUACGUUCCAUGUUUUAGACAUGAUGACUUGAGACUUCAGACCUGAGACUUGAGACGGAUCUUACGCUUGCUUGCCAUUGUGCUCAUUCACACAUGCUUGUGAAGGCUGCUCCCUACAAGCCGGCACUCCGGAGAUGGCCAUCGCGAUACAUAUUCACCGUGCGGGAUUGGGCGCCGAAGUGGAUUGCCGUGGGCAAGGCUCAUUUUUAGAGUGGGGCUGUUGACUACCACGGGACCAUUAGGCUCGGCACCGGCCAGACAGCCUACGGGUGGGUCUACAGGUCAGACAGCCUUCGGGCGGGUCUUCCAAGAUUUAACUUUAAAUAGUUAACAUGAUAAGUGAACAUUGACUAGAAUAGUAAACAAUGACAUUUUACUACUACAUUGUGGAUAUUAUGGUGAUUGUAUACUCGUGCAUUUUCAUGAUAAAAUAGCUUUCUUACUUAUGCAAUUCCGUGCUAAGUAGAGACCUCAUGUGGUAGCAAGUACUCAUGUUUAUUUACUUGUCGUAUAUAUCGCUUUUGUUUAUACUCGUACUUACCCUUUUUGUAGCUUUUGGGCCUAGUGGAGCUUUUCACUGAAGUCAGUAAUUGCCCAUUGGGAACUAUUAAUUAAUAGUUCUCACGCCCUCUAUUUUAUGGUUUUAUUUCAGAGCCUUCGGCACCGGCGGAGGCAUGGGAUCGCAGCAAGGGUGUUGCCUAGCUAGAUAGCGGGGAGCUGCUUGCUCUUAGGUAGUUACUCUUUUUUUGUGUUUUGGAGAGAGAGAUUUUUGUAUCAUGUAUAGAGACCACCUAUGUACUCUUUUAGCGCUUGUUUUGGGAUAUCUAUUGUAUUACUUAUGACUUUUAUUUAGUGGUUUUGGCUUCUUUCACCUAUUCUUGCUGUAGAAAUCUAGAUGUACUUCGCUCUGAUACUCCUAGAUGUUCUUCUCUCAUUACUUUAUUUAUCGCUUUGUUGUAGACGCCUUGUAUAUUUUAGACAUUUGGCGGGUCUGGACACGCGCCUGGCGGGCUUUCGCUGGGCCCCGGGGCGUGGCAGGUUGGCAAUUCACCUCAAGUGUACUGGUACAACCAUCAAGGUGUACCGGUACAAAUCCUGUACCGGUACAACCAUCAAGGCUGUACCGGUACACAGCCUGACUGAGGCUAACCCGAGAGCAGGACCAACAAUCCACCCUUUUGGAUUUUGGUACUAAGUUUCAAACCUCAAUUCUCGGGAUAUGAGCCAUAGGUCGGAACACUGUCAACGACCCUCCAGAAUAUCUGGAAAAACUCAUAACACUCAUCAAACACUCGAACCUCGUAAUUUGCAAAGGUCCAGUGUGUUACAUUCUCUUCCCUCCAUUGGGGUGUGUGUGUGUGGUGGGCUGAGGAAGAAGAAGAAAGGGGAGAAAACCCUUUUUAAAGUCAAACCCCCACCACAAUAUUACAAGAAUGCCACUCUACGCUGGGCACUUUUCGGGCAUGGGGUCUGGACUUUGGCCCUAGGGUCUGGACCCCGUAGGUCCAGAAAAACUGCAAAUUUCAGCCUUUUUCAAUUUCGCUCCGUUUUGCUUCGUUUUCGCUCCCAGGGUCCCCGAUGCAUUUCUAAUCAUUCCGAGAACCCCGAAACACAUUUUCGAGCGCGUUUAGAUCAACGUUUCAUCCACGCUUCGCCGGAUUAGGCCAAAGUUAAACAUAGCUACUCGAGUUCCGUUUCUGCGUCCAACUCGCACCGAAAACAAUCGGAUGCACCCGAACUUCACCGAAACUACUCCAAGAAAAGCUUUCCAAACUAAUAUACACCGUAACUUCAUAACUAUAGAAGUUCGGUAUGUUAUAGUGCUUUUAACAUUCUAACCACCCAUCAAAAUUGAUGGAUGGUUUGGAAGUUAGGAGCAUGAUGGCUGUUGUACUCUUAAUAGCACAGUAGCCCUACUCUCUCUCUCUAUAUAUAUAUAAAAAGAGAGGGAGAGAGAGAAAGAGAGAGAGUUGAGCUGGAAUACUAUCGGUAGCAAAUGGGCUCUGUUGCCACCCAUUUGUUUUCAAUAAUGGAGCCCCCAAAUCGAUGAUCAGUACAAUUGAACAUGAUUUAUAUCAUUUGAUGCAUGUAGAAACCAAAUUUCAUGCUUUUCUGAUAUUGUUCUCUUGUCCAUCAAGUAGGCAUAAAAAUGAAUGACUGAAAAUGCAUAUCCUUUAAAAACUGAUGAUAGGAGUUUGGCAAUCAAGAUCAAGAGUAUAGAUCUUAUUUCAAAUAGUUCAAAGAAUUUUCUAAUAAAAAUCCAAUUGAUUUGGAUAUCUUUAUACUGUUAAACGAGAAAAUAUCUCAUAUCGGCUAUUAAAAGUACAGAUUUUAAAACCCUUUAAUUAUUAGGGCAAUGAUGUUGAAAAAUUUUGAAACUUGAUUUCUACAUACUUCAAGUGGUAUAGAUCAUGUUCAAUGGUGCCGAUCGUUGAUUUGGAGGCUCCAUUAUCGAAAACAAUUAGGUGGCAACGGAGCCCGUUUGCUAUCAAUAGCAUUCCAGCUCAUCUCUCUCUCUCUCUCUCUCUCUCUCUCUCUCUCUAUAUAUAUAUAUAUAUAUAUAAAAAGAGAGAGAGAGAGAGAGAGAGAGAGAGCGAGAGUUGAGCUAGAAUACUCUCAAAAGCACCAUGAAGGUGGUGCUUUUGAGUUUUUAGCCAUUGGAUGGAGAGAUGUGAGGUUGAGAUGAUGGUGGUAAAUGGUGGUAGGUGGUGGUAGGUGGAAUAGUGUUUGAUCCAAGGGCUAUUAGUAAUCAAGAGUUAGUCUUACAAAAGUCUUAUUUCGAACAUAGUCAUUUUUAAAACGUAAGAUCUGAAUAUCAAUUGGUUAGGUUCUGUACUUCUUUAAUUAUUAGAACUAGCUAGUGUCUAACUCAAUUUAUAAUAUACAGGGAUAAUGACUUUGAGAUCCUCGCCAGGUAGUGGAGGAGGGUGGACACUAUCACUUUAGUCUGCACUACACUUCAGAUUAGCCGUAUUUUUUUCUUCGAUUGCCUAUUGGGGGAAAUUUUUACUUAUCGAUAUUUUGAGUCCCAUCGUGUUUAGGGAGUCCUCCUGAUUUAGACCUUGAACGAAGUCUGGUUGCUCGUUAACUCUCGUUCCUAACUCAUUGAAGGGUUUUCUUCAAGAAGAACUCUCUCUCUGCGCACUUUUUUGAUUCUCAUGUUACCUAGUUGCCAUUUCCGAAAGCGCUUUGAUUCGAAAAUGACCAUUACAACUUGUUUAUUUUACUGCAGAUUUUCGAAACUAUUUACUGACUCGAUUAUCAAAUUUAUACACAUAGGAUUGUGUUCGAAAAUGAUAGAAGUCCAUUCAAAUCAGUAUGAAAUUUUGAUACAAAAUUAUUCAGCCUCACUCUCAUCUACAACAGAUGCUUAAGUAUUUUAUUCCGAUGAUCAGCAGUUCAAUUUUGCUGCUAUUCACAUUUGUUUAAUGGAUAUUUUUAAUUUUUCAGCCCGUUUAAAAUAAUUGAUUUUGAGUUCAUUUCGAUUGCUAGGUAAAUGAUAUCGCAAAAAAUCGUAAAAUUUAUUUUCAUAGAAACUCAAUACGCUAGAUCAAGUUUAACGAGCCGAUCGUCCAUUCAGAAGCUCCAGAUCAUCGAAAAUGGCCCUCACGGAGCCGUGCUCCUGACGAAGCACUAGCAGCGCCUGUAUAUAUAUAUAUAUAUAUAUAUAUAUAUUAUUAUAAUCUUAUUUAAUCUAUUAUCAUAUAUAUAGUGAUAUCAAAUUAGGUGGUAAUCUAUUAAAUAGUUAAAACAUUCUUUUGCCUAUCAGAUUUUUACGAUUUUAAAAACCCUUGACUGUUCAAAAAUCUCUGGCGUAGCAAAAUUAACAGGGGUUAUUAAGCAUGAUAUAAUAGAUCACUUUCGGUCUUGAGAAAUCUCGAAAGAGUAUUUAAGCUUAUAUUGGAAGUGUUCACUUAUCGCCUCGUCUUCGACGUGGUCUCCACUGGGUGAACAUAUAGCUUAUUUAAUCCAUCUUGAGAGUCUUAGGAAAUAAAUGUAAAGAAGUUUGUUUGAUGUUCCAAGGCUAAAAGAACUUACGGUAUCACAAUGUCGAUUAUUGCUACCACACUAGAUUAUCAGCAAAAUGACGUGCACGGCUAACAUAAUAAUAUAGUAGGAUUUAAUACAUAAAAAAGUUUUCAUAUGUAAUUUUAUAACCACAAAAAAUUUUCUAAUUAAUCUUUAUUAAUUAUUAAAACAAAAUAAAAAAAAGCCCAUAAUAGGUGGUACAAAUUUCAUUAUAACUUUUCAGAAAACAGGAUGGAAAAUAAAAUGGGAAAGUCCGGCAAAUAAAAAUAUGGACAAUUAAUCUAUUAGGGGUGAUAUUAAAGUACACAAGCUAAGGGAGAAAAAUAAAUUUUGGACUAGAAAGUAAAUAUGUCAAUUAAUGCAAACUUUCAUGAUGCUCUGAUUAAUCUAAACAUAGGAAUUCGUAGGCAAAAUAAUUUACAUUUUACAUUAUUGAUGGUGCGAAAUAGUAGUAUAACUAAAUAUUGAUAUGAAAAAUUUAGCAAAUGACUAUUAAUUAUUAUAAGCGAUAUUUAAUGAGGUACAACUAAAUUUCAUAUUUUGAACAAAUUAGAAUAAGCAGGGCAUAUAUUAUGUUUUACGCUACUAUCGUUUUAAUUCAAAAAUUAUUAUGGAUGAUUGUUUUCAAGAAAUAUAAAGAAAAAAAAUUUGUUGCCGAUGAGAGUAGAAGGAGAGUUACAAUGGAUGUAAGUGACGUCAGACAGGCAUCAGGGGAAAAAAAAUAAUAGAUAUGAAAUAUAGAAAUAUAAUUCUUACCAAGAAAUUACAUUAGGGGCUUUAUGCAAAAACACAAUGAAUAGGAUUUAAAUAAUAUGUUUUACUAUUUUUAAUUUAGUUAUUUAAUAAUCUUGUCAAAAACAGCAAAUCUAAUUGACAGAACGUGUUUCUUCAUUAAUACGAUAAUUUUAUUUUUUAAAUAAUUAAUUAAUUGCCAUACGGAACUUCUGAGUCUUUUGCGACAUUUUUUUUAUCUGGAUAUUGUUAUAAUACGAUUUCAAUAAUUCGACAACAGGGAUUCUUCGAAUGAAUAUGUCGCAAACACUAAUUUUAAAUAAUUAGAUUACUCUACCAACGUGCGAUUUUGAGUUGUCAUGUUAUCUGACCAUAUACGCAAUUUCUGGUUUAGUUUCGAUGUUUAUAUAUAUCCUGAUACUUACUCAGACAUUUGUAGUCUUGAACGUUAGAUUAUUGGUCGGAACCAAUAGAGUAUUUAACAUAUUAUUUAAAUUAAUUUUCAUCCUUAUUAUUUUUAACAUAUUAUACUGCCACAUAUGUAUUUGAGUUUAGACCUUUUUUUUUCGCAACUAACAUUUCAAAUAAUUCGCAACAGAUUAUUGCUUAUUAUCGCAACAAUAAUUUUAAAUAAUUAAUUAUCUGCCAAUACGAAAUUUGAGUUUGCAACAGAUUAUUUCCACCGCGAAAAAAUAAUUCGCCAAUAAUUUUAAAUAAUUAAUUAAACCAAUAAUUUCAAAUAAUUCGUAACCAAAUAUCUAUAUUUGAGUUUGACACGUGGCAAGCAUAUAGAAAGUCACGUGUCAGCUUCUCACAUAGGGUUCAUUAAGGGUUCUACUUUUAUAUAUAGUAAUAGAUAAUAGAUAGUAGCCCAGUCCAACUCUCUCUCUCUCUCUCUCUCUCUCUCUCUCUCUCUCUCUCUCUCUCUAUAUAUAUAUAUAUAUAUAUAUAUAUAUAUAUAUAAUUAGGCUACUAUUAUCUAUAGUACCGGAGCUUCGAUACUAUAGUUUUGUUUUCGAUCUUAGGGUGUCCAAAUUAACGAUCCACACCGUUAAAUAUGAUCUAUGGUAUAUGAAGUUUUUAGGAAUAAAAUUUUAGUUUUUUUUGACAUUGUUAACUUAGUAAAUAAAUUAUGUCAAAAUGGACGGUGGAAAUUGAAUAAUCUUUAAAAUUUGAGUAUAGGGCUUUUAAAUUCAAGAUCAAAAAUGUUAAACUUAAUCUAGAUAUUUUAAAGUAUUUUCUAUCAAAAUUUGAAGAAAUUUAGAUUCUUCUACACCGUUAAACUUCAAACUCGCUAUAGUAGCCAUUGAAAAUUGACAAUUUUGAAAUGGUUUGAUCAUAAAGUAAAUUAUGUCAAAAAAAAUAUAAAAUCCUAGAUUUGUUUUAACGGUGUGGAUCGUUGAUUUGAACACCCUAAAAUCGAAAACGGGACUAUAGUACCGGAGCUCCGGUACUAUAGAUAAUAUAGGAGACUAGCUCUAUAUAUAUAUAUAUAUAUAUAUAUAUAUAUAUAUAUAUAUAUAUAUAUAUAUAUAUAGAGUCCCGCUAUGGUGCUUGUAAAAGUANNNNNNNNNNNNNNNNNNNNNNNNNNNNNNNNNNNNNNNNNNNNNNNNNNNNNNNNNNNNNNNNNNNNNNNNNNNNNNNNNNNNNNNNNNNNNNNNNNNNNNNNNNNNNNNNNNNNNNNNNNNNNNNNNNNNNNNNNNNNNNNNNNNNNNNNNNNNNNNNNNNNNNNNNNNNNNNNNNNNNNNNNNNNNNNNNNNNNNNNNNNNNNNNNNNNNNNNNNNNNNNNNNNNNNNNNNNNNNNNNNNNNNNNNNNNNNNNNNNNNNNNNNNNNNNNNNNNNNNNNNNNNNNNNNNNNNNNNNNNNNNNNNNNNNNNNNNNNNNNNNNNNNNNNNNNNNNNNNNNNNNNNNNNNNNNNNNNNNNNNNNNNNNNNNNNNNNNNNNNNNNNNNNNNNNNNNNNNNNNNNNNNNNNNNNNNNNNNNNNNNNNNNNNNNNNNNNNNNNNNNNNNNNNNNNNNNNNNNNNNNNNNNNNNNNNNNNNNNNNNNNNNNNNNNNNNNNNNNNNNNNNNNNNNNNNNNNNNNNNNNNNNNNNNNNNNNNNNNNNNNNNNNNNNNNNNNNNNNNNNNNNNNNNNNNNNNNNNNNNNNNNNNNNNNNNNNNNNNNNNNNNNNNNNNNNNNNNNNNNNNNNNNNNNNNNNNNNNNNNNNNNNNNNNNNNNNNNNNNNNNNNNNNNNNNNNNNNNNNNNNNNNNNNNNNNNNNNNNNNNNNNNNNNNNNNNNNNNNNNNNNNNNNNNNNNNNNNNNNNNNNNNNNNNNNNNNNNNNNNNNNNNNNNNNNNNNNNNNNNNNNNNNNNNNNNNNNNNNNNNNNNNNNNNNNNNNNNNNNAAAUUAAAUUUCAUAAUUUUUCGACAUCAUUUACCUUACGAUCAAAAGCUCACAAAAUUGAUAAUUUUUAACGGCCGGUAUGGAAUACUUGCUAGUUUAAUGGUGCAAAAGAAUCGGAAUAGGUUGAAUUUUUGAUAAAAAAUUCUAUUCACUACCUAGAUAAAGAUCAAUAAUUCCGAUCUUAAAUUGAAGGAUCUGAUCAUCCAAUUUUUAAGACAUCGUUCGAUUUUGACCGUUCAUUUUAUGCCCGCUUGAUGGACUUUAUUAUGAUUUCAAAAAAUUACGAAAUUUAUUUUUUAGAAGUUUCAAAUACUCUAGAUCAUAUUUAAUGGAGUGGAUCGUCGAUUCGGAAGCUCCAUCAUUGAAAACAACUUAUGAGUACGAAGGACCCAAUACUCAUAAUAGUAUAGUAGCCCUACUAUAUACAUAUAUAUAUAGGCAUUCUUUCGAAACUCUAAUUCUCAAAUUAUACCCUAUUCUAAAAAAGACUUUACAAAAAGGCCCCGGGUAAAAUCAUGACAAAAAAAGAGAAAGGAAUGGUGAAACGGGAGAAGGCGAAGAGAGAGAAAAAAAACAAAUGAGAGAGAGGAGGGAGAAAGGGGAUAAAAAUAAUUUGGUCAGUUUAUUAAAAAUUCAGAUCUGAUCUAUAAAAUCUGAAAAACUAUCUUAUUUUUGCAAAAACAUAAAACCAAUGAACUUUUUAGGCAAAUUGGCCAUUUAUUAUUGUACAGAAUAGUCCAGAGGUUUGCCCUUUCGAACCCUAUAGGCUAUAGCUUAGUUUUGGCGUUAGCCAGUUCCCGAUCAACUUUAUAGUCUCUGGCCACCCUUAUCCCAUCGUCCAAAAAUAGAGGGUAAGAGGGUAAGGGUGGCACAGAGACAAAGAGUUGAUGUUUUUGAGACUGAGUUGUUGAGGGCUUGAGUGCUCUAGGCUGAACAGAGGAUAAGACAAGUGACAGAUGGCAAAAUAUUUUUUGCUGGGGAAAAAAAAUCUUUGAAGUUUAGACAGAAUUUGACAUAUUUCUUUUCUUAUCAAAAAUAGCAAAAUAUUAGGUAUAAAUUCAACUCAAGAACUUCCAAUUUCAACUAGUCAAAUCCAAAAUGGACUAUCUAUAUAAAUAUAUGAAUCCAGAGUUAGGAUCCAGGUGGUGGGAAGGGGAAGCGGGAGGGGCUAGGGUUGGGGUUGGGGGUGGGUGUGGGGGCCCACUUGAGGGGGGUGGGCAUAGUUCUUUUUUUUAUUUUUUACUUUAAUUUUUCUCUCUCCUCUGAUUUGGACCGUAAAAUUAGGCUUAUUUUUUUUUAAUCUAAUCUAUUUUUGCUCUCUCUCAUUAUAAAAAUUUAAAAUAUAUAAUUAUUUAUACAUAACUUUUAAAUAGUUUAGAUUGUAUAUAUUAAUAUAAAUUUUAGUUUUAUAAUAUUAAUCAAUUAGAUAGAUUGUACAAUAAAAAUAAAAGAGAGAUUGAUGAAGUUUAUCUUAAUUAGUUAUUUUAAUAAAUUUAGUUGCAAAAAUUACAUGAAGUAUGCUAACUAAAUCAGUAAACCUAAAUGACGCAUUCAAAUUUUGAAAAAAAUAUCAUUGACUAAUUCAAAUCUAAUACAUAAGAAGAUUAGAUAGUAAAAAUAAAAUUUUAAAAGGUUGGAUAGCUGAUUUAAUAUGGUUCGUAUUUCAGAAAAACUCUAUAUGAUUUUACUUUGAUUUUAAUAUCAAACUUUAAUACUAUAUUUAUAUUGUGAUAAACGAUCAAUUUCAUAUUUAAAAUAUUUUGGAACAUCCAAAAUAUGAUUGGCCGACUUUUAAUUUUAACAAUUAGGUAUUUUAAAAUUUAUUAGAUAGUUUAACGUAUUCUUUACUCGAAUAAAAUUACUGAUUAAAUAAAACUGAUCAAUGAUAAACUUUGCCUUCUUAUGAAAUAAAAUUAAAAUAGAAAAAGGAUAAAUUACAUUUUGGUCCUCAAACUAUAAGACGCAUGACAAUUUAGUCCUCAAAUUUAAAUGGGUUAUUUUUUCUUAGCUCAAACUAUAAGGUACCAGAUGCUUUAGAGCUCAUACUUUAAUUAUUUAUAAUUUUUAGCUCAAAUUACGUGGAAUAUGACAUUUUAAUACUCAACUUUUACUACUAUUAUAAAGGGUCCGGCUACUAUACUAUUAUGAGUACGAUUGCCCUCGUACUCAUAAGUUGUUUUUGAUGAUAGAGCUUCCAAACCGACGAUCCACACCGUUAAACGUUAUUUACAGCAUUUAAAACUUCUAGAAAUCAAAUUUUAUAAUUUUUCGACAUCAUUUACCUUACGAUCAAGAGGUCACAAAUUUGACAAUUUUUAACGGCCGGUAUGGGAUACUUGCUAGUUUAACGGUGUAAAAGAAUCGGAAUUUGUUGAAUUUUUGAUAGAAAAUUCUAUUCACUACAUAGAUAAAGAUCAAUAACUCCGAUCUUGAAUUGAAGGAUCCGAUUAUCCUUUUUUAGGACGUCGUUCGAUUUUGACCGUUCAUUUUAUGCCCACUUGAUGGACUUUAUUAUGAUUUCGAAAAUUUACAAAAUUUAUUUUCUAGAAAUUUCAAAUACUCUAGAUCAUAUUUAACAGAGUGGAUCGUCGAUUCGAAAGCUGCAUCAUUGAAAACAACUUAUGAGUAUGAGGGCUCCAAUACUCAUAAUAGUAUAGUAGCCAUGGCCCUAUUAUAAAUAUAAUUUAUUAUUCUUAUAAUUUCUCUCUUAUUCCUUCUUUAUCUUUAUUAUGUUUUUAUUUUUAUGCUUUUACUACAGCCUUUUUUACUACAACUGCUUCUGCUGCUUCUUCAAUUUUUUUUAUUUGUAUUAUUUUUUGUUCUUUGACGUUUUUUUUUUGUUUCUUCUUUUUUUUAGCUUUAUUUAUUUUUAUGGAAUCCACCCACUGCAAUGGACGGUCUAUCUUCACUAGUAGUUCAUAAAAGGUCAGAACCAAUACAACAGAAACCUUCUUUAGGUACGUCGUAUCUACAUAUUAACAUCAACAAUGUUAGCAGCCGCUAAACAAUCCCAACAAAAAAGAGUCUAACAUCUAGAACACCGACAGAACUGACUGGAAAAUGUUUUCUUGAUUCGUACUGGCAAGAAAAAAGGACUAGCUUACCAAACACAAUAGUUUAUUAUUAGAAUUCUCCAGAAAAAGAAGCAAUAUAGAACACUUGUUGAUAAAAAUAACUUUCAAGGGCGCAAUCUAAAGCAACAAGACAAACUCUCUUUUUUUUUCUUUUUUUUUUUUUCGUGCUAAAGCACAAGCACAAUUCAGUCACAAACGCAAUCAAACUAUCUAACUGGCAAUGCUGUUUCAGCGAGCGAAUCGAUUUCUUGUUUCACAUCCACCCCAGUAUCCUUAGACAUACAAUCUGAGCUGUCAUCUAGACCAGAUGUUUUCUGCGAGCACACUGUCGGUUCCAGCCUAAACAUCUCGUCACUUUCUAAACUUGAUACCUUCUCCUUUGACUCCCCUUUCAGCAAGCCCACUACUUCAAGCAUUGUGGGCCGCCUUUCCGGCUUACUCUGUGUACAAACAAGCCCGACAAGCACUAAUCUCUUCAAUUCUUCCUCAACGUAGUUACCGUUUAGCUUUGGAUCAGCUAUUUCACUGAACCUCCCCUCCCUCGCCAAAGGAAGAGCCCAAUCACUUAUUGCUAGCUUCUGUGUGGGACUUAAAUUUUCAAUGGGUCUUUUCCCACUAGCGAGCUCUAAAAGAAGUACUCCGAAGCUGUAAACAUCACAACUCUCUGAGGCCUUUCCAAACAUUGCGUAUUCAGGGGCUAGAUAUCCGAGAGUGCCUUUUACUUUUGUAGUAACAUGAGUUGCGCCGUCAGGAAUGAGUUUUGCAAAUCCAAAAUCGGCAACACGUGCCUGAAAGUCUGAAUCUAGUAAGACAUUGCUUGCUUUUAUGUCCCUGUGGAUUAUAUGAGGUGUUGCAUGGUGGUGGAGAUAACUGCAAAGAAACGAAAGGUUAAGUUCAUUUCCCGGCGUGCUACAGAUCUUACAAAAAUUAUACAGACAGCCAUCCAACUAAUAGGCCAUUUUGGAAGAGAUCCCUGAACUUUUUUUUUUUUUUUUUUUUUUGAUUUUAGGCAAUUCUUUGUAGCCCUGUCAGAAUUUAAAGUUUCCUGCAAACGAAAGUUACAGAACACUUUGUUGAAUAAUAGAAUAUCUUUAUUUAAGUUAUACACUGCUAUAUCUAAAAUGUCACGAAAACUGUUAAGUUGAGAGAGGAGUUAUCUUGCUAGCUGUAGAUAGUGGCGUAUGAAAGAAUUAACUUACGCAAUUCCGUUAGCCGAUCCGAUAGCUAUCGACAUUCGCCUGCCCCAGUUGAGAAGGCACUCAGCAGAGUGCGUUCCGUGAAGAUGUGAGAGUAAACUCAAGUUGGGCAUGUAGUCAUACACUAUAAGGCGUUCCUGCCCCUCGGCACAAGAACCCCGUAGACUCAGGAGGUUCUUAUGCUUUACUUUUCCCAGAACCUCAACCUCAAUAGAAAAUUCUUGUUCGGCCUUGUUGCUCAAAACUUUGAGUCUUUUUACAGCGAUCUACAUCAAAGAAAGAUCAUUACCAAUAAAGCGGAGAAAGGAGGAAAGCAAUAGAACUGCUGCAUAUAUAGUAGAAGACUACUCACAUGAAGCUGAAGACUUCAGUCUGAAAUAUGUUACAUCAUAAUGAAUAAUGAUAUCACAUUGCAGUAACUGAGAAAAAAAAUACUAAAACCAAGCAGCUGUACUCUUUCCCACAUUAGCUUGUUCACGGGGUCAUUAACCUGUAUGAAGAGCUUUUAAAAGGGUGGUGACCAGUAUAAUUCAGGCUUCGUUGGCAUAUUCGGCAAAGAAAGCUCAAGAAGGAUCAAGAGAAAACAAGACAACAUAUUGAAACCUAGUUGAGGAAUGAUAAGUUCAAGUAGCAUCAAGGGCUAGAAGGUGAAUGCUAAUGGUAGCAGCAUUAUGAUAAAAGUAGUCAAAGUUACUAAAGAAAAACUGACAAAGAAGAAAAACGAUAGAAGAAUACAGAAGGUCAAAAUUGAAGCUGAUACAAGGAGUAAAAGAAAAGUAAUACAUUUAUGUCGGUCUAAACAACAGAGAAGACAGAAUGGAAAAGAUACUAGGAUAAACUAGAGGUAUUUUGUUGGCUAAUUCUUUAAUGUCAGUAGUGUAUGUUUCUGAGAAAUUGACUAGGUGUUCAACGGGAUCUCCAUUGGGAUCUGAAAUGCAUAGGGCUGUUGACUAAGCUUCCUAACUAGAUUCUUUUAUUGAAACAAUAUAAUGCUCAAAAAAUGGAGACUAAAUACGCCAAUAUGACUAAUGAAAAUGAGGUUAAUUACAAAAUUUAACUAAAACUUUUAGAAUACUAAUGAAAAUGAGGUUAAUUACAAAAUUUUACUAAAACUUUUAGAAAAACUCAAAAAGGAAUACUAUAAAAUUCAAGAAGUAAUUGAUUGAGCAUAGAAACGACAUGCUUAAACAAGGAGCUGAGAAUAAAAAUGUAAAAAAGGAUCCCCAUAUAAUUUUAAUUUUAAAGAAAGAGAAUAGAAAUUCCAGAGUGAUUAGAAAGUAGGGUGUUCCCUUAAAUAAAUAACUCAUUUAAGGCAUGUAUAUGGCUGGCAGGCCAUGAAUGGCGGCAGCAUGAGCAAAUUCUGAUCACAAAUGUUUAAACUGAGUCCUUUCCCUCAUUCUCUCUGAUGUUAAAUGAGCUUAUUAAACCUAUCUAACAUAAAGUCACUUCACAUCAACUAUUCGCUAGUGAAUAGUUUCGAUAAAUAAGAUGAGAUCAACAACAUUACGACUUAGAAUGAAAAAGGACACUGAAGACUAGAGGUUUCAGGACAACCUCGUAAGCUUAAAGCAUAGAGUACAUAGGUUAUAAUAAUACAGACGGACAAGACAAACAAAUAUCAAAGAAAAAAGAAGAAUAUUCGGAUCCACAACAAAUAGCCAGCAGAAACUUGUUUUGCUGGAUAAAAACUUGCAGAAACUAGUACAAGUACCUAAGGAAAACUAAGUAACUGCACCACCCUUAACUGAAUGGAAGCCACCAAAAACUAAAAAAAAAUGAUGGGAAAAUAUAGGAAGCAGAUGGGCUCAAGGGAUUCUACAAAUUCAGGCUAUCAAAACCAAUCUCACUUUAAUUUGUGCAACUAUGAUAGUUGAAGGGUUUUGUAAUGCACAGUCCUUCCAACAAGUUAUUAGAUUAGUUUUAUGACUUGCGAUAGAAGAAGUAAUAAAAGCAACUGUUCAACCAUUAAAAGUAGUAGGCUUCUUAAUUUAGAGUUAUAUUUCCUUUUACAGUUACAUAUUCAUAAUUCCUUGUUAUGUUAAGAAGGAAAAGUAUGAAAAGUACGGAUCAACUGAGGAGGCCGCAAUAUAAGUCAUUAUUGAUACAGCUAAUGAUGAUGAUGAUGAUUGGCAGAAGCUCAAUGUCCAAGUUUCCUUCCUAAAGAAGGUUGGGACAUGAAAAAACAUGAUCUAAAGGCACAAUCUUAGAGUCAUGUCAAAUAAAGAGAGUUUCUCCCAAUUAUACAGAACACACAUGAAAUUUGCGCAACAGAAAUAGUAGCAAGAAUUGUAAUGCAUAACCUUGAAAAACGUCUUAAAGUAAGGUAUUACUAUAAUUCGAUACUUAAGAACAUUAGAUAAGAUAGUAGAAGGAAAAAUAAACCCAAGUCAAAGAGGACACGUUUAGUAUCGAGGAAAGGGAGCCAUACAAAACCAAAGGAAAUGAAUGAUUGAAUUGACCCACUUUAUGUGAACCUGAUACAGCAUAAAAUUUGUCUUAAGAAUGUAAACGAUCAGAAAAAGGGGUUGUAAAAAAUUUGUCUUAAGAAUGGAAAUCCAUGUGCUUUGAUUAAACCAUGUACAUCCUUCCAGAAUAUUUCUAUAGAUAAUAUCUGAAUAAUACUGAUGAAAAAUGAUAAUUUAUUUUUCUACUCCGAACCUAACAUAUAUAUGUCUUAAAUAUAGGCAGACGUUAUCCGAUUUGUUCUAAAGGCCAUAACGAUCCAAUAGAGUAGUCAAUGAUCUGCUGACCUGCUGACCUGUGACUUCAGGAACAUGUACUUAAUAGACGGUGUUAUGAUUAAGAGCCAAGCAUACACACUUGACAGACUAAUACUUGUUUCUUUUUUCUUUUUUAGGAACUGAUCAUUCUGCAAGGUUGAGGUCAAUCAUUAUUACAGCAAAUGCUGGUUACAUAAACAUAGAAUUAUUCUGAGCAUCACCAAGUAAUUAUUAGUUCUUGCACAAAAAUACAUGCAAUGCUCUUCCAUAAUUGCAGCAAGAAGCAUCCCUCGAAAAAAGAAAGGAGAAAUCUAAGAAAAGCGUACCUCCGUUGGCUAUUCAAAACUCAAGUAGCAAUCUGUUACAACGUCAACAUGUUAGGCACUCAACAAAGGAGACUUAAUACCUUUUGGAUUAGUUUUUCGACUUCAACAUGUGAUAAGUACAAGAUUACUGACACCCCUAUUGCCUUAAAUUUAAAUCUAAAAUAAAUUUAAAUUUUCGUUUCUCAUUUAAUUAAGAUAUUUAACUUUGAAUUCAAAAUAUAAUUUUUUAAUUUGAAUUCGAAUUUGAAUUUUGAAUUCAAUAAAUUUGAAUUUAAAAUUUAAGUUUAAAAUUCUAAUUUAAUUUAAAACUUGAAUUUAAAUUUUAAAUUUGAAUUUGAAUUUGAAUUUAAAUUUUGAACUCAAAAAUCUAAACUUAAAAUGAAAUAUGAAUUCAUAAAUUCAAAUUUAGGAUUUGAAUGAAAUUGAAUUUAAAAUUUAAUUAUACACAACUGAAAUCUGAAUUUAAAUUCAAAAUUAAGUUCAAAGUUUACAUUCAAAUUUCAAAUAAAUGUGUAUAUAAGGGUGUAUUUUGGAAUAACAUAAUCAUUAUUAUUAGGAUUAUCAAGAUAUAUAAGAUGAACCAAACAAAAUAAUUCUAUGUAUGUAGUAUUCCAACAUCAUAUUACUGCACUGAACCAAAUGGAGUAACACAACAUUACUAAUAAUCUGAAUCACAGAUGUCAUAUUAAUAGCUAUAUUGAGAUAACCAGCAAUACUUGCUGAAGAUAAGACCAAACUAUUUGUUAGGCAAUUAGUUACUUAAAAUAAUCCUUCAUUUGUUUAGUUUGAUAAACAUGUAUUAGUUGCGUUGUUAAUCAAUUUGUUGGGUUGUUAGCAUUGCUACCUAUUAAUAUAUUGGUAACCAUCUAGGCCAUUAAUGUACCAGAGAGGAUCCACCAAUUAAUUCAUAUUAUUCUUAUACUACCGCAUCUCAUCUUCUCUUUUCUAUUCUUAAUUUUAUUGUGAAUCACACACACCAUAACAAGUGGAGUGAUCUUAUGAGUGUGCCUACCACCAUAACAAUACUACAUAAUGUGAAUCUAACAAGCCCUGAGGUAAUCUUGUACUAUUAGUAAUCCUGCAUUACUGAUAGGAUUAUAUGCUGAAUGAAUCAAACACAAUAAUUCUAAAAAAGUAUCUGUAGGAUUACAAGUAAUCCUAAUAGGAUAACUUGAACCAAAUGCACCCUAUAAGGUAAUCUUACCACCACAUACAAAAAGUGACAAAAUUUUGAAAAUGCACUUCUCAACUGCAUAUAAUCAAAUAAAUUAUUUAUAGUUGCAACUAUUAUAUUCGACCAACCGAGAUGUAUUUCAUUGUAAUUGCUACAUUUCUAACUGCAUGUAUCUCCAACUAGCCGCAUUUCAUAUUAGCCUUCUAAGCGAGGCAAUCUGUAACUUUUAAGGGGUAUAUAAAAAAUUGCUCCUAAAAACAACAUAUGGGUAAAAAUGUAAGGAGAUCACCUCAGAUAUAUGUUGCAUCUGCCAGUUAGAGAGUAGGUUAGAGAGGAGCAGAGUAGUUGAAUUGAUAAAUAAGUGGAGUUUAGAUGGCUUAACUUGCAAGGUGCACGCAUAGAAGGAUAGACCGGAGGGAAGAGUCGGAGGUCAAGCGGUAACCCUAGGUUGGGGAAGGGGUUGGCGAUGGAGAAGUAAGGAGAAGACAAGUUCCUGUGAGCAAGAAUUGAAGCCACAAGGAGGCAUCUCUGCGGAUCGGGUUGUCAGCACAAGAUCAUCCGACUUGUUAAGAUAGUAGUUGGGUUCGAGUCCAUAUUGUAUCAGUCCUGCAAAUUAAGGCCCACUGGCCCACAUUCUGGAUUUUUUCUCAAUUUCAGUUUAGUACUUAGGGAUUCAUAAUUUUUAUUUUUAGUAGUUGCACGAGAUAUAAAAGGGCAGAUGUAACCAAGAUGGAAUCAUGAAUAAUAUUGAUAUUGAUUUCCUUCUCAACUUCAUCUCGUUCCCUCCCACUUCUUCUUCCUCUCUCAUCUUUUCCUCUUCUUCUUAUCCUUCCUUAGACCCUGCUUAAUCUCUUAACUUAUUCUUCUCUUACCUGGAUCUGUAAUAUUCGAGUCGGAUCAGAGACCAUCAUUCUCGACGCCGUCCUCGUCUCAGCGAAAUCUCAUCAUCGACGGGUUGCGUCGAGUCAGGUACGCAACAAUAUAGUGCCGUUUGAGUUGGACCCGUAAAUUUUUAAGAUUGAUACCCUCAAAAUUUUAUUUGUUUUAAUUAAAGUAUUACCGCAGGAUAAAUGGACAUUCCAUUAAAACUACCUGCUUUAUUUAGUUAUCAACAACAACCAAGGGUCUGACUUGUCUUUUCCAAAUCUUUAUUUAAAUGGAGCUAUUAAAUUUAACAGUGCAGUCAAAUUUAUAAAUAUCUCCAAUUUAUAUAAUAAAAAUAAUUUAAAUUAGUAGAAAUGAAAGUUGAGAAGGCGAGGAAUGAGCGAAAUUGGAGUGGGCUUCUACUUUCUAGGGUCCUAAUGAAUGAGCGAAACAAGGAUGGGUCCUAAGGUGUCAUCUACAGGCCUUAUCCAAAAAAAAAAAGAAAAAAAGAAAAAAAGAAAAAAAAAAAGAAAAGAAAAGCUGAGAAUUCACCAAAUGUUUCAGAAAUUAACAGACAAUCCCUCAACUUUAGUCAAUUACAGAAAAUCCUCUGUCAUCUCUCGAGUAUCGAAUCAUCCCCUCAUAGCGUCUCCCAAUUUUUGAUGACAAACGCCUUACGGUGAGUAAUCUAUUAAUAGCAGUUAAUAGCAGUUAUAGAAAACAAGUAAUGGAGGUUCCAACUAACAGUUAAACUUAGUGAAAUGAUCAUGCUGCCCCAAUAUUAAAGGAUACCUGUGAACCGUCCGAGAGCUGGCCCCAGUAGACGCUGCCGAACCCCCCUUCACCGAGCUUGUUGUCAUAAUUGAAGCUGUUGGUAGCAGAAUGCAGCUCCUUCAGCGAGAACACCCUCCAAUUCGUUGCAUUCUUCCUCCCAUGUUCACUCCUACACCAUAUACGCGGGCGCGCGCGCGCACAAAUUAAACAGAAUCCCGUUAAUAAUUUGACCCACAAAUCUCCUAUUUUCCACACCAAUCUCUUCUUCUACUGUAUUGCCCUUUCUCGAAUCCCUCCCAACGAAAAACAAAAUCAUUCAUGGCAAUUCUUUUCUUUCUCGGGUCAAAUGAACUGCGCCCUACAUUUCCUUCUAUAGCAGAAUUAAAAAAUAAAAAUAAAAUAAAAGAAUCAUUCCUUUGUAUGCUGUCCCGCCGAAAGUAAAAGCACAAGUAGGACCAAUAAAGUUCGAAACUCGUCGUCGUCGUCAUCAUCAUCAUCAUCAUCAUAAGAGGAAGAAGAAGAAGAACAAGAACAUACCGGUCGAGAAUCGUUCGGCAACAGAAGAAAGAACGGAAAGACAUCGGAGAGAGAGUCACUGCUGCUGCUCCGAUUGAUGAGAAAGUACCAAGUUUCUGAAUACAAACCCAGAUGCUGCUUUCUCCUCUUCUUCCCAACUUAAUCUUACUCUAUGCAAUUACAAGGAACGGAGGAGCCCAAAGAGAAUAGUUUAUUACUAUCGGGACCAUAUAAGAGAUGAUGCUCGCCAAGAAAGAAAGAAAGAAAGAAAGAAAGCAGCAUCUGGGUUUGUAUUCAGAAACUUGGUACUUUCUCAUCAAUCGGAGCAGCAGCAGUGACUCUCUCUCCGAUGUCUUUCCGUUCUUNGAGAGGCGGGCGGACACUGGAGCAAGCAAAAGCAACAGCCUACCGAACGGGCUGCGGCUCUCGAUGACGUCUUUUCCUUUUUCUUCUUCUUUUCCUUUUUUUAUUUUUAAAUUGUCUUGUUGGUAUUAUUAUUAUUAAUAUUUUAUUUUGUGUAUUUUGGCGUCUGAUAGAUUCGCGCGGUAACUGUGCGACGAUUUCUACGUGGGAAGAAUCAUCCCUCCACGGGCGUAGUACCUGCGCCUAGCCGCCAACCAUUUUGGCAUAAAUAUUUAAUUAUAAAUUUUAUAAUAUAUAAAUAAAAUUUUUUGAUAUAAUAAUUCACAAAUGCUAAAAUAAAAAAUUUUGAUCAGUUAUCCUAAAAAAAAUAAGGAUAAAAAUGAAAGGAAUAGUAAUAACAAAUGACUAUUGAGAUUUAUAAGUGUUAGAGAGAAAAAAAAAAGAGGGGUUAUCAAUCUUCAUUAAAUAAGUGGAUAUAUAUUUUUUAUAGAAAGGCUUUUUUUGCAAUUGACCUUCUGAAAAAAAUUAAUUUUAAAAAUAGUCUUAGCAAAUUUAUAUUUGCAAAAAUAGUCUUGUCCCUACCACGUAAGCGCCACGCUAGCGGGGCUGGGGCCAGAAAGUUAAGUUGAAUACGGUGAACUAUUAUCAUGUCCAAACACAAUAAAUCAUUCACCGUGUAUAGACACGGUGAAUGAUUCACCGUGUAUACUGCGUGACUUGAACUUGGCAGUGUGUGACUUGGACUUGUUGGUGAAUAUACACGGUGGUAAUACAUUAAACACGGAGAACCGUUCACCGUGUCUAGACAUGGUGAAUGGUUCAUCGUGUUCAGUAGAGCUACAUAACACUUACAAUUAUUUCAGCACAAUAAAUCACUAAAAUACAACAUCAACACACACAAUAACAAAUUCGAUACAACAAUAUAAGAAAUUCAACAUCAACAAUACAACAACAAAUCCAACACAAUAAUAAAUCCAACACAAUAUCAAUAGAGCAUCAAUACCUUAUCAUCACAACAGAAUAUCAAAAAUUAAAACAAAUUUUUUAAUAAUAUAGAAAGUUCGAUGUAAUUUAAAAUUUACAAAAAUAUAAUGUUAUGUUCUCCUUCUAGUCCCUCGAUCACGUCUACUUACAACGUCCCUUACCACGUCCGCGACCACGAUCAACACUAUGCUCAUCAAAGGGCUCUAUGACCUCCAACUGGUCGAGAUGUUCGAUAGUAGCACCCUCAAUAACUGGCUGUAAAGUCCUACGUCUCGAUCACCCAUCUGAUCUCGUGCUCAAUCAUAGCAGGUGUCGGUAGUAUGUCUGGUCAUGGAGGAGCUGAAGAGGAGGGCUGAUCUGUAUGAAGAGACUGCAACUGCCAUCGGCGCUUACGAUAAACAAUAUCGACUGGUCGAGGUGGAUCCUCUGGUACUGGUGCUGGUACUAUGUCUGGGUGAUAAAGUGGCUCCUCUAUCGGUAAAGAUGGCCUCGGUGGACUAUACAAUGGUAUAUGGCCUGACGUCGAUGGUCCACCAUGUUCUGCUGGCCGUGGAGGUACAGUGUGUGGAAGCGUAGGUAAAGUGUCACACCUUGCGACCGCCAAUUUGGUCAGUUCGGGCACGUCAACAGACACCGAACGGACAGCACCUCCCCUGUCUGCCCAAGGCUCCACCAACACAUGUAUAUCCAAAGCAAUUCAAACAGGGCGAAUGCAAGUAUACAUGGUUUGCUCGAGAACAAACAACAACAAGUAGUGAAAGCACUAAGCUACUACUGUCACGCCUCGAGACCGCUACCCAUUUGGUCCGGUUCGGGCGCGUCGAACAGAUGCCGAACGGACAGCACCUCCCCUGUCCGCCCAAGCCUCAACCACGAGAUCAUGUACAAGAAUUCUCCCAAGAACAAUUCAAUACAUACAUGAUCUAUACAACGAUAAUAGAAGCACCACAAGUGCUUAACAACAAGAGAAAGUAACACAAGUAUACAUACAAGUGCAAAAAUAGAGAAUUCUAUCUAUUACAUCACAUUCAUCCAUUGUUUACAUUCGUUUCAUCCAAAAUAUAGAUACAAGUUCGUUCACAUUUCUCCAAAAUGCAUCUCACAACCUAUACAGUAUCUACUCUCAUAUAUGUAGGUAUCUCUAAUGCAGUAGGAGAGCUACUAGUGCUAGGGCGCUAAGCCCUUACCGCGAUCCUCGCCCGGAGCGCUCGUACUCGGCCCUGCAACAAAGUGGGGUGAGAACUAUUGUCCAAAGUUUUCAAUGGGUUCGGCCGCCGACUCCGCCGAUCUCCCCACUAAGUCCAAGUGGACACAAGCAGAUAGAUAGAUAGAUAGAUAUGCGAAAACAGUAACGACAUAGUAAGAAAGCUACGCUACUAUGCCCAAAUCAUAUACAAUAUAUGCAUGCACAAUGUGAUAAGUAAUCAACUAACAUGCCACUAUGUUCAAGAAGUAAUGUUAUUUACUUGUUCAUCAAAUCUCUAGACUUAUUCAAUCCUUGGCCAACCCUGAGGUUCGCCCACGACUCACAUGCAUCUCAUGGUAAGGAGACUCAACUUGCUCAGCAAACUCGAGACCGUCUGCGGGACCCCAUAAGGCUAUCCCCGGGACCCCAUAAGGCUAUCCCUCGUGUGACAAACUCCGGAGCGCACGCUUGUGGAGAGCGACCACCUCAUGCUCUUAACAGACAGCGAGUAUGAUCUAAUCCUCUCAACUCGAGGAUACUCUAUCCACUAGGGCUAACAGUCAUUCGGGAAUCCACCUAUCCCAAUGUCCAUAUGCAAGUGUUUAACUACACUAAGUUCUUGUUCAAUGACUCAUCUCUAGGAAAUCCACCUAUCCCUAAGUUCACAUGUCAAGUGUCAUUUUUACACUAAGUUAUAUGCCACUCGUGCUAUUGUCAUUGUUAUUUACAUGCCACUCGUUAUGUCUUUUGUCAACCAUCGAGUCUAUCUCUUAUCUCAGCACUAUAGGAUUCAAUGUCUCGACCCAAUCCUUAUGUAACAUACUGAAACUUCGGUAGAAUGUUGGACUCUAGCCAAAUUGGCCAAAGAGCCCAAGAGAAAUGGAAGGACGAAGUCUAUUUAACACUCCAACAGUGUUCGAAGGGUUAAAAGUGAGUUCCAAUAAGGUUAGAAAGGUUUUAGCAUUACUCGGCGCGAAUUGGAGUCGAAACAAUGCGAGAUUGAGGUUCAGGAGCAUUCAGGCGUUUUCGGUGCGCGUACGCGUGAAAACGGGACCCGAAAGGCUAUGUUGGACUAUGAGCUAAAUUCGGCAUUAGCUUGAAUGAAAAGAUGACGAAAUCAUGCUCGAAAACAUGUUUUGGGGGUCUCGGUGCGAUUUGAAAUGAAUCGGAGGCCUAACGAACGAAAACGAACGAAAACGGAGAAAAGCUGAAAAUUGGCUAAGUCCUGAAAAAGGGCUGUGUUACCGGUGACACCCCUGGUGUGUACCGGUACGCAGUGUAAAAUCCGAGAAGAUGCCUCUCGGGUUUGGCUGUUGCGCGACCGUGUUACCGGUACCGUGUUACCGGUGACACCAGCCCGUAUACCGGUACGCGGGGGACCCGACAGCACAAUGAAGUCUGCUGCAAAUAAAAAUAGUUGGGGGGCUUAUUUGCAAUUGUGGCACACCGCAUAUGUUCCCAAACACCCCUUCACAGCAGCAAACACCUCUCCCCCUUAUUUCUUCUCCCUUUCUCUCUCUAAAAGCUCUCCACCAAAGCUUAAAGAGAAGGAGAAGAAGGUCUUGAAGGUGGAUUUUGAGUGUUUUGGAGGAUCAAGAAGCUCUCCUUCAUGGUGGACUUGGAAGAGCUUAGGCUAAGGUGAGUUAUUUCGCAAGAAUACUUUUAGGGUUUAGAUUUAUACCCUAAGAUUUAGUGUUUUGGACUUCUUGUAAGACUAGAGCCUCUCUAUAGGCUUGAGCUCCAUGAAAAUCUAUGGAAGCUUAGGGUGCUCUCAUGGUGAUCACCUAGGGUUUGUGUUAGAUGCCCUAGGGUUGGUCCAAUUAGGUUGGAGAUGAUAUUAGAGAGUUUCUUGGGUGGUUCUAAGCUUGAUUAUGCUUAGCAACUAGAUCAAUCCCAAGAAAUCUCAUUAUGGCAUUGUCAGGGCACCAAAUUUAGGGCUUUUUUCUCCAGGUGUUUCCGAGGUAAAUUGACCUUGUAGAAGCCUAAUUGGGGAUCAAACGAACGCGUUGGAAUGCUCGGUUCGACGAUACGACGAGUGUACGCGAGGUUAUUGAUGAAACGGUCGAUUUUGGUACAGAUAGCCGCAGCACGCGGAAUAGACGUCUAAAAAUCAUGAGAUCGGAUCCGGAGCAUCGUGGUAACGAGGAAUAAACUCCGGAAUAGACGGAUCGCGGAUUGGUGGUCGUUCAGGUGGUCGCGCUAGAGUCCGGGUGUAAUCGGGUCACGGGUGUCGCGGGAGGCCGAUUGCAAGUGACUACAAGCAAUCGGAACGCGUUUUGAGGUGGGUUGUGUUUACCGAAGCGACUAGGUCGCCUCUAUGUCUAGAGAAAUGGUUUCAUAUUGAUGCAUAUAAUGAUAGCUAAUGGUAAAUUAUGUGAAUGCAUGAAGUGAAUGCUAAGUAGGCUACCAAAGAAUGCAUGAGAAUAUAGUAGGUGUUACGCCCCGCCCCGAAUCCACUACCAAUUUGGUACGGUUCGGCCGCGGCGGCGGGCCGCCGAACGGACAGCACCUCCCAUGUCCGCCCAAGGCUUAACAACAGGAAUGUGUACAAGAAUUUACCAAGGAAAAUUAAAUUCUAAGCAUACACAUUCACCGGGGCACGAGCAGUGCCAACAAUACGAGAGCAAGCAAUCCACAAGAUAAACAAGUGAAAUAAAGAAAGUACUUACUAACUAUUACAAUAGUUCCAACAUUCUCAUUUACAUCAUUUUCUUUAAAUGAAUACAUUUUUCAUCCAAAAUAUAUAGCUCUCCAAAGCCUCACCUACAAUGAAUCUCUCUCUCAAUAUAUAGGUGACUAAUGCAAAAAGGAAAGCUACUAUACUACCACGGUCUCACAGGUCGGGCGCGAUGCCCUUGCCGCGGUCCUCUCUCUGCAGCCCUGAACCUACCACUGGAAAUAGAGUGGGGUGAGAACUAUCUUCCAUAGUUCCCAGUGGGCUCGGCCGCCGACUCUGCCGAUCUCCCCACUAGGUCCAAGUGGACACAAGUAACAACAGAUAGAUAGAUAGAUAGAUAUGUAUCUGAAAGCUGUAAAUGCGAUAGUAGGAAAACUAUGCUACUACGCCCAUAAUCAUGAAUAUGAAUGCAUGCAUCAUAUAAUAAAGGUUUGCUAUCAUGCUAACAAAUUCGAUCCAUGUUCGAAUAGUAAUGUUUAAUGACAUUAAUAAAUUUUUAACCUUUCCAUUUACCCAAUCUGUGGCGAGGCCCUAGGGCUCGCCCAUGGCUCACCUUUCAAUCCCAAAGUAGGGAGGGAGCUCCAAGUGCACCCAAGCCCGGGACCGUCUGCGGACCUCCAUGUGGUCCAGACCUCCAAGUAGUUAUAGUCGCACGACACUCCGGAGUACUCGACGACCAUCCCCUCCAUGUGGGGAUUGGAUGGCUAUACCAUCCCAACGCAGACUGUGAGCUAGAUCUAUCCUCUCCAAGUGAGGAUACUCUACAGCUAGAGCUAAUACCAAAUCGAAUCCUCUCCAAGUGAGGGAGCACUGUCACUAGGGUCCACAACCCAUUCAAAUCCUCUCCAAGCGAGGGUGCCCUACCACUAGGGUCAACAUCUCUUGCGGAAUCAUUUGUUCCCGAUAUUCAUGCAAUGCUACUUAGCUUUUCUAAAUUCAUUGUUCACAAGGCAUUUUCUAAGGGAUCCACCUAUCCCUAGGUCCAUCGACCUCUAGUGUUAUUUACACUACAUUAAUGCCACUCGUUAUCAUUCAAUGUUUGGAUGCCACUCGUUUGUUCUUUAACAAUAACACUACUUUCUAUGUCAUCAAUACCCCCAUCGGGUUCAUCUCUUUUCUUUCGCACCAUAGGAUUCACGUCUCGACCCAAUCCUCACCUAUCUAAGUUACCAAGCGUUCCAAGUACACUAGGUUAUCAAUUAGAAAGCAUAAGGAAUGGAGCUACUAUGCAAUCCUACAAUGCAACAUGAAGAGAUGAGAUUAAAUGCAAUCUAAGACAUAGAAAGGAGUUCGAAAGUUUCGGAUGACACCCCCCACCUUUAAUCGAUGUAGAGGUUUCGGAAAUCUCUCUCGGCGAGCUUUACGAAAAGGCUUUAGCCUUCCUCGCCCGAAUCAACACUAGCCCGGCCCGAUUUUGCCGAGAACUUCACGUCGGUUCGCCGAAUGCCAAAAUCGACUUCGCCCCCGCGUUUUGGGACCUAUCAAUAGGGUUUCCAAGGCUUCAAAUGAGAUCAAUCUCAUACAUUUACAAAAACCCCAUUUUGGAACCCUAGAUUUGCACCUAUAGCAAACCACCCCAUAAAUCCCUAGAUUCUUGGGAUUGAUCUAUUUAGAAGCUUGCUUAGGGUCCAUUUGACCCAUUCCAAGGCAUAAAACCCAAAAACCCUAAGUUCUAGAAGCUAGGGUUGUAGCUUACCUCUUGAGCUACACCAAUGGGAAGAGGAGAGGGAGAGGAAGAUGCUCCUAGCCUCCUUCUUCUUCUCCUCCUUCUUCUUCUUCUUCUCCUCCUUCUUCUUCUUCUCUUUCUUCUUCUCCUUCUCUUUUCCUUUUUUUUCUAGAGAGAGAGAGAGCAAGAGAGAAAGAGAGUGAGAGAAAGUGAAAUGAGAUGAGUGUGAGGGAGAGAGAGGGCUCAGCCCACUCAAAUAAAAGCCAUUUUGCAUAAAAGCCCCUCAACUUUCACUCCUGUGCACUGCCCUUACUGGGCAGUUUUCGCGCGGAGGGACCGGUCUCCCCGACUUGGGACCGGUCCCCGAGAGCUUCCCUCGGGCGCACGCGUUCGGGAACCAGUCUCUCCCCGGGAGACCGGUCCUCGGGAGACCGGUCCUCACCUGAGAGACCAGUCCCCGAGAGCUCGAUUUUCAGGACUUAGCCAAUUUUUGGUAUUUCUCGCUGGGACCACAUUCGGGAACCGGUCCCUCCCUACCAGGGACCGGUUGCACCAAGCAACCCUGCUACACCCAGCCGAGGGAACCGGUCUCUCACCUGCAGAGACCGGUCCCCGAGAGCAACAUCAGCCCAAUGAUGCAGUUUGCCUCAUUUGCUCUCGCGGACUCAACUCCAAAGCACUUUUUGUGUUUUGGACAUUCUCAACUCCCACAAAGAGCGUUCUCUCAACAAUCAGUCGAUCCUGGAUGAAGUACAAUCCUCAAAUUUUGAGAAUUCACUUCCUUACAUCCUCCCCUUCUUAAAAGGAGUUUCGUCCUCGAAACUAAAUCAAAUUUUUAACCUCAGCUUAAAUUCUUACCUUACUCCUCGAAUAAAUGAGGAUAGUGCUUUCUCAUCAGAUCCUCGAGUUACCAGGUAGCUUCGUGAUCCUCGUGAUUGCUCCACCUGACCUUCACAUAGGGAAUCUCUCGAUUCCUCAACUUUCGCACCUCUCGGGCGAUAAUCCCUACUGGAAACUCUUCAUAGCUCAAGUCUCCUUGAAGUUCCGGCGGUUCAUACAGCAUUGCAUGCUCAGGGUCGUGAAUGUACUUGCGGAGAUUGGAGACAUGGAACACAUUAUGUACAUCCGCAAGCUUCGGCGGUAAAGCAAGUCGGUAGGCCACCGUGCCGACUCGCUCCAAUAUUUCAUAUGGUCCAAUACAUCGGGGACUUAGUUUUCCCCGUACUCCAAACCGCUUCACACCCCGCAUCGGUGAAACCUUCAAGAAUACGCGGUCACCUACCGCGAAUUCUAUAUCUCGACGGCGUCUAUCCGCAUAGCUUUGCUGUCUUGACUGCGCUGUGAGCAAUCUCUUGCGAGCCAGACUGUCACGGCCCGGGACCCAGCAGAAGCCCGCCCGGCACGUGCCCAGACCCGCCAUACGUCUAAAACAUAUAAGGCGUCUAAAAACAACAAUAAUAAAAGCAAUAAUAAAAGACAUCUAGGAGUAUCAGAGCAUAACAAAUGUCUAAAUGCUACAACAAGGGAUAAGGAUAAAACUGUAAGUCCACCAAAUAAAAUAUAAAGUGAUACAAGGAAAACCCAGAUACAAGUGCUAUAGGUAGAUACAUAGGUGGUCUCUAUACAUGGAUACAAAAACCUCUCACUCUCUCAACUACAAAAGAAAGAGUAAACCACCUAGGCAAAGUACCGCUCCUCGCUAGCUAGCUAAGCGAUCCCCUUGCCGCGAUCCCGUGCCUUCGCCGGUGCCGAAGGCUCUGAAAAGUAAACCAUAAAACAGGGGCGUGAGAACUAUUAAAAAUAGUUCCCAGUGGGCAAUUACUGACUUCAGUGAAUGCACCACAAGGCCCAAAGCUACGAAAAGAUGUCAGUGACUAUAAAAGUAGAAAAGCGAAAGGUAAGUAAAAAUGUAACCUACUACGACAUGAUAUCUCUACUUAGCAUAAAUAGCAUAAGUAUGAAAGCAACUAUGCAUGAAGUAAAUGUCUCCAACUAUCAUGAUGUUCACAAUGUGAAAUAGUAAAGUUCCGUUGUUUACUAUUCUAAUCAAUGUCCAAGUAGUAUACUAAAUCCUCAUCUGUCCACAUGUCAUAAUGGAUACACAAAGUCAAAUCUGAAGAGACCCACCCGAAGGCUGUCUAUGGCCCUGAGACCCACCCGUAGGCUGUCUGGCCGGUGCCGAGCCUAAUGGCCCCGUGGUAGUCAUCAUCCCCACCCUAGGAAUGAGCCUGUCCCACGGCAAUCCACUUCGGCGCCCAAUCCCGCACGGCGAAUAUGAAUCGCGAUGGCUAUCUCCGGAGUGCCGGCUUGUAGGGAGCGACCCUCACAAGCAUGUGCGAAUGAGCACAAUGGCAAGUAGUCAAACGAUCUGUCGCAAGUACCAAGUCCUCAUGUCUAAUAACAUGGAAUGUGUCAAGUAUCUCAAUGGCCUAUCCCUAUGUCAUCAUGUCUCUAACAUGGAAUAUAGCAGAUAUGUAGUGGCCUAUCAAUAUGUCUCUAUGUUGCAGUUUCAUAGUUUACUAGUUUCAAGUGCCCCUUGAUGACACUCUUGUUCUCUAUGUCAAAGCAUGGCAACUAUGUUCCAAAGUAUAUAUUCCAAGUCAUAAUUCUCAUAAGAGAUGUAUUUUCCACUUGCAAAAUAAACACUUUUCCCGUAUGCAUGCAUUCUACUCAUAUAGCUCUACUAUAUAGUGAAAUUUUCAUAAUACACAAGGCAUGCAUUUUAAGUGCUCUAAAAUUCAUAUAAAUUCCAUUUAGCAUAGAAAUGAAUUUAAAAAUAUUUUACAACAAGUAGAAAGAGCAUAGGGGCCAUUUCGCCCCAUUUCCACGAAGCCAAACCCACCAAAACUCUUGCAACUCUUCGCAAGCUCCGACGAAGAUGCCCACUAGCCUCCUAGCACCCUAAAGAUGUAGGAACAAGGGUUAAACGAACCUUACGAUUAACCCUAAACUCAAUCAAUAAGCAACAUAGGCUAAGAUGGAGAAAAACUCACCUAGGUGAAGAAAUUCUCUCUCUAGCUCCAAAUGGGAGUUAGAGUUCUUCAAAUCCAACCUAAAUAAAGGUUCCAAACCCAUCAAUUAGGUCUCAAAACCCUCAAAUCCAAAAACCCCCAAAAUAAACCCUAAAUCCCAAAAUCUAGGGUUUCAUCUAGUAAAACCUAGGAAAACAUGUAUCAAAUGGGGAUUACAAGCUACCAACCUCAAGAGAAGCUCCAAUCCAAGCUCAAAACCAAGUAGGGUUGAAGUUUGAUCCUCCACAAAGCUCCAACCGCAAGCUCGAAGCCACCAAGGUGAGAAAAUGGGGAAGAAGAUGAUGCUCCAAAGCCUCCAAGCAAGCUCCUUCUCCUCUUCUUCUUCUUCUUCUUCUUCUUCUUCUCCCUCUCUUCUUCUCUCUCUAGAAUAGGUGGGAAGGGAAGAAAUGAGGAGAGAAGAGGGUGAAAUGGCCAAAUAGGCCAUUAAAAGUAACAAAAUCCACUUAGGCCCCUCAAAAACUCAAAUUUACAUCAGCCCGGUCUGGGCAGUUUUCGCCCAGAGGGACCGGUCUCCCCGACCUGGGACCGGUCUCUCAGCCUGCCCUCGAAAAUCCAACGUUCGGGAACCGGUCUCUCCCUGCGCGGGACCGGUCUCUUCCCGCGCAGACGCACUCGGGGACCGGUCUCGACUGCCAGGGACCGGUUGCCUCGCCGGCUACGCAGCACUGUUCACUGGGGGACCGGUCUCUCCUAUCAGGGACUGAUCCCUGAGAGUAAAAACUCUCAGGACUCUGCCAAAACUCUCGAGAUCAAACUUUUAGGCCGGUAUAUCAUCGACGGCCCUCCACCAAGUGUGGAAAAGUUCGGAAUACAAAUCGAACACUCGAACCUCGCAAUUUGCAAAGGUCCAGUGUGCUACACAGACGGACUUUCUCUUCCGCUUCUCGCAACACAUCGGGGCCGAACUCAGCACACUCGCCUACAUCGCUCCAGUGUAUAGGAGACCGACACGUUCGCCCAUAGAGAGCCUCGAACGGUGCCAUCUCCACACUAGCAUGAUAACUGUUGUUGUAGGCGAACUCGGCCAUAGGUAGGUGGUCACACCAACUUCCCUUGUAGUCGAUGACACACGCUCGCAACAUAUCCUCCAGAGUUUGAAUAGUUCUCUUUGUUUGCCCAUCGGUCUGAGGAUGAAAUGCGGUACUGAAGUCGAGCCGUGUGCCAAGGGCUUCCUGCAGGCUCUUCCAGAAGUGUGAAGUAAACCGGAGGUCACGAUCCGACACGAUCAAUUUCGGCACCCCAUGCAGUCUCACUAUCUCGUCAAGAUACACCUGCGCUAACUUGUCUCCCGACCACGUGGUGUGGAUCGACAAGAAGUGAGCCGACUUUGUCAAUCGGUCCACAAUCACCCAAAUUGCAUCGUGGCCGCCCGUUGAGCGAGGCAAGCCGACCACGAAGUCCAUUGAUAUGUCCUCCCAUUUCCAAACGGGGAUUGGUAGGCUUUGAAGCUUUCCCGCUGGAAAUCGACGCUCGGCCUUCACUUGUUGGCAUGUUAAGCACUUUGCCACAAAGCGUCCAAUGUCGCUCUUCAUUCCCGGCCACCAAUAGUGCAUUUUUAGUCCCUGAUACAUCUUGGUGCCGCCCGGGUGAUCAGCAUAUGGAGAUCGGUGUGCUUCUUGUAGAAUCAAUUCACGAAGCUCUCCAUCUUACGGCACACACCAUCGGUUUCGAAACCGAAGCGCACCAUCGGCAUCUACCCUGAAAUCGCCGCCACGCCCUUCCUCGAUGUUUCGCCACACCUUUUGGAGUUCUGGGUCUGCAGGUUGCAGAUCUUUAAUCCUCUCCAACAAGGUCGGUUGGACAACGAGUGCCAUCAACUGAGUCGGGACCUCGGGAGCGACCACUUCAAGGUCCAAUCGCUCCAUGUCCAGCCAUAGGGGUGUUUGCUGGAUAACAUCAAAAGCGAGGUUCUUCGCCGACUUUCUACUUAGUGCGUCCGCGACCACGUUUGCCUUCCCGGGGUGGUAGAGGAUAUCAACAUCAUAAUCCUUUAACAGCUCCAACCACCGCCGCUGACGCAUAUUGAGCUCCUUCUGUGUAAACAGGUACUUCAAGCUCUUGUGGUCAGUAUAGAUCUCACAAUGGGCACCAUAUAAGUAGGGCCUCCACAGCUUUAAGGCGAAAAUCACCGUCGCAAGCUCCAAAUCAUGGAUGGGGUAAUUCUUUUCAUAGCUCUUCAGCUGAUGGGAUGCAUAUGCGAUCACUUUCCCGUUUUGCAUCAACACACACCCCAAUCCAAGAUAGGAGGCAUCACUGUAGACUACAAAGUCUUCGCCCUGCACGGGUAGAGCGAGCACCGGAGUCGAAGUCAGUCUUUGCUUCAACUCUUUGAAACUCCGGUCACAUUCUUUGCUCCAAACAAACUGGGUGCCUUUUUGGGUUGGGCGGGUAAGUGGAAUCACUAUUUUGGAAAAGCCUUCCACAAACCGCCUAUAGUAGCCCGCCAAGCCCACGAAGCUUCGAACCUCCGUGACAUUCGUCGGACGCGGCCAAUCCCUGAUUGCCUCAACUUUUCUUGGGUCUACAGAAACUCCACCCGCGGAAAUCAUAUGCCCCAAGAAGGCGACCUCGCGAAGCCAAAAGUCACACUUCUUUAGCUUAGCAUAUAGCUUCUCCUCCCGAAGGACUUGAAGCACUAUUUUCAAAUGCUCGGCAUGUUCCUCGUCACUACGAGAAUAGACCAAUAUGUCGUCUAUGAAGACCACGACAAAUCGAUCCAAAUACUUCUUGAAGACACGGUUCAUUAAAUCCAUAAAUGCCGCUGGAGCAUUCGUGAGUCCAAAUGGCAUGACCGUGAAUUCGUAGUGUCCAUACCGCGUACGAAACACAGUUUUUUGCACAUCCUCCGGCUUAAUUUUCAAUUGGUGAUAGCCGGACUGCAAGUCUAUCUUCGAGUGUCACACACGACCCCUGCAAUUGAUCGAACGAGUCAUCGAUUCGGGGUAGUGGGUACUUAUUCUUGAUCGUGACCCUGUUCAAUUCUCGAUAAUCCAGAGUCGGAACGAUCCAUCCUUCUUCCGUACAAACAACACCGGGGCUCCCCACGGUGACACACUUGGCCGGAUAAAUUGCUUGUCGAGGAGGUCUUGCAGUUGACUCCUCAACUCUUUCAAUUCCGCCGGCGCCAUUCGUAACGGAGCCUUCGAGAUCGGUGUGGUACUGGGAACCAAGUCUAUGACGAACUCGAUCUCCCGAUCCGGUGGUAUCCCCGGCAACUCCGCAGGAAACACAUCCGGGAACUCCCGCACCACAGCUAACUUCUCUAAUGUUGGAGCUAUCUGUUCCACUUCCACAACAGUCGCCAAGAACGCCGUGCAACCGCUGUUGACUAAUUUCCUUGCUCUUGUCGCCGACACCGUCGCGACGAAGCACGAGCUUUGACAAGCCCGAUACGUGAACUCCUCUUGUCCUGGCUCACGGAAUGUGAUCACCCUGCUCUUGCAGUCGAUCGUCGCGUGAUACUUCGAGAGCCAGUCCAUGCCCAGAAUGAUAUCAUAAGCCUCAAGCUUUGUGAGUUCCAGCGUCCGGAUAGGCAUAAUCCAUUCGCCUAUUUGUACGGGACACGACGCACACUCCGAGUAAGUGUUAAACGUCGACCCAGGGCCCUCUACUCGCCACUUGUCACUCGCCUCAAUGAGAAUGCCAUGCAUGCGUGCGAAUGAUCUACUUAUGAAUGAAUGCGUGGCUCCUGUAUCAAAUAAAGCCCUGGAGCGAACUCCGUUAAUUAAAACCAUACCUGCCACAAGGCGAUGCUCCUCCGCCUCCGCAGGUUCCUCAGCUUGGACCUGAGCGGCGAACACCCGUCCGCUCGGGGCCGAUCGCGUCACUUCAGGUUGACGCGGCAUCAUCGCGCGUCCAGUCGACGCGGCCGUCGGUGGAGCUCCUCCAUAAUGAGCCGGGAUCGCCGGCGCCGAUGUAGUCGAGGGGGCAGGUGAGGCUCCUCCUCCUGGGCAAUCUCGAAUGAAGUGCCCCGGCUGCCCACACUUGUAGCACUUGCCUCAGCCUUGUUCACAGCGCGAGACCGGGUGGUCUCCGCCGCAUAUCAUGCAUCGCCGCACUCCACCGCUCUUCUGUUGAGUGCACGCAUACUUCGGGGGCUUCUUGUGACGUGUCUGUCCCCCCGAACUACCGCCACCUUGGCAUUUCUUGCCCUUGUCCUUAGACUCGGCCAAAGCCUCACGCUUCUCCCGAAUGUGGGCAUCUCCAUGCUCCGCCCAUAGGGCUCGAUCAAAGACCUCCGCAAAGGUCGUAAGCUUAAGUAUUUGCACGGCCUUGUAGAUCCCCGGCCGAAGUCCUCGCAAGAACCACUCGGCCCGGUUCCGGUCAUCCUUUACAACGUCCGGGACACAGUCAAUAACAUGGGAGAAUUCUUGUUCAUACUCCGCCACUGAGCGGUCCCCUUGUUCGAGCUUGCGGAACUUCUCCUUGAGCUUCCGCUUCAGUGCGUCGGAAAAAUAGUUGGCGAACAUCUCCCGCUUGAAUUCUUCCCACAGCAUCGGCGGAAGACUGCGAAGCCGAUCCCGUCUAACGCGCUCCCACCAAACCUUCGCCGCCUUCUCCAAGCAGUGGGUGGCGAGAUACACCUUGUCCCUCUCCAAGGUACGCAAGUCGUCGAAGAAGGUUUCCAUCGAGUCGAUCCAAGACUCGACCAUCUCCGGUUCCACCUUCUCGCCCUCAAAGGUUGGCGGAUGGAACUUGUUGAACUUGAUAAGAGCCGCCAACGCGCGCUCUCCCUCCACGUCUUCGGCCGUCACAUCGGGUGUAGCCGAUCCCGAUGCCGCCUGUGGUGCGAUCGCUGGCGGUGGGCGUGCCGUCACCGGAACCGCCGCUAUGCCCUCACCCUCUGCCGCUCUAAGUAUAUGAGUCGAGGGUGCGGGCGGACCACCGCCUUCAUUUGCCGUCGCAGCCGUCGCUGCGAUCUACCGCUCCAAUAGAUCCUGGAGCCGCUCGAAUCGGGUCUCCUAGCGCUGCACCAUGUUGGUCAGCGCGGUCACCUGCGCUUGCAACCGAUCGAUCACGCUCGGUUCCUCCUGCUUGGGCACCUCAGGAGUCGGUGCUGGGGCAGAUCUACGCGUGUAGCGUCUUGGAGACAUUAGUCCCUGAAACGCAAUUACUCGGUCAGUCACCUUAACCAAUUGCCUCGUUGCAAUUACGACACGUGACAACUCAACCACAAAAUCGGGCGGAAGCACACAAGUGCACUCGUUCUAGGCUCUUGGUAUCAUGUCGUCGGCCGCCGACACAACCACCUCAAGACGAGAACUCAUACAACUUGAAUCCGUCUCUAAUCACAACUAGAGACAUAUUACCACCUUCGAUCCAAUCGAAUCAACUUCCGCCAUCGCUACAGGUUCACGUUCCGCUCACGCACCUAUAACCUUAGGGCUUACCAACCUAGGGUCUCCUAGGUCAUCCUAGACUCUCUCUUUACUUGCUCUUAUUGCUCUGAUACCAAAACAGCUGUNAUAACCUUAGGGCUUACCAACCUAGGGUCUCCUAGGUCAUCCUAGACUCUCUCUUUACUUGCUCUUAUUGCUCUGAUACCAAAACAGCUGUCACGCCCUGCCCCGAAUCCACUACCAAUUUGGCACGGUUCAGCCACGGCGGUGGGCCGCCGAACGGACAGCACCUCCCAUGUCCACCGAAGGCUUAACUACAGGAAUGUGUACAAGAAUUUACCUAGAAAAAUUAAAUUCUAAGCAUACACAUUCACCGGGGCACGAGCAGUGCCGACAAUACGAGAGCAAGCAAUCCACAAGAUAAACAAGUGAAAUAAAGAGAGUACUUACUAACUAUUAUAAUAGUUCCAACAUUCUCAUUUACAUCAUUUUCUUUAAAUGAAUACAUUUUUCAUCCAAAAUACAUAGCUCUCCAAAUCCUCACCUACAAUGAAUCUCUCUCUCAAUACAUAGGUGACUAAUGCAAAAAGGAAAGCUACUAUACUACCAAAGUCUCACAGGUCGGGCGCGAUGCCCUUGCCGCGGUCCUCUCUCUGCAGCCCUGAACCUACCACUGGAAAUAGAGUAGAGUGGAACUAUCUUCCAUAAUUCCCAGUGGGCUCGGCCGCCGACUCUGCCGAUCUCCCCACUAGGUCCAAGUGGGCACAAGUAACAACAGAUAGAUAGAUAGAUAGAUAUGUAUCUGAAAGCUGUAAAUGCGAUAGUAGGAAAACUAUGCUACUAUGCCCAUAAUCAUGAAUAUGAAUGCAUGCAUCAUAUAAUAAAGGUUUGCUAUCAUGCUAACAAAUUCGAUCCAUGUUCGAAUAGCAAUGUUCAAAGACAUUAAUAAACCUUUAACCUUUCCAUUUACCCAAUCUGUGGCGAGGCCCUAGGGCUCACCUAUGACUCACCUUUCAAUCCCAAAGUGGGGAGGGAGCUCCAAGUGCACCCAAGCUGGGGACCGUCUGCGGACCUCCAUGUGGUCCGGACCUCCAAGUGGUCCUAGUUGCACGACACUCCGGAGUACUCGACGACCAUCCCCUCCAUGUGGGGAUUGGAUGGCUAUACCAUCCCAACGCAGACUGUGAGCUAGAUCUAUCCCCUCCAAGUGAAGAUACUCUACAGCUAGAGUCAAUACCCAAUCGAAUCCUCUCCAAGUGAGGGAGCACUAUCACUAGGGUCCACAACCCAAUCAAAUCCUCUCCAAGCGAGGGUGCCCUACCACUAGGGUCAACAUCUCUUGCGGAAUCAUUUGUUCCCAAUAUUCAUGCAAUGCUACUUAGCUUUUUCUAAAUUCAUUGUUCACAAGGCAUUUUCUAAGGGAUCCACCUAUCCCUAGGUCCAUCGACCUCUAGUGUCAUUUACACUAUAUUAAUGCCACUUGUCAUCAUUCAAUGUUUGGAUGCCACUCGUUUGUUCUUUAACAAUAACACUACUUUCUAUGUCAUCAACACCCCUAUCGGGUACAUCUCUUUUUUUUCCGCAUCAUAAGAUCCACAUUCCGACCCAAUCCUCACCUAUCUAAGUUACCAAGCGUUCCAAGUACACUAGGUUAUCAUUUAGAAAGCAUAAGGAAUGGUGCUACUAUGCAAUCCUACAAUACAACAUGAAGAGAUGAGAUUAUAUGCAAUCUAAGACAUAGAAAGGAGUUCGAAAGCUUCGGGAUGGCACCCCCCACCUUUAAUCGAUGUAGAGGCUUCGAAAAUCCUUCUCGGCGAACUUUACGAAAAGGCUUUAGUCUUCCUCGCCCGAAUCAACACUAGCCCGGCCUGAUUUUGCCGAGAACUUCACGUCGGUUCGCCGAAUGCCAAAAUUGACUUCGCCCCCGCGUUUUGUGACCUAUCAAUAGGGUUUCCAAGGCUUUAAAUGAGAUCAAUCUCAUACUUUUACAAAAGCCCAUUUUGGAGCCCUAGGUUUGCACCUAUAGUAAACCACCCAAUAAAUCCCUAGAUUCUUGGGAUUGAUCUAUUUAGAGGCUAGCUUAGGGUCCAUUUGACCCACUCCAAGGCGUAAAAACUCAAAACCCUAAGUUCUAGGAGGUAGGGUUUGAAGCUUACCUCUUAGGCUACACCAAUGAAGAGAAGAGAAGGAGAGGAAGAUGCUCCAAGCCUUCUUCUUCUUCUUCUCCUCCUCCUUCUUCUUCUUCUCCUACUUUUUCUUCUUCUCUUUCUUCUUCUCCUUCUUUGUUAUCUCUAGAGAGAGAGAGAGAGCAAGAGAGAGAGAGUGAGAGGGAGUGAAAUGAGAGAGUGUGAGGGAGAGAGAGGGCUCAGCCCACUCAAAUAAAAGCCAUUUUGCAUAAAAGCCCCUCAACUUUCACUCCUGUGCGCUGCCCUUACUGGGCAGUUCUCGCGCGGAGGGACCGGUCUCCCCGACUUGGGACCGGUCCCCGAGAGCUUCCCUCAGGCGCAAGCAUUCGGGAACCGGUCUCUCCCCGGGAGACCGGUCCUCGGGAGACCGGUUCUCACCUGAGAGACAGGUCCUCGAGAGCUCGAUUUUCAGGACUUAGCCAAUUUUUGGCAUUUCUCGCUGGGACCACGUUCGGGAACCGGUCCCUCCCUACCAGGGACCGGUUGCACCAAGCAACCCCGCUACACCCAGCCGAGGGAACCGGUCUCUCACUUGCAGAGACCGGUCCCCGAGAGCAACAUCAGCUCAAUGAUGCAGUUUGCCUCAUUUGCUCUCGCGGACUCAACUCCAAAGCACUUUUUGUGUUUUGGACAUUCUCAACUCCCACAAAGGGCGUUCUCUCGACAAUCAGUCGAUCCUGGAUGAAGUACAAUCCUCGGAUUUCGAGAAUUCACUUCCUUAUAGUAGGAAUGAUGCUAGUUAAAAGCAUGAGAUAAAUGACAUUUGCAUGUUAACAUAAAGUAGAGAACAUGCUAGUUGUAAUGUAAAGAAUGCUAAAUAAAUGCUAGAAUCUAUGCAUUGGUUAAUGUUAGUUGAAUGCAUGUCAUGGAAAUGCUAAAUGUAAGCAUGUGGCUAAUGCUAAGAUAUACGUGAUAAUCAUGUUGUAGAGAUACUAAUGUUAACUAAAGGAUAUGGGCAUGUGGACAUAUAUAUAUGCACAUAGAUCAAGUGGCAUUGAACAUAGUGUUUUGAACAUAGGUUAAAUAUGGAUGAUAUUGAACCUAGUGUGAAUAAACAUAGGUUGGACAUCAAGUGGCAUCGAACCUUGUGUGAAUAAACAUAUGUUGGACAUCAAGUGGCAUGAACCUAGUGUUAAAGAAUAUAGUUCGGACAUGAACCUAGUGUUAAAGAACAUAGGUUGGACAUGAACCUAGUGUUAAAGAACAUAGGUUGGACAUGAACCUAGUGUUAAAGAACAUAGGUGGAGAAUGAACCUAGAGGUAAUUAAAUCUAGGUGAGUGGCAUUAACCUUGUGUCGUGAACAUAGGUUGUGAACUAAAUCUAGAGUCAAGUAAACCUAUGUUAUGGCAAGUGUGGCCUAGAGAGUGGCAUAUGUGACAAGGUAGGACCUGGUUAUGUCAUUGUGGCUAUAUAUUCCCGAAUUGGGAAUUGGAUCAUACUCACACUGGUUCCGGCUUGAGGGAGGUAGCUCCUCCUCAAGCGGUGUACUCCGGAGUGUAGACACCACGGGGAGAGUACCCCGGCGAAGAUCCCUCGGGUGGUAGUGCGAAGUGCCUCCCCCGGUAGACGGGAUAUAUGGAUUGUGAGUUUGGGGUAACAAGUGUUAACCGAGAUAAUUGGGUAAAGGCCAAAGUGAAUGUGUGAAAGCAUGCAUUAUGAGCUAUGGAUUUGGUAUUCCAGUUGAGUGGAUUUAUGGCUGAGGUGCAUGUGAGACGUCCUUCACCUCGAGCCUGGAUGCAUGCGGUAUUCCGCAGAUGAUUGACUCGAAACCGAGUUGGGUGGUUAGCUUGGCUAGGGUAAAGGAAAACCUUAGGAGCAAAUAACCAACGAUGUAAACUGACAAGAGGUAUAAGUUAUGAAAAAGCUAUGGAUAGCAUGAUAGCAAGUUAAAUCAUUUAUUCUACUUGUAUAGUUGCAUGAUUCGUAUAUAGCAUGACAUUAUUGCAUUCGUGAGGCAAAGCAUGGUUUUAUUAGUUGCAUAGUCAAGAUAUAUAUCUAUCUGUUCAUUGAACUAACCUGUGUUAAGGAUUUUAUAGGUUGGCGAAUUUCGUAAUGUUGAAUGGAGUCUUGAAGAGUUGAUCGCGGAAGUUUUUGAAGAAAAGAUUCAAAUUGAAGUACAAAGAUUCAUUCGUAAAGUUCGACAUUUAAGGUAUGAAGAAAAGAUCAUUUGUGGUGAAGAUACUUAAUUAGAAUAAGUUCAGAAGGCUUAGAUUACUUUAAAACUAUUUUACUGAACUUUUCUAUGUUCUGGGACCGGUCCCUGAGUUCAAGAGACCGGUUCCCCUAAGGUCCUCACUGCGUGAGCUUUGAUGCAACCGGUCCCCUGAGAUGAGAGACCGGUUCCCGAACCUUGGUAAUUCUGUCGCGCAGCGAGGGACCGGUCUCAAGCUUGAGAGACCGGUUCCCGAACGUUGUGAUUUUGGUCACGCAGCGAGGGGCCGGUUCCUCACUUGAGAGACCGGUCUCUCACAGACCGGUCUCCUCGAGAGGACCGGUCCCUGAGGACGACACAGGUUUUUAAAAAAGGACUCUUUGCAAUCCUAGUCUACUUCUAAAUCUUCUAAACAUAUAAAUAAGCCAUGGGGGUCAUCUAAAAGGUAGAGGCUUUGAAUUUCUACUUAUUCUAAACCCUAGAAACUUGUUUUUCCCGUUCAUAUGGUUUGAUUCUAAUAACAAGUUUCUAACAAUCAAUAAUCGACUUGAUUCUUCGUUUUUACUCGAGAACUCAUACGAGAAUCAAGUAGAUGUUUGAUGAAAGGUAGACCCUCAGUGCUUAUGGGAUUCUAAAGCUUAAUCACCACAAAUCUUCGAUUCAACAAGCUCCGGAAGGAGAUUCGGCGCGUGGAGCUCGUGUGUAGCCGAGAAUUCGGUGGACGCUUCGAGGGGUUGAGGCGUUGACGCUGCGAGGAGUUGCAGUGAGAUCGAUUGGUGGAUUCCCAUCGAUCAAGGACCGGUGAAGAUCGCUAUCUACGGAAAAUCGGUAAAUUGAGUCGUGUAUUUUUGUCAAAAUCACUUGUACUCAAGUUUUCUUAGUGGAUUUUCUUCGCGUGAUCGGUCCCGUGGGUUUUUCACUCCGAAUUGGAGUUUUUCCAUGUUAAAUUCUCGGUGUGCUGUUUUAUUUUCCGCUACUGUGUUUUAUUUGCAUCGAGACUUUCGAGUUUGCCGUUUUUACACCUAUUCACCCCCCUCUAGGUGUUACUUACCUUUUAGAUCCUCGGGAUCCAUAUCUUACAACCUGUUGUUGCCUCCUUUGGACCUAUUGGUCGAGCUUUUUCCUUGGGUGGCCGUACCCACUGGGAACCAUGGAGUUGGUUCUCACCCCACGUUGUUUUGGGGUGUUACAGGUUCACACGUGAGCGGCGCGGCGGCGCGAGGCGAGGGCGUAGCUCCGUAGUUAGCGCCCUACUACCGAGACUAGAGUUAGCGGUACCCUGAGUCAGCUACUUAAGGAUGUAAGAAAAUAAAAGGAAUAAGAUUGUAAUAAUUUGUAAUAAAAGUAUGAUUGUAUUUGGAAGUUAAAUGUAAUAUGUAAUUAUGAUGUAAAAUGUAUCUAGUGAAUGUGAAUGCUUGUAAUAACAAGUAGAUUAUGUUUUUGAUACUUCCUUAUGCAAUCUUUAAUUGAAAUGUGUUCCUAGUUGGAACUUCGUACAUCGUAUUGAUUGCGACGCCUUGAAUGUACAGGGGAGACUCUGUCCGCAGUACAGGGGAAACCCUGUCCGUUCGGCGGUCUGUCAGCGGCGCCGCGACACGGCCAAAUAGGCGGGUGGUCGCGAGUUGUGACACCUUAUCUACACCUAUAUCAAGCAUUCCACUCCUACUAUGAUAUCAUCUAGGAAAGCAUAAGGAAAUGACAAUGCACAUUUAUCCUACAAUGCAUAUAUGCAAGAGAUGCUAGAUUAUAAUGCACUAAGACAUACAAAGGAGCCCGGUUGCUUCGGGAUGACACCACCCACCUUCUGGCGUUGUCACAACUCUAGGAAUGACGUUUGGCGAUUUUACGACGUCGUCUCGGCCUCCCAGGCGUAAACGAAACUCAGAAGGUCCUUUCCGCCAAUAACUUUGCACCCGUUCGAUGAAUUGUCGAACUGUCUUCGCCAACGCGUUUAAACACCUAGCAAUUAGGUUUACACAUGAUCAAUUUAGAUCAAUACCCAACAAAUCACAAAACUCCCAUUUUGGAGCCCUAACUUGCAAUCAUACAAGAAUCUAUCUCUAAAUCCUCAAAUUCAUACAUUAAACACUUGUUAAGCAUGCUAGAGUUCCAACUAAAUCAAUUCUAGAGUAUGAAAUCCAAACCCUAGAAGUUCACCAUUAUUGAGCUUCAAGCUUAUCUCCAAAAGCUUGCUACAAGCUUGAGAGAAAGAAGAAGAUGACAAAGAUCCUUCUCUUUGCAUGCUUGUCCACCAAAAUCCAUCUCUUCUUCACCUUCUAGAGAGAGAGGGAGAGAGUUUAGAGAGAGAGAGAGUUAUUAGGUUUAGGUUGAGGGAAAUGAGGGAAGAGAGAGUGAAACAACUCUCAUAUAACCCCUCAUGUGUAACAAUGCCAAAAACCCCCUCAACCUGCCAAAUACUACACAGCCCCCUCAGGGCAAUUUUGGGCUAUGGGGACCGGUCUCUCUAAGAGGGACCGGUCCCCGAGAGUGUCUUAUUUAUAGAAAAGGGCCUUUGUCCCCUUUUCCACGCUCACGGGGACCGGUCUCUCCAACGAGGGACCGGUCCCCGAGAGCUCACUCUCGCAAGAGGGCCCCCUUGCUCAAUUCGCAUACCUACGGGGACCGGUCUCUCUCGCCAGGGAUCGGUCCUUGAGAGCAAAUUUUGUGCGCAGAGCCUUUUGCCACAUUUUCCAAGCUACGGGGACCGGUCUCUCCCGCCAGGGACCGGUCCCCGAGAGCAAAAAUUUUGCACUUUGCAGAAUCUUCACAACUCGCUCUCGGAGACCUUCUCCAACGCACUUUUGGCCUUCUUGAUGCCUUCGGACUUUCCGAAGCACACCAAGUCGACAAUCAGUCGAUUUUCAUCGAAGUCCAACUCUUGCAUUUAGAGAAUUCACUCCCUUACAACUACAUACAAUCACACAACCACACAUGAUAUUUGAUUACAUUUAAACCAAAUACAAGUGAACUAAAUAUAUUACAUCCAUUUCAUUUUCCUUCAUACAUGUACAUACAUCGCAUAAGUCAUCUAACCAAAACCUAUGGAUUUACAAUUCUUUUUAUACAUCACUUGUUCAACAUACAAAAGUUGAAUGUACACAUGGUAUGUCACGCCCCGCCUUGAAACCCCUACCAAUUUGGCACGGUUCGGGCGCGGCGAACGGACAGCACCUCCCCUGUCCGCCCAAGGCUCAACAACAGAUCGAGUACAAGAAUUUACCCAGGAUUUUAAAUUCUAUAAGUACACAAUCAAUGGGGCACAAAUAGUGCCAACAACAAAGAGCAAAUAAUCCACAAGAUACAUAAGUGAAAUAAAGAGAGAACUUACCAACUAUUACAUCACAUUUGCAUUUUGUAUACAAUUACAUUCUUUUCCUCAAAAUGAAUACAUGCUCAUCAAGUACAUAGCUCUCCAAAGUCCUCACCUAUAUGAAUCUCUCUCAAAUACAUAGGUGUGCUAAUGCAAAAGGAAAGCUACUACUCUACCAAUAAUCCUCACUGGUCGGGCGCGAUGCCCUUGUCGCGGUCCUCGCCCGGCAAACCUGUACCUAGCCCUGGAAAUAGAGUGGGGUGAGAACUAUCUUCCAUAGUUCCCAGUGGGCUCGACCGCUGACUCCGCUGAUCUCCCCACUAGGUCCCAAGUGGGCAAAAGUAACAACGAAACAGAUAGAUAUAUAUAUAUCAAAGCUGUAAAGACAUAAUAGGAAAACUAUGCUACUAUGCCCAUAAUUAUGUGAAAUGAAUGCAUGCAUCAUUUAGUAAAAGUUUACUAUCAUGCUAACAAGUUCGAUCCAUGUUCGAUAAGCAAUAUUCGAUGACAAUAUUAACUUUUCAUUUACCGAAUCUGUGGCAAAACCCUUGGGUUUGCCUACGCCUCACAUAUCCAUCCCAUUGGGUAUGGAGGCUCCAUGUGCCCCCGAACCCGGGACUGUCUGCGGACAACUCUGUCCUGAUCGCCCGACACUCUGGAGUACUCGACGACAAUCCUCUCCAUGUGAGGAUAUGGAUGGCUUUACCAUCCCGAAUAACAGACCGUGAGCUUGAUCUAUCCUCUUCACGUGAGGAUACCCUACGAACUAGGGCCAACAUUUCUCUCGGAACUCACCUAUUUCGACAUUCAUGCAUAGUUACUUAGCUCUACUAAGUUCAUUGUUCACGAGUCAUUUUCUAGGGAAUCCACCUAUCUCUAAGUUCACGAACCUCUAGUAUCAAAUACACUACAUAAUGCCAUUCGUUCUGUUCUUUAAACAUUUAGAUGCCACUCUCUAUGUCACUAAAUAACCAUCGAGUUCAUCUCUUUCCUUUAGCACUAUAGGAUCCUGUUCCGACCCAAUCCUUACCUAUCCACUUCACCAAGUAUUCCAUGUAUACUAGGUUAACAUUUAAAAGCAUAAGGAAAAGGUACUACUAUGCAAUCCUACAAUGCAACAUGCAAGAGAUGUGUAACACACUGGACCUUUGCAAAUUGUGAGGUUCGAGUGUUUGAACUGUGUUCUAAGUUUUUCCAGAUUUUCUGGUGGGUCAUUGACAGUGUUCCGACCUAUGGCUCGUAUCCCGAAAUUUGUAGUAUGUUAUGUAGCGCUAAGGUCACCAAAGAGAUGAGCUUAGACUACCCUCGGAUUGCACUCUGCACACUGUGUAACCGAUGACAGGUCGAUAGCUGUACCGGUACAGAUUUUGUACCGGUACACGUUAAUGGUUGUACCGGUACACUUGUGCCGAAUUUCAAACCCAAGCCUCGGGUUUGCCAUUUUUGUGGGAUUUGUAUCGGUACACUUUCCCGUGUACCGGUACACUUUGGCUGAAUCUGAACAGGUUGAACUGCAGGGGUGUUUUUGCGAUUAUGGCCUUCUAUAUCAUCACCCACGCCCCUAGAGCUGUUCCUUGAGCUUGGAACAGCAGGGAGAAAGGUGAGGGAGCUCUCCACACCUCCCCAUUCACUUCUUUGAUUUUUCUUGGAUUUUAAGAGAUUAAACACCUCUUUUGCUCAUUUUUGGCUUGUUGGAGGCUUUUCUACCUUGGUAGAGGCUUGGAGCUUGGACUUGGGGCUUGCUUGAGGGAAGAUCCUUGAACCUUGAGAACUUUGAUCCUUGUUUGAAGCUUCAUAGAGGUUAGCAUCUUAUUCUUUCCCUCUAGAUUUGGUUUUUGGAGGUUUUCUUGAGAUGAAACCCUAGAAAUGGAAACUUAGGGUUUAUUUGGGGCUUUUUGAUUUGAAGCUUUUAGAGCUCAUCUAAUUGGAUUAGAAUCUUGAUUUAGGUUGCUUUGGAAGGAAUUUAGCUUUUAUUUGGGAUUUUAAAGGAGAUUUCUACACUAUAGAUGAGUUUUUGCCCCUUUGCUAGAAUUGGUUAAUGUUAGAGCCUAGGGCUUUUCGUAACGUACGUGUAUCUCUUUUCUUGUGACCUUUAGGGUACUAGGAGAAUUGUGAACAACUCCGUUCGGCAAAACGAAGGAGUUUUAGCGGUGCUCUAUGGGUUUGACCUCACCUAAGAAUGAGAAAAUCUCAUUUUUUGUGGAUUUAUGUAUCGUAAAAUAGAAAAUCAUGCAUUUUCAUGUUAGAUGUAUUAUUUAUGAAUUUUAGAAUGCUUAAAAUGCUUAUGUUGUAUACAAUACAUUUUUGAACCUCUAUGUAGUAGAGAGCUUGCAUGUGAGACUUUUGCAUGAGUUUAGCAUUCGUAUUUGGGACUUAGAAUUGUGUUUCAUAUAGUGAAAUAACAAUGAUUAUAUAUACCCUUGGUCAUAUGAGGAAAUAUUAGGCCAUGAAGUGGCUUGGAACUUGAAUGUCAUGUGAAUUAGUAAGCUAAUGUCAUAAAGAGACAUUGAACUUGGGCUAUAUGUGAACCUAGUAGAUAAUGUCAUAAAGGGGCAUUAGAUUAGAGUGGUUUGUGAAUUAGUAAGCUAAUGUCAUAAAGGGGCAUUAAGCUUGGAAUAUGUGUGGACUUAGUAAACCUAAUGUCGUGAAGUGGCAUUAGUGUUGAACCGAGAUUUGGGCAUAGUGAGAUGUAAUGCCAUAAAGGGGCAUUGGACAUAAUGAACGGUUAAACCUUCACGUUGGACAUUGUACUAGACUGAUGGGUUGCUAGUGACUGUUACCAUGUUAGAGACAUGAUGAUUGGACAUUUGAGACGAUGACUAUGCUUGCUUGCCAUUUGUGCUCAUCCACACAUGCUUGUGAGGGUUGCUCCCUACAAGUCGGCACUCCGGAGUUAGCCUAUGCGACUUAUGUUCGCUCGUGCGGUAUUGAGAAGCCUACGGGGCUGGGUGGGACAGACUCAUUCCUCGAGUGGGAAUGUUGGCUACCACAGGCACUUAGGUGGCACAAGCCGGACUACCUUGGGUAGGUCCUUAAUGAGAAAUGGAAAUCGACAUGGAGUCGCAUAAGUAAAAAUCACUACUAAAUAGAUUAUAGUAGUUGGGUUUCUUGGACAUGCUUAUAGCAUAGGUUUGGACUUAUAGUAUACUUGAUUAUAGCGCUCUUUACACUUUAGUAUACUUGCUUGUCAUGUGGGAUCACACUAGUUUUGUUUUGGGCAUAUUUGAGCAUGAUAGAAUCUGUGUACUACACAUUGCUAUCAUAGUGUAGUUUAUUUUUAGCAUUCAAUACAUGCUUUCAUAUCUGCAGUUUAAUUCCAGUUGUUUAUCAUAUUUACCGUACUCUUUGGGCCUAGUGGCGCAAUGUGUUGGGGUCAGUAAUUGCCCACUGGGACUAUAAAUUAUAGUUCUCACGCCCCCUGUUUCUUAUUUCCUUACAGAGCCUUCCACACCGGGCAAGGCUAGGGACCGCGGAAAGGGCAUCGCCUCGAGCUAACUCUUUUGCGAAGGUCGUAUCGAUAGCUGGUCUACCUCUUAUUGGUUUCUUUUUUGAAGAGGUUGAGAGUUGUACCAUGUAUAGAGACCACCCAUUUUGUAUUUUGAGACAGAUGUUGUACUUACCUUAUGUUUUAUUAGUGGAUCAGUUUACUAUUCUCUACUUGUUGUUAGUAUGUAGCUGCUAGUUGCUAUGAUAUCUAUAGUUGUCUUACUUUUUCUUGCUUUUAUAUCUCUAUUGUUGUAGACGCCUUAUAUGUGCAGGCAUAUGGCGGGUCUGGGCACGCACCGGGCGGGCCUAUGCCUGGUCCCGGGGCGUGACAAGAUGAAAAUCAUGUAUUUCUAAGAUAUAGAAAAGAGUUCGGUUGCUUCGGGAUGACACCCCCCACCUUUUGAGGUAUGAAGGUUCUAGAAACGCUUCCCAACGAACGUUACGACGAUGUCUCGGCCUCCUUGGUCCAAAACGGUGCUCAAUCGGCUAUAUUUUGCCGAUAGCUUUUCACCCGCUCGACGAAUCGAAAAUCCGACUUCGCCCCCGCGUUUAGACACCUAUAAAUUAGGUUCACAAGCCAUCAAAUGAGAUCAAUCUCAUCAUUUAUCAAAAACCUCCAUUUGGGUGCCCUGGGGUUCACAUCUUGCAAUUAGCACUAUAGAACCCUAGCUUCUAGCUCUAUUCCACCAUUAAUGGUACUAGAGGUCCAUUUGACCUCCUCUCAAAAGCCAAAAAUCCAAAAAUCCUAAGUUCUACCAUUAGGGUUCAAGAGCUUACCUCUAGGUUAGCUCCAAUGGAGAGGAGAGGAAGAGGAGAAGAUGCUCCAAGCCUUCCCUAGCUUGCUCUCCUUCUUCUUCUUCUCUUUCCUUUCUCCUUCUUAUUCUUCUCUUUCUUUUCUUCUCUUUUCUUUCUUUCUAGAGAGAGAGGGAGAGAGAGAGGGAUGAGAGUUUGGAGGGAAAUGAGAGAGGGAGAGAGAGCCCUUUGCUCUCUAUACUCUCUAACUAAGGCAUAAUUGCAGCCAAGCCCCUCAAUUUUUUAUUUCUCAAACUGCUCUACCUGGGCAGUUUUCGUGCGGAGGAACCGGUCCUCCCGAUGAGGGACCAGUCCCUGAGAGCCUUCUACCUGGUUACGCUUACGAGAACCGGUCCCUCUGGCCAGGGAACUGGUUGCAUCGGCUGUCCACCGCAACCUCAGCUACGGGGACCGGCCCUUCCCUGCCAGGGACCGGUCCCCGAGAGCAACUCAACGCAAACCCCUUCUCUGCCAGCAUUCUUGCUUACGGGAACCGGUCCCUACCACCAGGGACCGGUCCCCGAGAGCAGAACCUGCCAAAUGCAUAGUUUUGCAUCUUUGCUCUCGCGGACUCGACUCCAAAGCACUUUUUGUGUUUUGGACAUCUCUAGCUUCUGUGAAGCCUACUCACUCGACAAUUAGUUGAUCCUGGAUGAAGUCCAACUCUCGAAUUUCGAGAAUUCACUUUCUUACAUGGUAUGACUAAACACCGGUGGCCGCUAUCUAUGGUGCAAUACCCUUGCCUCGAUCCUCCGCCGCCCCGCUCGCGCUAGGAUCUGCAGGGUUAGUGGUGUGAGAACUAAAAAAAAUUCCCAAUUGGUUCGGUUGCCUACCUAGCCGACUCGCCCACUAGGUCUAUUCAGGCA